GGUAAUUCCCUAACUCUUGUGUCAGCCAAAUUCAGAUACUCCAAAUGUUGAAGCUUUCCAAUGGCUUUUGGGACUCUCUCCACUCUCGUACCCCAUAGGUCCAGAUGCUUGAGAUGAAACAUCUUGAAAAUCUCAUUUGGUAUUUCCUCCUGUGUCUCUUGACCUCUCAAAUCCAAAACCUUUAACAACUUGCUACUCCCUAAAACUUCAGAUAACAACAUUUUGGAUAGUAGCGGGCUUAUGGAUUCAAAUGUAACGAACGACCGAAGGUGGUCAAAGCAAUAAUUUCGUCUUUGUUGGUGGUGCGGGGUGUUGUUACUGCUACCACUAUGGACUACUAGACGGCGUACCUUAUCAGUCGGCCACAUCAUCGGCUGUCCAGUAGUAACUGUCACCAUGUUUUGUUCCCUUGACUUGAGAAGAAUAACUUCUCUUAAUAGGUCAUGGAUUCGACAAUAUUGAGGUAUUCCUUCAAAAAACACCUUAGUCACUUGAAUUAGGCUUCUAUUGACGAGUUCAAUGAGAUAACUCCAAGCUACAAUUGCAAAACUCAUUCCUUCCCUCCGUUCCACAUACCUUUCAGCAAUCCACAAAUGAAUUAGUCUAAUGCAUGCUAUUUCAUAAUCCUCUGGGAAGAUGCUUGUGUACAACAGACAUGUCUUUAAAUGCCCAGGCAAAUCAUUAUAACUGAGAGAGAGUAUCUUUUUAACUCUGUCCAGCUUACCCGUGCCUUCUAAUUCACCCCCAAGGCUGCGUCGAACCAUCUCCCAUUCGUCUAUUCUGUUUACAUCUUUUGAAGCCAAAAGCCCGCUGAUUGCAAGGGGCAAGCCCUCACAUUUGUCCAAUAUACCUUUGGAAACAUCCAUCAAAUGGCCAGGGCAAUUACCACCAUUAAAGAUCUUGUUGCAAAACAGGGUCCUCGAAUCCUUUACAGAGAGUGGCUCCAUUCUGUAGACAAGACCCCGAGAUUCAAUGCAAGAGGCAGAGGCUACAUCAGCUCUUCGAGUUGUUAGCAUGACACGGUUGCCGUGGCUACUCUCGGGCAGUGCAAAUUUGAUGGUAUUCCAAAAUUCCACGUCCCAUACAUCAUCAAAAACAAUCGCAUACCUUCCAGCUUGUUGAAGAAAAUCUUUGACAAUUUUUUUCAGCUCAGUGGUAGUCAUAGACUCUAUCGAUUGUGGGACUGGUUUAUUCCCUUCCUUGUGUAACUGCUGAAUCAAGUCUUUCAGGAGGUACUGAAAGUCACAUGUUUCAGAGACAGUUACCCAAGCACGAACUGGGAAAUGCCUUCUGACUUCAGGAUCCUCGUGGACUCUUUUCACUAGGGUAGUUUUGCCAAGUCCUCCCAUACCAACCACUGAAACAACCUUUAGUUGGUAAUCAUCCCCUCGGAGGAGCUCAGGAAUAAGACGUUUCUUGGGCUGGUCAAUGCCAACUAAUUUAGCUUCUUCCACAAGCAGUGCGUCAUCUCUGCUAUAGCGCCAUGUUGUGUUGUUCACAGCAGAAAGUGAGUUGGACGCUUGGGCAGAGAUACCAUAUUCGGAUUGGUAUCUUUGAUGACCUUCAGAAAUACUUUUGAUUCUGGACUUGAUGCUUUGUAUUUCGCUAGCAACUCGAUGACGAGCUCUCAAAUUCUUGAUGGAGCUGAAAAUUCUCCGAACAGAGCCGUAGAAUCCUGUUGCGCGAUGCCGAGCAAAGCGAGCUACAAAUUCAUCAAGAAUGUCCUCAGUGUCAUAAGCAGCAUCUCGCACUUGCUUGAUCCAUUGUUGGAGCGUGGGUUGAGCAUCUUCUUCUCUUGCUUCUGCCUCUCGCAGGAAAGCUCUCAUUUGCUCCAACUCAUCCAUGAUGAAUUGGACCUCUUGCCGAAGCCCUCCCAAUAGUCGUCCCUCCUCGUGCAGAAAAGUUGAGAGUUGAUCCAGCACAAAAGAGAGAACAGUUUCUGCCAUUUUUAGUCUUUCUUUUUAACCUAAGAAUGUCGGGGGAGGCGGCUUCUGGUUUAUAGGACAGUCCAGUUGUAGUAUCUUGAAAGGAAGAAGGAAGAGGAGGUUAUAGAUUCAUAAGCUGAUGAACUUCGAUGCUAUAUGGUGCAGUAUUUAUCAAAAAGAAAAAGAAAGAACUAACUGUGGGUCCUUUGGUCGGAUAAUAACAAAGGAGCAUCGUUCAACUACUGCAAAAUGUUCUAUUAUAUGUGCCACAAUAACUCAGGCCCUUCUUUACAAGCGGAAGGAAUAAAGUUAAAACGCCGUCGGAUUGGACUGGACAUUAUUGAUUUCUUUGACGAAGAAAUAAAACUACUGCAAAAUGUUUUGCUCCUCCUGCUAAUAUGUAUAACCUUCCUUCCUUCCAUUGACUAUCACUUGAAUUUUUUAGUCUCAUUACUUGUGUGUCAACUAUUAUUUGAGAAUCUAAUAUCUCUUUUGAUUGGGAAUUUUGAAAAAUAAAAUAUCAUGUAAGUCUAAAAACAAACCUAAUAUGUCUAAUAAUUUUUUAUACGACCUAAAAUUGUAUUAGUUUGAAAACUAACGAAUUAUUUUUCAAUUAUUGUAACUGAUUUCAGAGGACUAAUUUUUUGUAAACUUUCAUCCUAAGUACGUAAUGACAUUUGUGUCUCUAUAUCCACUUUAAAACGUACACGUAAACUAUGUAAAUACAUUUUUUUUAUGUUCAAAUAAAUUAUCUAGACAUAGACUAAUUCAAAUAUUGGAGUAGAGGUGUUUAUUUUGUUCAAUUAUUAAUCAAUAAUAUUUGUCCAAGCAUGUUAACAGAGACAAAAAUGAUGCUACACGAGGAUGGAGGUGCUCUUUUUCUCUUUUACUCUAGUAAGUAUAUUAUUUUCGUUUUCUUCUUUUUAUUUUUAAAAAAUCAUUCUUAAUUAAGAAAAUUAGCGUUAUCGUACUCAUAACAUCAUAAGCCAAAAGAUCAUGUAAAGUAAAUUAAAGUAGAAACCUUAGGAACAAACCACUCAAACUAAUUUUUACAAUAAUUAAUAAAGUAGAAAUACUAAGUUCAGUGUUAUUUUUUGUUAAUAGCAGCUCAUGAGUGUGAAAAUUGUGGAAGAUAGAAGCAAUCAAAUCAGCAUACUAUUUAAACUUAGGAUCCAUGAGCUACUAAUAACUUGGCCAAAGUAUUUUAUCCCGCUGAUUUAAUUAACUUCAAAAGUUUUAUUGAGCUCCAAUUAACUAUAGUAAUAACGUGACUUAGUUCAAAUUACAAAACUCGAUCACAAGUAAUCGUACGGAGUUGAAUAAACCAUAUAAAUAAGGCGCCACAGUAACCAAGUUAGUGUUAGCCCCUUGUGAUCACCAUUUUAAUCUAUUAUCUCACUUCUUUCUUGCUUUUGUUUUUCCAUCCCUCCUUUUCCAGUUGUGAAAUUACUGCAACUACAACUGGAUAGGACGAAAGGCGGCUCAUUUUACCAAUUAGAAACUUGGCUAUGUUCAUAAAAAAGAAGAAAAAAAAAGCCUUGAACUUCAAGAAAAGUAAACAAAUCUCAGCACUAACUUGAGAGAAAAUGAAACCUCUGGCAAUAGCUGAUCCAAACCUACCCUGUCAAAUCCAAGUUUGCCGAAAGAGAGAACACGGGCGAGGAAGAUGAUAAUUUGAAUCAAAAUUAAAACAAUGCAGUAUAUGUGCAAGGCCUUUAGCUAGGAAGAUGGAGUAUCAUAGAGGAGAAGGUAGAGGAGCAGUACCGUUAUUGAUAAACAAUCCCUCAACGUGGUGGACCUAAUAAGAAUGUGGAUCUCAUCCAUUGACUGUCAGAGUGGCACAUGGCAAUAAUAUCGACUGUGACUUUCUCACUUUCCUGGUUGGAUGGUAGAACAAUUAGAUCAGAGUACCUUAAGAUUGUGGACCUAAGAUUGUCGCACAUGGCAAUAAAAUUGAGACUUAAAUGAUAUGGGAUCAGAGUACCUUGUUAGGUGAUCGGAGAAUGCGUAGUUUAGUCAUUUCACGAAAUAUUAGUUGUAUUCAAGUUAAGAUGGAUAGUGCUUAAUUUUCCAUUUAUUACAAGUAAGACUAGGUUAGGAAUAAGGGACAUGAAGUAACCGGAGGAUAAGGUCCAUCAUAUGAGCCACUCGAAUACUAUAUGCUGAAAAAGCAGCUUUGAAACAAAAGAAGAAGCAAAGGCACAAAAUUUUCCUAUGGUUCCUAGAAAUAGCAAAAGAAAGAAGAUAGAAACACAUUAUUGACAUUAUAAAUUUCCAUCAAUUAAUGUUCGUCAUUUUUAUACGGUAACUUACUACAGAGAAAUUGUGAAAGCCGUGUGAGAAAGUUGAGGAUGAAAUACGAGGAAAAUACUUACUCAACAAGAAACUGCAGCAAAAAUAUAUAUAUAUUGGAGUAGAGCCAUAAUAGUCAAUAAAAAAUAAGAAGAAACUAAUGCAAGAGAGAUGAUGGAAAUUGAAUAGAAAGAAGAUAGUUAGCUACGUGAUUUUGAAAGGCGAAGCUACAUUACAAAAUCAUGGAAAUUAUUAGAGAGACAAUGCAGUUGGUGGAAAUUGAAUGGAAGGAAGAUCACCAGAGAGGGACUUAAGUCCCUCCUUGGGCUGUUGGUGAGGGUUCAAACCUCAUCAGCAGCGAAAAAAAUCUAAGGGUUGUGCCAUAACACUCCCUUGGUCUAGUUGGGUCUGUAUACCCACUAUCCCCUAUCACAGCCUCUUUAGGCUCCCCCUCCCCCUAGAUUAGGAUAGAAUAAGUUAUACAAAAUAUAUACAAAAAAGAAUGGAGGAUAGAAUAAGUUAUACAAAAUAUAUACAAAAAAGAAUGGAACAAAAAUAAUUAGCAACGUGAUUUUGAAAGGCGAAGCUACACUACCAGUGUACCACACCAUCGUUCAAAGGCAACGAUGUCUAAACUUAAAACGUGGUGGCCUGGACAUCGAUUUCAUUGACGUAGAAAUAAAAGGAAAAUACAGAUUUAGUCUCUAAUAUUUUGACUUUAUGCAGUUUUAGUCAUUAAAGUUUUGAAAAAUGCAAAUUUGAUUCUCAAUGUUUAGCACAUGUGCAAUUUUAGUCCCUAAAAUAUUGGUAGGAACAAAUUUGGUCCCCUACAUUAUCGUUUUGAAGCAAAUUUAGGAUGAUUGACGAAUUUUUUCAAAUAUUGGUAGAAUCUGUUACGUGUAGUUACAUGCUUGUCAAUUUUAAAUAUCUUAAAAAAGAAGUAAAAUAGCGAGUACUCUUCAAUACUAAGACCAGUUUACAUGAUGCCACGUCGGUAACUAAUUAAUCAAGAAAAAGAAAAUUUGUUAAUCUAUAUGAAAAAGUAAAUGUUACGAUUUUGUGCUUGGCAUAGUCAGGAUAGAGUGUAAAAAUGAGUUCUAUAUCGAUGAAUUGGGUGCUUCAACUAAUUUUAGUUUAAAAAUUUUCAAUUUUUACUAGUUAAUUAGUUAGCAUAUGAAUUAUCAGUUCUUAAUUUUGUUGUUUAAAGUUAGCUACUACUUUGCAUCUUUGUUUUGAAAUGUAAAUUAAUGGACACAUAAUUAGACGUGACUAAAUUAUGUCAGUAAUUGAAAAAAAAAUUUCAAAUGUCCUAAAUCUAUUUUCAAAAUGGAUAUAUUAGGGACCAGAUUUGCUCUUGCAAAAAAUUUAGGGACCAAAACUGCACAGGGACAAAAAAGAUUGAGGACCAAAUUUCCUUUCACCAAAACUCUAAGGACUAAAACUCCACAGGAGAUAAAAUUUAGGGACUAAAUUUUUUCCAGGAAUACGUGAUGCAGAGGAAAGUUAUUUCUUCUGAGUGGAACAGAAAAAGCAACUCAAGACCUAAGCUCAAUUCAGGUUUCUGAUGAAUUCUUUUGUGAAAUCUAGCCGAGAGUAGCUGAAACUAGUUAAGAAUACAAAAUUAUACUUAGUACGCAAUAAGCAGAAAGGCAUCCAAGGGUCAGUAUAAAUUAUCUUCAAAUUUCAGAACACCAGUGCUUGUGCACCUAUUAAUGAAUUAUGGACUCGAUAAUAGUAUAUUUACUUUAAUGUAAGCUUUAAGUACUCCCCUACCUUGUUUUCUUUUACCUGAAUAGAUAGUUUCAAUGCUUAUUCUUCGACUAAAUGAUGUUGUACUUUAUUUGUUCAUUUUUUUCUUUUUGUUUUUUUUUUGUCAAAUGAUGUUGUACUAAAAAAGAGAGGAAUUUGCGAAAGAAUAUAAGGGUUCAAAUCUUAUCUAUUAGAAAUUAGUUUCGUUAAUUUCAAAGAAAGAAGUUAAUUAAAGAUCCCCUCUUUGUAUUUUUAUUUUUAACUCAGUAGAACUUAGCAUCUGCUAACCCUUACAUUAAUCAAACAAAUUGCCAACCAAUCGUUCUUGAUUGCCCACAUGUUGCUAAAUCUCAUUGUCAGCAUUCUUUCUUGGUUGCCUCAUAAUUCUUUAAUGCUGAUUUUUUGUAUUAAGUACAUUAGAAAAGAAUAUGAGUUCCACUUUACUACUAAAAUUGAUUAUUAGCAGAGAAGACAAAAGAGACUGGCGAUGCCGAGCCUUAGCACCUAGCUGUCACGGGCUCGAUGCCCUUCCAUAUGCAUCAGCGCAGAAAGCAAAAGUGAUAAGUUCAGUAAUAGGUGCAAUUGUUCAGUCAUCUUCUUUUUUGGUAAAGAAUGGAAGGGUGAAUACAAAGGUGAGAGCAAAACACCCCCCAUUAAUACAUGACUUUAGUCAUUCAAUAAGAAGUAGAUCUAGAAUUACACUACUGGUUCCUAGAAACAGCUUAAGAAAGAGACAGAGACAAUAUAUAUUGACAUUAUAAAGUUCUGUCAAUUAAUGAUAGGGUGUCGGCCUGUGUAAUAAUAAAACCUACUCAAAGUAAAAGUAAUUUCUGUAGAUAGCGGUGAGCAGGGUCGAAUCCACAGGGAUUGGGAAUAAUUGUUUCUUUUCAAAUUCACAGUGACAAGGGGGGUGUUUUUGCGCAGAGAGUGACAAUCAAAUAAAUGCAAAUAAAAUCCAAGGAACUACUAAAAAUUAAAUAACAAUUUACUAAAAUCAAAUAAAUGAUAACUAAGGAUCUAGCUAAGGAAUAACUUCAGCAAUGGUUCACCUAAUUGAUCAUCGAUGCAAAGCCAAUUCCAAUUAUUUACUAAUAAAUAUGUUAUAACUGUCAAACAAGCGAUGACAGUCAACCCCUCCUUACUGUGUCGGUGAUUAAGGUACGCUCGUCAAUCACUACUCUAAUUGAGAAAUAAUCUUAGGUACGCCGGUAAGAUUUAAUUCCCUAAUUGCCUUACGUAUUAGAGGAGCCCUAUUCUAACCAAAUAACACAUUACCAGGGUUAUUUUAGGUUAGCAUGCGUAUUCCCCUGACACAAACCCAAUCAUGUCAGUUAUCACUAUUUUGAGACAAUUAAACAAUUACAGAUUUAACGUCCCAAUUGACAAUAGAUUAUUAAAUUAAUUAAUUAUCCGGAUCCAAGACAAUCAAUUAAUUAAACAAUCAUAAGCACUGUAACCAGGGAAUAUGCGAAUACCAAUAAAUAAAAGAAAAAGAUAAAAUUAAAUCGAUCUCAUAAUUUUAGGCGAGCCAAAGCGUCCGUUGCUCCUUGACUAGACAAAGGGAUUUAACUCAUCCUUGUCUACUCUUACCGAAAAGAAAAGAAAAGAAACUAAAGAUAAAAGGAAAAGUCAAUGAUAGGGUGUCAUUUGUUAGUAAUUUUAUUAGUAAUUUUCCCUUUUAUCUCUGUCAAAUAUUGUGUUAAUUGCGAAUAUCUACUUAUAUUUGGUUUGUGAACUUAAUUUCAGGAAUGGAACAGAAAACUACCAAACCUGAGGGUCUUUCUGGAGAUAAUUGAGACUUCAAACAAGCCACAGGCCAGGGCCACAGUGCUGAAAAGAACUGGACUCCCAUUCCUUUAUUUUUGUUGACUAAGAAGACUACAACCAGAGAUUUCGACAGAGAACUUCAAGGCUUGGGCCUUUGACUUCGGCAGGGACCACGGAGGAAAGGAAAAGGGCUUUAGGCAUUUGGCUCUUAAGAAGAAAGCAACGUAGAGAGCCAGAAAAACUAAGAAGAAACUUGGAGGCUUGUGGCUAAGUGGUGGGGACCGCACUGAGGCUCAAAACAAGGAGAAGAAUUCGGCAGACUUGUGCUAUUUCGUGGGGACCACUGGAUGAGCUUUGAGUCAUCUUUCUCUUGGUUCUUAAAAGGGGGACAACGUACAGCAGAAAAAGGACGGCUUGAGUUUUAGCUUUUUAGUUUAGUUCUAGUUUUCUUUCUUUUGACUAGCCUUUGACACACGCCAGGUGUUCGACAAUAUUUCCCAACGGGAAAAACAUCUUUUAUUCCUUGCUUUCUAGUAAAAACGCAAUGCCUUUGCAAUCAAUUAAUUCGUGUGGUGAUUUAAUUAUGCGGCGUGACUAAACCUUCCAUCUAGUCAAGGGUCAACUCGACGGCGCAGUCCCGAAAAUUUGUGAGAUCUAAUUAGUUUUCGCGCGUUCCUCAAUUUAUUAAUAUUUGCACGUUAUCUGCUUGAAUUUUCAUGAGAUUAUUUUAUUAUUUGAAUGUCAAGGGUCCGAUGUUCAAUGUGAUUUAUUAAUCUCGUGCCAAUUUAGUCAAUUAAAUCCGUAAUUGUUUGAUUGAUUAAUAUUAGUGGCAACUGGUGUGUUUACACAUUAGGGGAAUGUGCAAUCUAAUUUAAAUAACCCUCGUAGCGUGUUAUUGAUUAGGGCUAGGUUUUUCUAGUGAUUAAUGCAAUUGGAAAAUUAAUUCCUACGGUCGUACUUAGGAGUAUUUUCUGGUUAGGGGUAAUCAAUGGUCGUACCUUGGUUAUCAAUAAAUUAAGGAAAAAUUGGUCGUUAGAAUUCGUCGGCGACUAUAACUAGUCUAUUAAUAAAUUAAGUGAACCUCUCUUGCAUCAAUGAUCGGGUAAAUGGACUGUGUCUGAGUAGUUGUAUCCCUGGCUAGAAUUUAUUUAUUCUUGAUUUAAUUCCUGCUAUAUUUGUGCUAGUUAAUUAUUUAUUUUUAGUUAGAUUGUUUAAUUAUUUUUAGUUGCCUAUCGGUGAAAUCCCCCUCUUACCAAUUGGACUUUAAAAGAGACAAAUAUCUCCAGUCCCUGAGGAGACGACCCUAUUUGUCACUGUCUACUAUUUAGUAAAUUUCGUCAAUUAAUUAAUUCUGGUAUAUCGGAUUCAGCAAACUGUUCGGUAACAGGGUUAAUCAAGUAACCCAUUGCACACCUAGAGUCCCUGCUCCAGUACCUGGAAUUAAUUUUUGACUGCUUUUAGUGGUAUUUAGGUUUUUAUUAUUAUUAUUGCACAGGUUCGACACCUGUCAGUCAAAGUCUUCCCCAUUGUUUCUCCUCACAUCCGUGGAGAAUAACUACUAAAAGCUAAGAAGAAAAAGUGAAAAGUAAGGCUAAGCUAAAAGACGAAAAAACUAAGAAGAAAGCAAGGUUGUCCCUUUCUCCACUGCAAUUUUCUGGUUUUUGGUUAUAGUAUUUUUGUUCUACUCUCUGAAAUAAAUAUAAAUUGCCAAAAGUGAGUAGAAUCUAACAAUUAAUCCACAUCGGGUUAGGUAAUAGAGGAAAUUAAUAAUAAAAUAAAUCAUAAAAUUGCAACCUAUCAAUUUCCCCCACACCUAAACCAUACUUGCCCUCAAGCAUGAUAAUAGCAAACAAACACCAAUAUUUGACAAUGGUCAUUGCUCCGUCUACCAUAUUACCAAGAUACCAAGAAAAACAUAUAUCAAGCAUGGGUGAUCAAGAUCCAAGAAACAUCACUUCGGUUAGCUUCUAAACCACAAACUCCUCUAAUUUCAUGUUAACUAAUCUAAGAAAAAGAAAUGACGCACAACAUUUAUCAGCAAAUGGUCCAACUAUUAAUCAAAAUCUCAACAUUAAAUCCAUAAAUCGGCAAGCUGACUUUUAUUAUACACUAACACAACUUUCAUUUUUUUAUCACAUUUUUCUACUUUUCUCUUUUUUUUUUCCUUUUUUUUCUCUUUUUUUUUUUUGCUUUUUUCGAUAGUAACAAAAGACUUGGUCGCUAGCCAUUGGAGCCUUUUGACGCGAACUCUGACAUUUAUUAGAUGAAAGAGCCCGGUUACUCAGUUUCGAUCGCCACGUGACCACGUACUCAUAGUAAUUACUACUUUUUGACGUGAGAAUUGACACUUUUGGUGAAGAUCCCCGGUUACUCGGUAGUAAAGACUAGCGGAGUACAGUCAACUCUUAUUCACCACUAAAUAAUAUAAAAACUCAAUAUAACACAAAAAUUAAAAGAAAAUUUACAUCAGCUAGUCUCAUUUUCAAACAUGGAGAACUAAGGUUAAUAACCGGACCAAUUCACAUGAAAAUGCCAACAAUCAUUCCCUUUGCCUAGAGAAGUUAACCAAAAAUUAGAAGAGCUACAUAAUCACUGAUAUUCACUAAAGGAAUGCUCUUGGAUUCAACCACAUUAACUCGAUACAUUUUUAUUAUUAAAACUAGGCAAAAGUAGAAAUAGGGACAACAAUCCAACAUCAAACCUUGGCAUGCACAUGUAAACUAAUCACUAAAAAGAAAGAAAGGAAAUGCACGAAAGAUGGCCAAAUAACAAACUAAAAAGAAAGAAAGAAAAAAAUAUGAGAAAAAAAAUAAAUAAAAGAAAAACACCUAAAAACUAGAAACGCUAGCACCCCCCAUUUGCUCCCCCCCACACCUAAAUCACACAUUGCCCUCAAUGUGAUAAACUAACAGCAAAAGGAAGGAGAAGGGCAACGGUACUUCCCUGAAGUCGUCAAAACAGUGGAGGGUUAGGCGGAAAUUAAGGAGGAAUUCCGGUGUGCUGCAUAAAUGCGGCCAAAUUUCUGCAUAAAAGCUGACAAAACUUGCCCAUCCCAAAAUCUCAAUAAAUGUCUCCAAUUGGACAGUUAAUUUCUCAACUCAAAAUCGGCAAUUCCAGCAAAAGCAGUUUAGAAAUUUGAUAAUAGCCACACAAUGACAAGCACUUAGUUCCCAAUCAGGCAGCCAACCAAAUAGAAAUAACAAAUGCUAGUCAAAAUAUCCCAACCAGUGCCACUGAUGCACACACAGGUAAGAAACAAUGCAAACAGGCAACCCAAAUCACUGACAAUGCCCCUCCAAAUCAAUAAUAGAAACCAACAGCUAGAGUGCCCCAACAACUCAACUGAAAACUACCAAUCUCAACAAGUAAAUCAAGCAACCAGGUUUUCCAAAUCAACAGGCAGUAGCAGAACUAAAUCACCCAAUCACCGUGCACGAUAGGCAACAAAAAAAAAUUUUUUUUUUUAUAAGUGCGGGGCUGCCAUGGUGAGUUCUAUAUAUAACACUACUGGUUCCUAGAAACAGCUUAAGAAAGAGACAAAGAGACAAUAUAUAUUUGGACAUUAUUAUUUUUCAAAAAAAAAUUGCUACGUUUUUCGUAAACACAUUUUCCAAUCACCUUUCCACCUCACAUAUAUCAAAUCACUACAUUAAUUUUUCUACAAAAAAAUCUAAAAAAAUGCAAUCCAAACACAACCUUAAAGUUCUGUCAAUUAAUGUUUGUCAUUUUUAUACGGCAACAUGCUAGUACAAAAGAAUUGUCAAAAGCCGUGUGAGAAAGUUAAAAGUUAAGAAUGAAAUACGAGGAAAAUUCUCAUUCGCAACAAAGAAACUGCAGCCAAAAAAAAAAAAAAAAAGAGGAGUGGAGCCAUUAAAGUCAGUCAAAAAGAAAAAGGAAAAAAUAAUCAAUUACAAGAAACUAAAGCAUGAGAGAUGAUUGAAAUUAAAUGGAAAGGAGACUGACAGCAGUGUGAUUUUGAAAGGCGAAGCUACUCUACCCGUUACACUACAAAAUCAUGGAAAUUAUUAAGCAGUUGGUGGGGCGUAUGCGUUCACUCUUCAGUCUUCCAUCAAAUAAAGGGGGUGGCUACCAGCGUACCGCCCUAUCGUUCAAAAGCAAUCGAUGUCUAAACUUAAAAACGUGGCGGCCUGGACAUUGAUUUCAUUUCAUUGACGAACAAAUAAAGGGAAAAUACGCAGUUAGUUAUAAUAGGCAGGGCAAUUAUACCCAACAAAUUGCAAUAUUUCAGAAGUUAGUAUUUACAAAUUGAACUCGACUAGUCUGGAAACAUCACUGUUAUAUAUUCCGAUCAAGAACAUAUACUAUGAAUAAUUGCAGUCGAAUAUCGUUCUUUAACUAAACUGUUAAGAUGAAUUCUGGGAAGUGAGUGAGGAGCUCAAACUAUAGAGACGCAUAGAAACUCUGCCAUUCAAUGUUGUAGAUCUCUUGUUUAACAGCUUAGAAGCCGCUAAUUGGGUAGUCUUUUAACUCAUCUCCAAAAUCUGAAGGCUUUAACUCAUCCCGGACUAGCUAUAAUGCCCCCGCAUGAAUGCUAUAAUUUGUACCUAUAAUCUAAAAAGCGUUUGUCAAAACUCUAUACGAGUCUCCAAGUGUGUGCCAAGUUUCACAGGUUGCAGAAAUGUACUCCAAGUUUCACAGGUUGCAAGAAAGUCCACCUCUUUCGUUGUAAAGAUGAUUGCUCGAGGGCGUAAACUACUACUAACACAUAUGUUACCCCAGUCAGACGACAGAGUGUCCAGAAAUAAGAUUCAAAAGCUUUGAUAGUCUUAACUCAUAUCCAAAAUCUGAAGGCUUUACGUACUGCUGCUACAAGGAGAUCAUUUCAGUUGAUUCAGAGAACCUUGCAUGAAUUCGGUGAAAUGUCCAGCCUCAAACCAAACCUACACAAGUGUCAGAUAUACAUGGCUGGUGUGAAUGAGGAUAUGCAGAUUCAGCUUUGCAAUUCACUGCAGAUGCCUUUAGGCUCACUCCCUGUUAGUUAUUUGGGCUUGCCAUUGAUAUCUACUAGACUGAGAUUUUAUAUAUCGUCAACCUAUUUUAAAUAAGAUAGAACAAGGAAUUCAUAGUUGGGCUAGUAAAAAACUUUCAUAUGGAGGCAGAUUACAAUUGAUAAAAUCCAUCUUAAAUGGAAUUCAGGUUUUUUGGUCUAGUGCUUUUGUUCUUCCCAAAUCUGUCAUCAAGACGUUUUGUAGGAUGCUAACUUCCUUUUUAUGGGCUGGUGAGAUUAGAACUCAUUAGUGUGCAAAAGUUAAGUGGACUGAUAUAUGUAUGCCUAAGAAGGAGGGAGGAUUGGGCUUGUUUGAUUUAAAACUUUGGGACAAAUGUCUAAUCAUGAAGCAAAUAUGGCAUAUUUGCUGUAAAAAGGAUACUCUUUGGGUUAAAUGGGUUCAUACCAACAACUUGAAAGGGUGUUCCUUUUGGGCAGCAAAGAUUCCUGUUAAUGGUUCUUGGGUAUGGAGGAAAAUAUUGUUGAGGCCUGAGGGACGAAGCUCAGCCUUUCAUUAGGCAUCUACUGGCACCCUAUUGGUCCUUUAUAUAAAUAUUUUUUCUGAAAUUUGUAUCAUAUUUCAACGGAAAUGUAUCUUUGCUCUGACCAUUGUGUCUAUGGUCCUUGAAUCAGUUAGGAAUACUAGUGUUGUGAGUUGGAGAGGAGUCCCACUGACCAAAGCCAAUUGGGAGCUAAGUAUGGAGUUCGGAUCGUCUCGUGUGUUUCCAGCAAGAUUGAGUUUGCAUUACUAUAAUAGUGAUAGAAUUUAUGUAAGUAGGAAUUGUUUGAUUCCUGUGUACUCGCUUAAUUCUUUAUCAAUAAAGAUUCAUAUUUGUCCAAAAAAAACCAACAAAAGAAUGACCAAUUACUUGCAUUACAUCAACAAUUAAUAUCAAUUAUGCCAACACUAGCAAAAAAGAAAAACAUUCCCAUGAGUUGUGGUGAAUUAAAUCGAAAAAAGAACAACAAAUUUUAUUUAUUAUAAAAGAAUAUCGUGAAUCUUAGUGGUUAAUAGUGUAAUUAGCUUUUGUGAUGCCACAAUUACACUCCUCUCUAAUAAAUGGACAAAUUGCAUUGCAUUUCAUCAAUAAAUAAUAUCAAAUAUGCUAGCAGUUACAAAAAUGAAAGAUUUCUUACUUUUUUAUUUAUCAAAAAAAAGAACAAAUUUUAUUUAUGAAAUAUCCAAGUUUAAAGAGUACUUCGAACAUGAAAUAAAGCAUAAUAAAUUGGUACUAUGAGUCUCUUAAAAAGUAUUAUGAAUCUUUUUAUAUUUUGGAUAAAAAUAAAUUAAGCCUUAAGAGCACGUUUUAGUAUGCAUAUAUUAGUAUUAAGUAAAAAAAUUUAACACAAAAUAUAAUAAGAGCUGGAGUAUGAUGAAGGAAAAGAGAUUUAUGUUAGGAAUUUAUUGGUUUAAAUUGCAACAAAAAUUAAAUUUAAUGAACUUUAUUAUUGGUAUUAUUGUAACAAUUGAUAGCAUCAAACAUAUCAAUGCCAAUAACAAUAAUAGUUAUAAAGGUGAAACAAUCAUUUGAGUUAUGGUGAAUUAAACUAAAAAAUAUAAUUUUUUAAUGAAAUAUAUAUCCAAUUUCAAAGAGUACAUCAAAGGUGAAUAAAAAUAUUUCCAAAUUCAAUUUGAUUAUUAUAUAAUAAAUAAGCUUAACGGCUUACAAUUUUUAAAUAUAAACUCUAUAAUCGUAAAUCAUGUCAUAAAUGAUAAAUAUAAAUAAGUUUCACCAAAUGAAAACAUUUCUCUUCAAAAUUAAGCUAUUUAAAUUUGAACAAUGGAAUUCAACAUAUCUAAAUACUAUUGUAAUUAUAAUAGUACUAUAGAUCAUUUUAGAAUUCAACAUUAGCGAAAAAUAAUAAUAAUUAGAAAAACUCACUACUGUUUAAAAAUUCAUAGAGUGACUUAAAGGGGAACAACAAAUUAUUCAAAAGUUAAAGAUUUUAACUCAAAUGACAUAAAUUUAACAGAAAGAAGAAAACAUAAAUACUCUUACAAAAUAAAGUCCUCUUGGAACAAAUAAUACUUUAUUACUUGUGCAUUUGUAUUGGUUAGGGCAAACCAAAUUCAAAAAAAUAUAUGAAUAAUAAAUAUCCUUUUUGGUUAACAAGUUAUAAAUUUAAACUCAAAUGACAUAAAAGAGAACACUGAGAUAAUCCAAAUUUAACAGAAAGACAACAACAUUGAUACUGUUACAAAUUAAAUGUGCUCUUAGGAUAAAUAAUGCUUUAUUGCUUAUGCAUUUGUGUUGGUUAUGGCAAAAAAAUACAAAAAAGUAUAAAUAUUAAAUGUCACAUUUUUUGUCUCAAUUACAUUUAUUCUUACAAAAUAAUUUAUUUUCUAAAACUUUUGAGAAAUGUUAUUUGUAGUCACAUUUCUGUUAAUCAUACUCCCACUAUCACUUAAAUCAUAUAGUUUUCAUUUGUUAAGAUAUGUGGUACCGUAUCAAAAAAAAUGGAGUGCAAAUUACAUUUUUGAAAAUUCUAAGAAAAAAAUCUAAAAAUAUCAUGCUCAUGUUCACGUGUAAAAGCACAUGAUCCAUUACUGGUAUCUUAAAAAUGCUUGAUUAUCCAAAUAGAGGAGCUUCCUAAAGAUUGUUGGAGUUUGAAUGGUCAGUUCCCUUGUGAAGUUUCUUGAACAAUCUCGAGACUCAGAUGGUUCUUAGAUGAACAUACGAUUGCAUAAUGGGUGAUGAUAUGUUGAAAUUUGUUAUUAAUUGUUAUGAUUAAUUUCCCCUUUACUCUUGCCAAAUAUUGUUUUAAUUGUCAGAUUCUACUGAUAUUUGGUUAAUUGUGUUAAUUAUAGAGAAUUAUGUGAGACGCGAUCAAAAUGAGCAAAUUUCUAGCAUUCCAAGAGUUAAUUUGAUGGUGGUACGUUUGGGGCCGAUUUCCAAAUCCUAGUCGAACUCAGGUUAAUUUUUGAAGGAAGAUUUUGAAAACUUCAAUUUUCAUUAUUAGUUCUAGAAUUGGAUCAGGGAACUUGGAAUAGUAUUUUUAGUAGUUACUUUUUUCUAUUUAGGAAACAUGUUAUGUUAUUGGUAGUUGAGAUCGAAUGGGAAACAAAAAACAAAAGCAAAGGACGGACCGCUUGAUGUGGAGUUGGCCAGCAACAAUUUCAGAGUGCGACUCUUGGAAGUAGGAUAUACGGCCGUCACUUGUUUCUUUUUUUUCCCUCUUGUCUUUCGUUAGUUUUUUUAGAGAAAAACCAUACGCAAUUGUUAUCAAUGGAGUCUUGUGGAUUUCCCUCGAGGAUGCGUAGCUAAAUUCUAUUUCUAGUCUGAGGAUAACUUGAAGACUUUGUUCUACAAACUAUGAGAUCGAAUCAAUUACACUGUUUCUUUUAUUUGCUGGUAUUUAUUCGUUCUUUGGUUUUAAUAAUUAUGACUAUUAUGUUAUUCAAAUAUCAAAGGGCUCGGUAUUUGAAUUGACUUGAUAGUUGAUUGCUAAUUGAAUCGAUUUAAUUCGUAAUUGUAAGAUUGCUUUAAUCUUGGGAGCAACUGGUAUAACUAGAUUUGUGUUAGGAAAAUGACUAAUCUAACUUAAAGAGACCUUAUAGCGUGUUGAUUGGUUAGAAUUAGACUCUUCUAAUUAUUCAUGCAAUCCGGUAAACAAACUUCUAUGGUCGUACCUAGAGUUAUUUCCUGAUUAGAGAAAUAGUCAACGAUCGUACCUUGACUAUCGACAAAAUAAGGAAGAGUUGGUUUUUAUGCUAGAACUAAUUUAUCAAUAAAUAAUUAAAUUUAUCCUUGCAUCGGUUUAUGAACUUUGUCUGAUAGUUAUUCCUCUUGCUAGAGUUUUGCUAUUAUUGAUUCAAUUUUAUUUUAUUUGUGUUAUUUUGAUCUUACUGAAUUUAGUUGGUUAAUUCCAAGUAUCUCCAAACUCCCCCAAUUAAUUCUCACUUGAAAAGAAAUAAAUUUUUCCAAUCCUUGUGGAGACGAUCCUGCUCAUCACUGUAUACAGUUUUAUAUUUAUCUCGAGUAGGUAAUUAUUAUUACACACACUGACAUCGGUCAAGUGAUGCUUUCCAUAGUCUGAACCUAGUUGAGGAUGACGAAAAUUAGUCUUGCCCUGUUAUGGACUGUAGGAAUGGUGAGAGAGGAAGGGAAGAAGCAGGCCUUGAAAAAAUGAGCUAACUUGUGCAAAGAGUGGGUGGGGAACGUUAACAUAACUUUUUGUGCGUUUUCUCCUGAUGUAAUUGUCGGCAAUAACUUUGUCCAGUGCUAAGGGAAACACCCAUCGAUUUUGCAUUUCUAGUUUGAUAUUUGAGGGCCUUUGCAUCUCUGAAGAUCAAAUGGUACAGUUUGGAAUUGCUGAUGGUUCUGCGGCAAGUGUAUUUUUUUUUUCCUUGAAAUUUCAUCAAAGCCGCUCUUCUUUUUUUUUUUGUCUUUUUUUUUCUAAUGUAAGUGAGAAGGUUUGAACCCAAUAGCUCUUAUUUAUACUCCGUUCUCUCGUACCAUCUAACCCAUUCCUCUACUAUCAUCAAAAUUGCUGUUUUAAGAAGUAAGAACAAGCAUUAAGUCAUGUCCAGUGCUAAGGAAAACACUGGUUGAUUUUGCAUUUCAAGUUUGAUGUAUAGGGGCCUUUUCAUCUCUGAAGAUCAAAUAGUACAGUUUGGAAUUGCUAAUGGUUCUGCGGCAAGCUCAAUAUCAAAUGGUACAGUUUUGAUCCUUGUUUUAAGUUAUCAAGGGGUUAAGUAACUUCAUGUUUUGAUCCUUGUACUAUUUUUUUUUAUUUACAUUUUUGGGUUUUCUGGAUAAAAUAGUACUACUUAUCAUAAACACGGGCGAAAUUUUAGAGCAACUUCAGAAACAUGUGUGUUAAAGUGGAGCUCAAGACUCCCAGAUAAUGAGAAUGUACUCAAGCCAAUAGGCCAGUGGUUGCUCUUGAUUACCAACAUAUGCAUAUGCAUAGAUCAUCUGCAUUUUUUGUUCCUAAUUGCCAGCAUAAUCCACAUCUUUUGAUUUUACAAAAAUGCUGUAAAAAAAAAAGUCAUGAGCCCCUCUAUACUACGAGAAGAUGAUUGAUUGUUCACCCAGAUUUUGUCAAGUUUAGAAAAAAAAAAUCUUUAGAGUGAAUUGAAUCAAAUCCAAAUUUUGUGUUUAGUGACAAUUCCUAAAAGAGAAUGCAAUGAAGAUUUUCAGUGUAAAACAUUUAAGAACCAGUCAUGCACAUUGUAGGUUUAUUAGCACAAAGUAAUUAUGCUAGUCAAUGAUGAAUGAUCUCAUAUGCAACGCGAGUUGAAACAUUGGCAAAUUGGGAAAGGAAAGAAUAGAUUGGGGAUACCUAUAACUUAAAAGGAGUCAUAUAAUAAACUUGGUGCAUGUUCAGUAUUCGCUAUAUUUACAAGACAAGCCAUUAUUGAUGUGGGUUUGUACAAGCAGAGUGAGGACAAAUUGGGUUUAUGUAUUAUCUCUCACCAAAAUUUAAAAGUUAUUAUUUGGAGCUUUUAAUGAAAAUUUUCUGGUAGAUAUUAUUAACACACUUCUAACCUGCCUACCUUCUUGGACUGGACAUUGUUGAUUUCAUUGACGAAGCAAUAAAACUGCUACAGAGUCUUUUGCUCCUUCUAGUAACAUAUAUAACCUUCCUUCCUAUAUGGAAUUAAUUUCUGCUGACCAAUUAGUAUUUGUAAUAAAAACGGAUGGAAUAUCAAAGAAGCCUUGGGAACAAAAUGUGAGACUACAUUGAUUUAGGAGGCCUUUGAACAGCAUGGAAAUUUAGCACAUGUGCAAUUUUUAGUCCCUAAAAUAUUGGUAGGAACAAUUUCGGUCCGCCAUGUUAUCGUUUUGAAGUAGAUUUAGGAUGAUUGAUGAAUUUUUUUAAAUAUUGGUAGAAUCUGUUACGUGUGAUUACAUGUUUGUUAAUUUUAAAUAUCUUAAAAAAGAAGCAAAAUAGCGAGUACUCUUCAAUAAUAAGACCCGUUUACAUGAUGCCAUGUCGGUAACUAAUUAAUCAAGAGGGAAAAAAAAGAAAAUUUGUUAAUCUAUGUGACGCCCCCACUUCUCCCUAAGGCGAACCAAAGGGUAUCCGCGGGACGCCUGCCCAGCUCUCGCCAGGACUCACUACAAUCCAUCAUUUAAAAGCUCGAAAUACUUUAAGUAACCUCAAUACAUAAUUAAAGUAUUUCAAAUAUCUCACACUUACAAUUAUGCAGCUUUCAAGGUUAAAUACAACCCAACGGAAAAGGGUACAAUAGCCAUCCGUUAUAAUAUAACUUAAAGUUUUCAAAAGAAAACAAUCUAGUACUACUCACGAGCACCCUUGGUCUCGAACCCUGUAAAAGAAAUCCACAACGUGGUAUGAGCUACACAGCCCAGUGAGGUUCCAAGACACUCUAACAGUUCAAAUAAAUCAAGUAAGUUGGGCAUAUCAUAUGCAUGGUUCAAGGUUACACAAUGGCAUGUUAUCAUGAGGUGAUAAUCAUUGUACGGGUAAUUUGAGACAUUUAUCAUGGUAUGAGACAUUUAUCAUGAGACAGGUAUCAUGGUAUGAGUACAUUGGUCAGGUAACAGGUAUGGAGCAUAUCACAGGCAUAGCUCAGGAUUUCAUGUUGGCAUUUUAGCAUGAAACAAUUAUCAUGAUACAAGGUAAACAUAUACGGUAGGAUACGGUGUUCCAGUGGAACUCUGUCGGUCAUCUGCACCUUAUGACUUCCGGAUCCCCUCGGUUUGACUGGCCAUCACCUUAUCCCUCCAAUGGUAAUACUCGAGUAUACCGAAACGGUGUCCCAAGGUUCCAACCUACCCUACCGAGCCCAGUCCUGGCUCGAGUAGGUUAGUAACGAUGAGCAGGGCCCAAUUCAGCUUAGAGCUUACAACAUGCACAAGUAAUCAAGUAAUUCGGCAAAAGGUAAAAUUCAUCAUUUGAGUAGGUCGAGUGAGGUAAAGUACACACUCGCCUAACAAUGAUGGACAACUUCAUAUAACAUGGGAUUCAUGAUAAUCAAGUGAUCAAGUAAGUUGGUGAUUACGUAAGCAGAUAAUCAAGUAAGCAAGUAGCCGAAUAGAUUAGAAAACGGUAAGUAAACAUGGUUAACGGUAAACGGUUAACGGUGGUAAUUACGGUUAAUUGGUAGACAUAUGUCAUUUUAAUAGGCCACCAUUGGCCUUUUUCACUUUUUCCACAUAAGAGUCGAGGAGAUUCACUCCAACCGACUUAUGCUGUCAUAGCAUAAUUAAUCAUUUAAACACAUCAUGUAGAUAUGCUCUCCAAGCAUUUCAUAUCUAAUAUUUCAAGUAAUCACAUAAAUAUGCUCUUUAAGCAUUUCAUAUCGAAUAGUUCAAAUAUACAUAUUUCAGGUAUUUCAUGUCGAGUAAUUCAAGUAUACCUUAUUCAGAUAUGCAUGAGUGUGGUAAAUACUUAACAUAUAGCACUUAACACUUAAUAAUCAUGGGUUAUGCAUGUCAUAGACUUAUUCCAAUUACGUAUUCCUAUAUGGAACACUCACCUAUAGCAACAAGAGAGUAAUACUCAAACAAAUGUCUAGGCGUCCACUUCGAGUUCCUCUUGAAGGUCCCCUUGAGCGCCUGGGCAAAUAACCAUUAACUAUUAUACACUAUCACUUAGAACCCCUACUUAUCAAAGAAGGUUAUACAAUCUAAGGAGAAUUCAUUAAUUGGGCCUUAAUUAAUAAUAAUCGAGGCUCAAGAGUAAAGUUUUAAAGUCUAAAGAGAGAGACUAAUAUUUUUCAUGAAAUCGAGUUCAAAAUGUUCAAUCGGUAUUGAGAAAAGAAGGCAAGUUUCCAAAAUCUCAUUUUCUAAGAAAUUGACAAAUUUCAGCUUUGGGUGUCAAUUUUAGAAAAAUCGUAUCUUGCACUAUGUAGGUCCAAAAUUGGAAAGCUUGAUACCGUUGGAAACUUCUUCAAAAGCGCUAAAAGUUCCUAGAAGAUACUUUUCCAUGAUUCCAAACAGAAGGUAUUCAAAAAUUGACUCAAAGUUGCUGCUUGGGACCAUUUAGACAGUUUCGGGGUUGGUUUUUGACCAUCUUUGAAAAUCCAGCAAAAUUCACACAAUACGAACUAGCCUCCAAAAUUUAGAACUCAAUUAGAGCUACAAUCAAAGUUUAAAACAAAACAAACGGUACAAGAAUUGAAGUUUUGAGCGCCAAGAUAUAGCAGCUCAAAGUUGGCUAAAAAUUCCUCCUCGAUCAAGAAUUUCCAGAUUUAAACAUGAACUUUGGGACUUUGUUUGAACAUCUAAACAGACUCGAAAUGGCACCAAAUUUGGUAUGAUUAUACUACCAUAUAAGGGCUAUUCCUCUGUCAAAUUUCAUAGAAAAAUAUGCACGGAAAGUCACUCAACGAAAUCACUCAAGUUUCCAAAUUUUUAAGGCAAAGCUGCCUCGUGUAUGAAAAUUUCCUUUUCUAAACUUUUGACCAAGGGAAGAUACCUAAAACAUGUCUCGUUUAUGAUAAUCAGGUCUAGCAAGAAUUCAAAAUACAUUUGAUAGGUGAUUUACAUCAAGAAUUUCGAAAUAACAAGUCCCAAGUCAUUGUUAGUUACAAAUCUGUCCAAGUGGAAAAUUCUAUCACUGUAGCUGUUUCAAACUUUGGCCACAACUCACUCAAUUCAACUUGGAAUUGGGCGUGGUUGAUGGCGUUGGAAAGCUCUCUCAUAAAGCUGAAUUUUCUCAGAAGAAACCAUUUUCAAAUUCCAUUCACAAACAGCUCGUUUUUGAGCAUGAAGAUACAAGUCCUGUCCUGUCUCCUGGAGAGAAACGAAACAGGACAGUGAUUUUCAAUCGAAUGGUGUUGCUCACUCAAGUGGAACUAGAAUGUGCAUUUGGUACCAAUGGAAAGCUGGGAAUGCCUAGUUUCAAAUGCCACCAACGGCACUCAAUGUUGACAUCGGAGUAAAGAGUUAUAGCCGAUACAAGAUGACUGCCUGGGCAAUACGGGAUUCAUUUUCCAGUUUUGCUAACUUUGGAAAUCAACUCAUUUAACCAACCAAAUCAUGUUAUUUUUCAAUGAAAUUUUGUACACACUCACAAUAACAUGUAAACAAUAUAAUCAAGUCAUUAGAACCUCAAAAUUGUGCACAAAAAUGGUCGGACAAGGCAGGGGUAAAACGGUCACUUUUGCUCCAAGCACCUCCUAUGAUUUUCUACCAACAAUACAACAUUAAUCCACUAAUUUAAGCACUAAACCACCAUUAAAUCCAUCAUCAAGCAUGAGAUCAGUCCUCAAGACAAAGGUGGGAGUUCAUAGAGCCCACCCAUUUCAUUUUACACCAUAAACAAGCUACCCAAAUACAAAUACUACCUUAUACAUGUAAGAUGAUCUUCAUAAAGUAAGAUUUAAGUGUUGGAUUAACACCUACUUGAUUAGAGGAUGAAGGCAGAAAUUUCGGCCCCUUAGAUGCUCAAGAAAACCAUGGAUAGCAGCUCCUUUUCUUAGCUCAAUGGGAUCUCUAAAUGUUUAGUUAAGUGUAGUUCGAAUUUGGAGUGAAUUGGAAGAGGUUUGAUGAAGAUUUGAUGAAGGAAAAAUGAAGAACUUGGUCUUGUUUUUCCUUGGAGUUGCACGGCUGGAAUGAAGAAGGAAAAGAAGAGUUGCACGGCUGUUUGAGGUGAUAAAGUGGAGGGUUUUUAUCUGGUGUGAUGCACCCAUGUGAAACUAAAAUGUGUGGCUCUCAUUGAUUCAAAGGUUAACUCUUUUUCCCGCGCGUUUCGUGUUCGAUUCCUCUCGAAUUUGUUUCACUGGUGCACUAAACCUCUAAUGCACUUAUAUUCAUAUAAAUAUUAUUCACUCUCAAUCGUCCCAAAAUAAGGGUCUAAAGUUCCUGAAUUUAAAUCGCGCGUGUGAAAACGCGUAUCUCCAAUUUAAGCGCGAUAACGCGAAACUUCCGAGAAAUUCUUAUAACGAUAGUACUAAUAACUAUCACUUGAGUAUUUAAACAUUAAAAUACCGAAUUUAGGUCCAUUGUACAUGUCUCCAAUAUUCCAAACUUAUUGUACUCUCAAGCGGAUAAAAUCUCCAAGCACUAUUCACUAUUUUUACUAAACGCGCUCCAGGAAAUUAAUUCGUGAAAUGAGUUACUUUAAAAAUAUAACGAAGUUAUAUUACCAUGCAUUUAGGUCUAAUAAGACUAGAAAAUAUUCCUCGAGGCAAAUAUCCAAUUAAAUAAUUUAUUAAGCCACAAAUUAGGCUUAAAAAUAAUAGUUUUUACGAGUCCUCACAAUCUAUCUGAAAUGUUACGAUUUUGUGCUUGGCAUAGUCUGGAUAGAGUGUAAAAAUGAGUUCUAUAUCAAUGAAUUGUGUGCUUCAACUAAUUUGAGUUUAAAAAUUUUCAAUUUUUACUAGUUAAUUAGUUAGCAUAUGAAUUAUUAGUUCUUACUUUUGUUGUUUAAAGUUAGCUACUAUUUUGCUUCUUUGUUUUGAAAUGUAAUUUAAUGGACACAUAAUUAGACGUGACUAAAAUAUGUUAGUAAUUGAAAAAAAAUUCUUCAAAUGUCCUAAAUCUAUUAGUAAAAUGGAUAUAUUAGGGACCAGAUUUGCUCUUGCAAAAAUUUUAGGGACCAAAACUACACAAUUAUGUUAUUAAUUAUAUUAUUAAAUAUAAAGAAUUGGAUUAUAACUAAAUUAUUAUAUUGUAUAUAUAUAUGUAUUAUAUAUGCAUCUAUGAAUUUAAAUAUAUACAUAUUUUCGUAUAUGGGGGAUGGGGUGGGUGUAUGUUACCCUGCCCCCCGCCCCGUUUUAAGGUAGGGGAAAAUUUUCUCCCCCAGCCCUGUCGCAUCCUCCUCCCUAUUUCUAUCCUCAUGGACACUUGCCCUUGUUGCCACCCUUAGCUUUAAGUACCCUUAUUUUUGAGUAAAUUAAACGUAACCUUCUAUGGUUCCACUAAUUGUCAUAUAACUACCAUAAUAUUUCAAAUAACCUCUAUAACAUCAUUAUUUCAAAUACUAAUAAUGUCCUUAUUUAAAUGAUAAAGCGAAUAAAUGUUUAACCACCUUGGAUAAAACCGCAAGAAAAUUAUGUGGAUAAACGUAAAAAAAUACAAUGAGGCAAAAUGCAUAUUUAUUUAAAUCAUAGAGGGUUAAUUGGAUUUUAUGAUUCCAUCACACAAGUUUUUGGGAGUGCAUUUGGUUUAAACACCUAACCAAUGGUGCAUUCCUUCCAUUUUCUACUUUACAUAAAAUUACAUGAAGGUUAUACAACUAUUAUGAAACUUUAGAGGUGUUAUGUGGCAUUGAAGAAAAUUAUAGGGGGAUUAUAUGUAAUUUAUUCUUUUUUUACAUGAAUUGUAGGUAUAUAAAUUAUUUUAAUGCUUUUUCGACAAAAUGAUAUAGAACUUUGGGGGGGGGGGGUUGGUCAAAUGAUGUUGUAAUCAAUAGAGAGAAAUUUGAGAAGGAAUAUGAGGGUCCAAAUCUUAUGUACUAGAAACUAGUUUCCUGAAUUUUAAAAAAGAAAGUUAAUUAGUGAUCCUCUCUUCAUAUUCUUUUUUUUUAAAUUUUUAACUCAAUAGAACUUAAAAUUUGCUAGCGCCAUACGUUAAUCAAACAAAUUGCAAAACCAAUCGUUCUUGAUUGCCCACAUGUUGUUAAACCUUAUCUCCAGCAUUCGUUCUUGAUUGCCCGCCUAAUUUACCUAGAUUUUGUCACCUUUAGAAGUGAAAAUAUAGUUUAUUAGUUUGAUUUUGACCUUUUACUAUUGACUAUUACUUUUAUUGAAAAAACUAAUAGUGAAAUUUUAACCUAAAUCAUGAGGAAGCUAUAUAUAGGUUUUUUUCAACCAUAUGAGAGUUAUGUGGUAAAGUACCAAAUCAUAGGGGAUAAAAUAUAAUUUACUUAACUUAAUAGGGAAAAUGUACUUUUCAUCCCCAUAUGAGAGUUAUGUGGUAAAGUACCAAACCAUAUGAGAGUUAUGUGGUAAAGUACCAAAUCAUAGGGGAUAAAAUGUAAUUUACUUAACUUAAUAGGGAAAAAUGCACUUUACAUCUCCAUUAUUUAGGAUGUUAGACAAUUUCAUUCCUAAAGUUUGAAUCAAAACACAUUUCAUCCUCAUAAUUUUAUAAUUUUGACCAAUUUCAUCCCUAAAAUUUCAUGCAAACACAUUUCAUCCUAAUAGUUUCAUAAAUUUGACUAAUUAAGGACAAUUGAUAGAUUGUCAAGUAAUUUGAAUGAAAUAUCAUCACAUGACCAUAGAGUACCGAAUAGUAAAGUACAAAAAAAAACACUGGAUCAACAAAAAAACUCAAAAAUUAUUUUAUAAUUCACUUUAUUAUUUAAAAAAUAAUAAAUUUUUAACCACUGUUACUCUCUUCUUAAUCACAAAUUGUACAAAAAGUUUGAGAGGAAAUGACGUCAUGGACAAGAAACAACCCUAUUAUAGCCAAUUGAAGAAAUUUUUCAAACAAUCCCAUUGCAACCAAUUGGAGAAAAAUAUUAACGUGAAAGAAAGAAUUUUUAGAUUGUCAUUUAUUAUGCAAAAUUUUGUUUUGUUGCAUCAUAUAUUUUGUUGGAGAAAAAUAUUAACGUGAAAGAAAGAAUUUUUAGAUUGUCAUUUAUUUUGCAAAUUUUUGUUUUGUUGCAUCAUAUACAUGUUUUUCAAAUUGUUUACCUAUCAUCUAAUCUAUUUUUUUUAUCUCACAUAUAUCAUAUCAUAAUUUUUUUUUAAAAAAAUCUCUUAUUUGAACACACUCAUUAUUAUUUAUGUAAUUUAAUAAAGGGUAAAUGUAACGACCCCACCUCCCCCUAAGGCGUACCAAAGGGUUCGGCGGACCGCCUGCCCAGCUCUCGCCAGGACUCACUCACUUACUACAUUCCACAAGUAAAUUACAAGGUACAACUCAAAUAAUACAUCCAAUUCUCCAAAAUUACAUAUCAUAAGCGAAGCGGAAACUAGUUCUAAGCAUAAAAUAUAGAUUUACAUCCGAUUCAAUUCCAAAUAUUUAUACAGCCCAAAAGUACAUAAACCAAAACCAAAACUAAACUAUACAAGAUGUACGCCAUCCAGCCACCCAAAGAUCCAAAUACAAGUUCUUCCUUUACCUCGAUCCCUGUGGGGAGAAGAAGAUAAUAGGGGGUGAGCUAGAAGCUCAGCGAGUGACCAGUAAAAUCAACAGCCAAGUAUAUUUCACAAUCAAGCAUUGAUAUGAUGUCAUGAUGCAGUAAUCAAAUGUUCAUUUAUUGCUCAUGUGAGCCAGUGAAAUUCUUGUGCUUAAAUAUCCAAUGCUCGUUUAGAUCAAGUAACCGUGAAACAGAAGUAAGGAGCCAUCGGGCUCCAAAGAAUGUGUAAACAAUAGUGGAGACAUUGGUUCUAAGCACAAGACUUUCCAGGAACUCAUUGGAGCCAAUUAUGUCAUGGCACACACCCGAACCCCAAAUGAUAUGCAAUGGAGUAAUAAAUGCAAGAAUUAGUUCAAAAGUAACUUUGGGGACAGUCGAGGGAUCACUCACUCAAACUAUAGUGCUUCACGUAGUCACGUUCAAUUAUACUCCAGGUUUGGAGUCCAGAUCUGCGAUAGAAAUCCAAUUUGAGAACUUUGAAACACGAGUAAGAUUUGAAACUUAAACGUUCCGUUCAUAAGAAUCAACCAAUUGAAAUUCAUUUGAAAGGCAUUCGUGAAACACUUGCUCGCUUUUCAAAUCAUAAGGUUUUUUUGUAGCAUAUAUACUUGGAAACAAUACUUGAGUUAAAAGUACAAGGAAAUACAAGUUUACAUUGGCCAUUAUAUCUUUUCCUCAAGAGUACAAGUUCGUUUAGGUUUUUAACGUAUAACCAUUGAUAACAAAGUAGCAAAAGUUCUCGCUAGUUCAAGUGGUAAUCACUUAACCUUCACUCAAGUUGCAAAUAUAGUUUUCUAGUUCUCGAGUAAAAAUUCGGCAGCAUGCCCUUUGUGUUUACCUAAUUUUCCAGCCAUUUAGGCUUCAUUAUUUUUCUCAACCAAAACCCAACAUCACAUAUAUCAGCAAUUCAUGACAAGAGCCGUUCCAUAGGCUCACAAUAUCAUAAUAAUAAGAUUCACAACGAUAGCAAGUGCAGAAAUUCAAUCUAGCACAAAACAGAUUUGACGUAUGAAAGCGGAAAUAACAUAUCCGAGGCUACGCUUAUCGGAUUGAGGUGCAACCUAUGCCGUUUCGAAGCUAAGACACAGGGCUACAAUGUUCAUGAAGGUCACUUAGUCCAGUUUCUAAUGUAACUUGGUCAAAUUCUCAAAAUACUAAACCAGAAACCAAUUCAUCGGCUGUUUAAACGCAGAACACUGUAAUGGUCAUAACUCAGUGUACACAAGUCCAAAUCAUGUGUUCUUAGAGGCAUUUUAAAGCUACUUCAGAACACUACAACUUUCAUGUUUUGGCCCAGAGCUAAAUCAGAAUGGAUCCUGGUCAAAAAUCGUGAUAAACUGGACCUAACUGCUGAAACGGACUGCUGGGAAAUACUUAAAACAGUAGGGGUAUUUUGGACUUUUCACGUCCUGCGUUGCUCCGAUUGAGCUGAAAUUUUGUAGGCACCUAUAAAAUGCCAUUCUCUACAACCUUUCUUCUUUGACCUAAGGCCAAAUCAGCCUCUAACACACAGAUAAAAAUUCGGACAGAAUGUGGAGAGAAUUUUCCAGAUUUUGGAAUUUUUGAGUUUCUAGUGAAUCUUUCCUUAAUUUCUUGGUCCAAUCACUACCAAAACACCAUAUAACACCUCAAUUGCAACAUAUAAACAUCAUACAAUCAUUUGGGCAGAAUUUCCACAAGCCCUAGUUCAUCAAAUAAAUUGGGGAAAACUACUAAAACAUGCUCAUCAUCCAUGAUCUCACCAUAAAAUCAAGUUACUAAGCUUAAUUAAACAAGAUUAGAAGUGAAACUUGGAGAGAUAAACUCUCUUACCUUGAAUAAAAGUCACCAAGAGUAGCACAAGCUCUCCCCUUCAAGAAUCACACCACAACUCACUAGCUAGUCACUAGAAAACAAGUUUAAUCGGUUUACUUCGCUCGAUUCCUCACUUAUUUGUUGGAUUUGGAGAUGAAAUGAAAGAUUUUCCCUUGGAGUUUCUCUUCUUGUUGUUCUCGGCCAGCAGCACCCAAAAUGAAGAAGAAAAAUGCUAAGUGUUGGAGUUAAAUGGUUGGGGUUAGUCUUGGGUAAGAAGCCAUGAGGUGGUGACAAGUGUCACCACCACCACCUUUCUUUUUUCUCUUUCCUUCUUGUUAUUUCUAGCCUCAUAAUUUCGGUCAAGGCUGCUACAAUAUAAGAAGAUAUUAUGUGCAAAAGUCAACAAACUUGUUGGGUAAGAAAAAUUGUGGUCAAGCAGUACGUUCAAUCGGUAAUGCGCGGGACCCGCCGGAUCGCGCCGUUUUUCUUAAAAACUCACGUACUAGGUUUUUCACUUCCCAUUCACAAACCUUAUAUCAUUGCCACUAGUCACAUCUUAUUUCUCACUUAAAAGUCACUUUUAAUCCCCAAAUUAAUUCUUACUUUGUACCGAAAAUUCAUUCGGCUAAAAAUCGCGAAAACCCUAAUUCCGCUCCAAACUUGAAACCGAAGCGUAAAACCCUAUUUUCUAGGUCUAUUUACACUUAGAGUGAAAUAUUUGGGUAGUGGCCUUUGAUAAAUAAUAAUUUUCAAAUAAAAGGGUAUUUUAGUACUUAUUGGGCCUUAUCGGAAAGCCUUAAAGAGUUGGCUCUUUAAGCUCUUUAUGCGGACCGAAUUUCUUCCAGAUUUAUUUGGGCCGGAUUCCUCACAAAACUCUAUUCACCAGAAAUUUUUCCUUUUCUUCUGCCUCGGGGCGUUACAGUAAAAUACAUAAAACCCCCAUGUGGUUAAGGAAAUUGAUACGAAACUUCCUCAUUAUUCAAAAACUCCCACAUAACCUCCUUGUGCUUUGGACUAAUUUGGAAAAUGGACGGAAAUCAUCCAAAUUGAUGGAAAGAUAUAAAUUUCCUAUAUUAACCCUAUUUACAAACUGAAUCAAAGUUUAACUCAAGUCUCAAUUAAAGUUUUAAAAACUUUCUUCCUUCAUUUGAAACAAAGGUAGAACUAAGGGGCUCAUUUGAAAUUUUAUAAGAUGUAUCAUCUUCUUCAAGGAAAUGUCAGAACGUUCUGGGCUUUGCGGUCAUUCCGGCUUCAUCCUACAUACCAUCUUCGAGCUUCCUAGCUUCGGAGCUAAGACGCCGCCAAAGAAACAGAGAUGGAUAUCUCGCGGCAUGCUCCUAGUUGCUCUUAGUAGAUAGCCAGGCUUUAUACUUCCCAACGACUUAUAUUGAUUCGUUCCCGGCCUUGAGAAAUGCCCCACCGUGCCUUAAGAAGGUCUGAUUCUUUGGCAGUUGAACAGGCAGGCGCCAGAUCCCGCCCAAGUGACAUAGAUUUAGCUAUUUUAGUGGGGUUCAUCCUUCUGUUUCCUCAAAUCAAGUUUACUCCGUCAAAUGGUUUGAUGCCCAAUUCUACUUUUUUUCUUGAAUUUGAAUCACUUCCUCUUUAUCGUCAUUCUUCUGUUUAACUGCGUUCUGGGCUUUGCGGUCAUUCCGGCUUCAUCCCACAUGCCAUCUUCGAGCUUCCUAGCUUCGGAGCUAAGACGGAGCCAGGGAACUCAACCCGUCCAUUGCCUUAUUUGAAGUGGAAUCAGCAGCAUAUUGGCAUCAAAGGCCUUCAUACCAUUCUCUUUGAAUGCUCUAGGCACUCAGCCUUUUAUACGGUGGAUCGGCUGAGGUCUAUCGGCCUCGCCUUGUUCACCAUCUUUGGAUUCCGGCACAGCAGCAUACUCGCUACUGUCUCUGCCGCCGAAUCAGAAUCGAUCUCUGAAGGAAUGGUACUUGUUGUUGUUGGCGUUGUUUUUCCCAAUCCCCUCUCCCUGGAGGGCCGCUAUUCUGCUUCUUUGCAUUCACGAUCAAUUGGUGUUACGUUGGGAUCAAUUGAUCGAGAACUUUUUGUCAAUUUUUGAGACUAUUAGAUUGAGAAUUUUUAUUGUUAUUUUGUGCUCUAUCUAAUUGGAAAAUUUUUGGUGUUAUUUUGGGAUCAUUGAGUGUUGAAAGAUUGGUGGUAGAGUUGCUGGUGAUUGGUGGUGAUGGUGGAGCUACUGGUGAUCAGUGGCGGUACUGAUGAUGAUUGGUGUUCACUGGAGUCGUUGACCAUUUUGGUGUUAUUGACCAGUUUGGUUGCGAGCAGGAAAGAAACGGAGAAGGAAAAUAAACAAAAAAAAAAUUGACAAAACACUGCAAAAUACUAAAUUGUCCUUGACAAUAUCACUUGAAACUCCCUUAAUAGACGAGCUUAUCUCAAACGCCGUUAAUUUGGAUGAUUUCCGUCCAUUUUCCAAAUUAGUCCAAAGCACAAGGAGGUUAUGUGGGAGUUUUUGAAUAAUGAGGAAGUUUCGUGUCAAUUUCCUUAACUACAGGGGGGUUUUAUGUAUUUUACCCUUUAAUAAAUAACCGAAUUAGGUAUUAACAAUACAAUUAUUAACGGGACAUGUUAGUCAUGUGAUGAUAUUCUGCUUAAAUUGGUUAAAAAUCAUUCAAUUGUCCUAAAUUGAUCAAAUUUAUGAAAAUAUGAGGAUGAAAUGUAUUUGCAUGAAAUUGAUUAAAAUUAUAAAAUUACAAGGAUAAAAUGUGUUUGGACUGAAAUUGUUCAACACCCCAAACAUUGGGGAUGGAAAGCGCAUUUUACCCUAACUGAAUAUUAGCUAGCCCUUACAUUGGUAGAGCAAAUGGGUCAGUGGUUGCUCUUGACCGCCAACAUACUUUUUUUUUUCAUUAAGUGUAAGCGGGAGAAUUCGAAUCCGAAACUUCUCGUUUACACUCCCUCCCCCCGUACCACCCAAUCCAACCCACCCCCACGUAGAUCAUCUACACUUUUGCUCCUAAUUGCCAGCAUAAACCAUAUCUUUUGAUUUUCCAAUAAAUACUGCAAAAGAAAAAAAGAAAAAAUGACGUGUCCUUGUAUACUACUAGAAGAUUAUUGAUUGUGCGCCCAGAUUUGUCUAGUUUAGGAAAAAAAAAUUAGAGUGAAUUGAAUCGAAUUCAAAUUUUGUGCUUAGUGAUAAUUCCUAAAAGAGAACGAAAUAUAGAUUUUGAGUGUAAAAAUAUUUUAAGAAAUAGUGAUACAUAUUGUAAGUUUAUUAGCACAAAGUAAUUAUAAUACUCAAUGAUGAAUGAUCAGCAGAUUUGGGAAGGAAAGAGCAGAUUGGGGGAUAUUUGAUCAACAUAUCCAACAUUCGCUACAUUUACCAAACAAACCAUAUUAAUAUAGGUUUACAUAUUAUCUCUUAUCAAAAUUUAAAAUUGAUCGUUUGCUAAAUAAAGAUUAAGACACAAAAAGAUAAAGAGUAAUACUAUACAGUACAUUAACAAAAUCAAGCAUUAUACACAAUACAUACAAUAAAUAAGGAGGUAAGACACAGAAGAUGAUUAACUUCUCUCACCGUCACGGAUGUCGAAGGGGAAAAAAUUUACUAAUAAAAAAUAAAAAACAAAAGCAGUUUUGUCCACAACAGAGAGGGUGCAAACCAGAGAAAGGGGAAUGAUUUAUGUUUUCUUCUUCUUCUUCCCCCAUAGCUGGCGCUCUCUCCAUUCCCCAUCAUCUGUAUAGCAACCAAUGACAAUUUCAGGAAUGUGUGCGAUUCUUCUGUAAUCUUCACUUUCUUCCUUCUGAUUCUCUACCUUUUCUAUCAUUUCAGAACUCAUCUCAUACAAAUACAGCCCUUGAAGAUGGCUCAAGUGCUGAAUACCCAAAGGUAACUCAUCUAGUAAUGGAAGUUGUUCCAGAAUGAGUUCAUGGAGACGAGGCAAUGCACCCUCCUCCACUCUCAUCCAUCUCAACCCUUCCAUUCUCUUUAGGUGCAACUUCUUCAGAUUGAGGAACCCUCCAGCUUGGAAACACAACCCUUCUCCCUGGUAAGAUCCACAGAAAUUAAUUUUACCCAAAUUCGGCAAAUGUCGGAGGGAUUCAAGCGUAUCCUCAUCACCCCUUAACCUGCUCCAAUUCAAAUCUAUUCUUACCAAGCCGUGAAGAUGAGCUACCCAUUGUGGCAUCUUUUCUAAGCGGCUACACAAAAUCAGCAGAUGAAGAGAUUGAAGAAAAGAAGAAGAAGAAAAGGAAGAAGGAUGAUGAUGAUUUAGAUCGAUUAUCUCAUGAUCAUGAUCACCUUCUCCAAUUGAUUCAAUGCUUAAUCUAUGGAGACUGGUGAGGUUGGCAAGGGAGGAGCAGAGCUCCUUUCCAUCUUCUCUUCUUAACUUUGUAAUACCUAAUUCUCUUAAUUGGGUCAGCUUUCCUAUCUCCUUGACUACUGCAGAUCCACUACCAGCAUCUAUGUUAUCCAAUAUUUCUAGGGCAAGAAGCGCUCCCAUAUUCGAGGGAGCUUUAAAUCCAUGAAAUCCAUAAUCAUCAUCGGAAGAAUCAACUUGUUGAUAUACUUUGAGAACCCGAAAUUUUUGCAGCUUUAGGAUUUCCAUGGGUAAUUCCCUAACUCUUGUGUCAGCCAAAUUCAGAUACUCCAAAUGUUGAAGCUUGCCAAUGGCUUUCGGGACUCUCUCCACUCUCGUACCCCCUAGGUGUAGAUACUUGAGAUGAAACAUCUUGAAAAUCUCAUUUGGUAUUUCCUCCUGGGUCUCUUGACCACCCAAAUCCAAAACCUUUAACAGCUUACUACUCCUUAAAACAUCAGAUAACAACAGUUUGAAUAGUAGCGGGCUCAUGGAUCCAAAUGUAACGAACGACUGAAGGUGGUCAAAGCAGUAGCUUCUUCUUUGUUGGUGGUCCUCCUGGGUGUUGUUACUACUACUAGUAUGGAGUACUAGACGGCGUACCUUGUCGGACGGCCGCAUCAUUGGUUGUCCAGUAGUAAUUGUGACCAUGUUUUGUUCCCUUGACUUGAGAACAAUAACUUCUCUCAACAGGUCAUGGAUUCGACAAUUGUCGGGUAAUCCUUCAUAAUACACCUUAGUCACUUGAAUUAGGCUUCGAUUGACGAGUUCACUAAGACAACCCCAGGCUACAUCUUCAAUACUCAUUCCUUCUCUCCAUUCUACGAACCUUUCAGCAAUCCACAAAUUAAUGAGUCUAUAGCAUUGUAUUUCGUAAUCCUUUGGGAAGAUACUUGUGUACAACAGACACGUCUUUAAAUGCCCAGGCAAAUCAUUAUAACUGAGAGAAAGUAUCCUUUUAACUCUGUCCAGCUUACCAGUGCCUUCUAAUUCACCCCCAAGACUGCGUUGAACCAUCUCCCAUUCCUCUAUUCUGUUUACAUCUUUCAAAGCCAAAAACCCACUGAUUGCAAGAAUUGCAAGGGGCAAGCCCUCACAUUUUUCCAGUAUACCUUUGGCAACAUCCGUCAAAUGGCCAGGGCAACUAUUUCCCUUAAAGAUCUUGUUACAAAACAGGGUCCACGAAUCUUCAAAGGACAGUGGCUCCAUUCUGUGGAUGUAGCCUAGAGAUUCUGUACAAGAGGCAAAGGCUACAUCAACUUUUCGAGUUGUUAGCAUGACACGGUUGCCGUGGCUGCUCUUGGGCAGCGCAAAUUUGAUGGUAUUCCAAAAUUCCACGUCCCAUACAUCAUCAAAAACAAUUGCAUACCUUCCAGCUUGUUGAAGAAAAUCUUUGACAAAUUCUUUCAGCUCGGUGAUAUUCAAAGACUCGAUCGAUUGUGGGACUGGUUUCCUCCCUUCCUUGUGCAAGUGCCGAAUCAAGUCUUUCAGGAGGUACUGAAAGUCACAUGUUUGAGAGACAGUUACCCAAGCACGAGCUGGGAAAUGCCUUCUGACUUCAAGAUCCUCAUGGACUUUUUUCACUAGGGUAGUUUUUCCAAGUCCUCCCAUACCAACCACUGAAACAACUUUUAGUUGGUAAUCAUCCCCUUGGAGGAGCUGAGAAAUUAGAUGUUUCUUGGGCUGGUCAAUGCCAACUAAUUUAGCUUCUUCCACAAGCAGUGCGUCAUCUCUGCUAUAGCGCCAGGUUGUGUUGUUCACAGCAGAAAGUGAGUUGGUCACUUGGGCACAGAUACCAUAUUCGGAUUGGUAUCUUUGAUGACCUUCAGAAAUACUUUCGAUUCUGGACUUGAUGCUUUGUAUUUCGCUGGCAACUCGAUGACGAGCUCUCAAAUUCUUGAUGGAGCUGAAAAUUCUCCGAACAGAGCCGUAGAAUCCUGUUGUGCGAUGCCGGGCAAAGCGAGCUACAAAUUCAUCAAGAAUGUCUUCAGUGUCAUAAGCUGCUUCUAGCACUUGCUUGAUCCAUUCUUGGAGCUGUUGAAUUCAAAGUCUUGAAUUCUUCAAGCCUUAAUUGUUGACUUUUCUAAGGCCAACAAUUGUUGAAUUUGGUGGCCUAAUAUCUGUCCUACAUCGGUGGGAUUAUUGGAAGAACCUUAGCUUGAGAGCUAUAAAUAGCUCUCAAGUCCUUCCAAUUAAAUUGUACCAAGAACAACAAAGAAUUACCCAUAAGGAUUUUGUAAUUCUUUGUAUUCUUUCUUCUCUCCUAAAUUAUAAAAGCAGGUCACUUGAGUGGUGCUCGGAGAGUAGGCAAAAUUGGCCGAACUCCAUUAUCAAUUUUUCGGGUGCGUUCUUUCCUUAUCUCUUUUAUUUGUUCCGCAUUAUUUAUUAGUCUCUUUUCUAUUGUAGUAUAGUAUUCAAUAUAUUUGUCGGGUAUAUUUGUAGUGUUUUAUACGGUUCAUUUGGGUGUAUUUUUCUUAUUCGUGUGUACGUAUUAUUUAUGUAUACACGGGUAUAGUUGUGAUAAUACACCGUGCACGUAAGUUCUGUCUAGGAGACUGGGUUUUAAGUGGGACCGCUUGUGACCCCUCCAGCCUUUCCUGGAAAUUUACUUGGAAUGGUAAUUCUGUCUUAGGAGAUUGUUUCGACGAUCUUUCCUGAGAAUUACUGAAUCGGUUUAAUCACUAGUUGUAUUUUUGAGUGGGAAAUUACCCGAUUUCCCCAACAAGCCUGGGUUGAGCAUCUUCUUCUUUUGCUUCUGCCUCUCUCAGGAAAGCUCUCAUGUGCCCCAACUCAUCCAUGAUGAAUUGCACCUCUUGCCGAAGCCCUCCCAAUAGUCGUCCCUCCUCGCGCAGAAAAGUUGAGAGUUGACGCAGCACAAAAGAGAGAACUGUUUCUGCCAUUUUCAGUCUUUCUUUCUAACUUAAGAAUGUUGGGGAAGGCGGCUUCUGGUUUAUAGGACAGUCCACUUCUUGUAUCUUGAAAGGAAGAAGGAAGAGUAGGUUAUAGAUUCAUAAGCUGAUGAACUUUGAUACUAUAUGGUGCAGUAUACAUCACAAACAAAAACCGCGUCAAACAGAAAAAGAAAGAAUUAACCAAUUAGAAGAAACUAAAGCAAGAAACAGGAUGGAAAUUGAAGACAAGAAGAUAGGCAGCAAGGUGAGUUUGAAAGACGAAGCUGCCUUACCUGCUUACAAUACAAAAUCGUUGAAGCUAUUAAGAAGAUCAGCCUUCAGCUUCAGGACCUUCUUUCAACUGUGGGUCCUUCGGUAGGAUAAAGAUGAAGAGUGACUACCGCAGCAUCGUGCAAAGGCAAUGAUGUCGAAUUAUUUAACAAGGGAAGGAAUAAAGCAAUGGUGUCUGACCAAGUUUUCGGUAUGGACAUGAACGCGUUUUUUAUGUAGUUAAUAAAGAGGAGAGAGCACAAGAGAAUGAGAUCUACUUUAAAUAAAGAAAACCCCAAAAUGAAAAUGACAGUUCUGACUGAAAUGGAAGCCAGCUAUGAGUUUUCCCGGAACAUGUGAUGCAGAGGAAGGAGUUGAACAGAAAAGGCAACUCAAGACCUAAGUUCAAUUGACUAGCAAUAGCAAUAACUUACAGUUAAAGUGCAAUUGUUCAAUCAUAUCUUCAUUUUUGGUGAAGAAUGGGAAGGUGGAUACAUAGGUGAGAGCCAAAAACCCCAUUUUGGAAACCGGAAAUAAAUUACUUUAGUCAUUCAAUAAGAAGUAGGUCUAGAAUUACAAGAGAACUAUCUAAAUACUGCAUAUCAUUUCUUUUUUUUUUUUCCCCCUUUGAUUAUACUCAGUUUUUCUUUUGGCAAAACCCCAAGUUGGGGGAGGGAACUCAGUUAUAUAAACAUAGUUAUACAUAUUUUAAAAUUCAUAGUAAAAGUUCACAUGAAGUGUACAAAUUCACUCAAAACUAUGGGUUAUAAAAACAAACAUUAAAUGUGCAUUUUCAUAUUCUUUCAUGAGUAUACGUGAUUUUUUUAAUUUGAAUCACUGAUUUUGCGCACAUAAUCUUAAUUUUAUUAGUCUGUGAACAUUAGGUGGUUGGCCUGUCCUUCCGCUCUCACGAUGUGCUGAUAAAAAGAUGAAUAUGCUGUGACUGAUGAUGUUUCAACUACACCUCUCUCAGUUUGUGUUUUCUAAUUUUAAAAAUUUUUAAUUGAUAUAUCAAGUAAAGAUUUUCUUUUUCCUUUUUUUCCCCUGGCUUUCUAGACAAGGUUGAAUGUGAAGAAAGAAGUGAGAAUGAAAAUAUUGGAGAUGGAUAAAAUUAAAUGCUCAGCAUAAGACAAUUGAGGUAACGUUUAAGUGUUUAACUACUGAGCCAAAUCUCAUCACCACCAUCUUAUCAUGUCUAAUUAGUCUUUUAGUUCCUUGUAAUGUUAAAAAAAAAAAAAUGGAACCAAAUGGGAGCAUGGAAUCUGUCCUUUUGCAGGAAUAAUUAAUUUGUGGGAAAAUCUUGCUGCAUAUCUGCAUGUACUAAAUAAAUAUUGACUAUAGUAAGCGAGAGUGUAUCCUUGUAAAGAAGAUUUUUAUGUAGGGAUACGAAAAAAGAGAAAUUUGAAACAUGUGGUUGGAUUGGUUUUUCCUGAGUUUAAAGAGUCAUAGGCUAAAAAAGUAGUAGUAAUUCAAUUCUUUUUUCAAAUCCUAGUUCAAAGCCAUAAUUAACUAUUGUACAGUCAUAAUUUGGAAUCAAAUGUGAUCAGGUGCAUUAUUCGAGCUACUGUACGUAUGUGAAACAAAAGAAGAAAUAAAGUCACAAAGUUUUCCUAGUGAUCAAUAGUACGUACUACUGCUUCCUAGAAACAACAUAAGAAAGGAGAUAGAGAGAGACACUAUCGAUAUAUAAAGUUCUGUCAAUAUUUGUCAUUUAUAUAUAUAUAUUUUUACUAUAGAUGAAUUGUUAAAGCCAUGUGGGAAAAUUAAGAAUGGAAUUACACUAAUGUGUUUCAUUCCAAAGCUAAUUGUAUUGUCAGAAAUUAAAUAAUUCUAUUUCAUAAUUUAAAAUAAAAUUUGAUGCAAUAAAAAUUCUUUUUUUGAAUAUGAGACCUUGAUUAUGACAAUACAUGAAUACCCUCAAUGAUAUUAGAAAGUGCAUUCAAAUUUAGGGACUGACAUAGUCCUAAUUAUUUUGUAAGAAGAGUAAUCUUGAAAAGAAAUAACUUAACACUCAACCAUCAAUACAAGCUCACUCUUUUAGCAAAGACUAGUUGGGACGGCCUGCGCGUUGCGCAGGAGGGCGAAUAUUUCCCGUGUUAAGUUGCACAAGUUUUAGUUAUUGUAUAUUUGUUGUAGUAUAGAGAAUUAUAUAGGUGGUAUAAGUUUGGCUUGAAUUAUAAAAUAAUAGUGCGGUAAAUUGGUUGGGUGAAUAUAGUGUUAAUAGUUUGUGAAGUAUGAAGGAUAUUUUGUAAUAUAAUGGUUAAUAAAGUACUAUAAUUGAGACAAUGCAGUGUCAACAUUUUGUGUGGUAUGAUUUGUAUAAAUUAUGUGGUUUGGGUGAGAUAAUUAUAAAGAUACCCAUUUAUAUUUAUGUAUAUCUCUAUUACUCACUAAGUUCCAUAAAUAUGGGCCUAUUUCUUUUUUUUUUUGCACAAAUUAAAACAUUUAAUCAAUAUAAUCACAAGAAUUGCUUUUCUUUCAUUUUUUUGUAUAAUGUCACUCACUAAUAUUAGAUCAUUAAUCCACAUUAAGAGCCAUGUAUUAUUACAUUGUUUUUGAAAUUUACAAUACUUUAAUUUUUUUAAUGUAAGAAACAAUGUAAUUAAUGUUGCAUGUUUGACUAAAAGAAUAAUAAAAAAAUAGCAUACAACAUUGCUUUUCAAUUUAGAGUAAUUUAGAGCCAUUAGGAAAAAUGAAUAUAUACACAUUAAAUUUAGAGCCAUUAGGAAACAUUUUACAAUAAUUAUAUAUAUACAUUAAAUAUGGAUAUUUAUCUAACAAUAUAAAAGCGAGAGUUGCCCCAUGAACAAUAUUUUUUUGUCAAGCGGUUAUCCUGCAAUUGUUAUUGGAUGCCCGGACUAUUAGUAAAUAACAUAUUAAUUAUUCUUUUCUAUAGAACGAAAAAUAAGAAUAAAAACAAGGGCAUUAAAAAUUUGUAAUAAUUAUAUAGAGUAAUACGGAUAUAUAGACUAAUAUAUCUUUAUAAUUGUAUGUUUUAAAAAAUAGUAGGAUUAGAAACCAUUUUUAGUCCAUGACACCUUAACCGAUUUUGGUUAAUUGUGAUAACAAUGUUGGACGUCAUUUUUUUUUUUUUACUGCUGUUCAACUUUUGGGAAUCAUUCAGUCAAAAGCUACUACUGAACAUGCUAAACAAUCACUGUAUUCAACAAUUUUACAGAGCACUAUUUUAUUUCUUUUUUUGCAAUAUAUGCAUUCAUUUUUUUCCAAACAAUUUUUAUUUCAUGUCGUACUAAUAAAAUCUAUUUUUUAAAGUCAUUAAAGCCAAUAAUAAUUUAUUAAUUAUUUCCUCAAUAAUUGUGUAAUUACAGAACACUCAACAUUAAUUAGAUUGUUUCUUACAUUAAAAAAAUAAAGUACUGUAAAUUUCAAAAAUAAUGUAAUAAUACAUGGCUCUUAAUGUUGAUUAAUGAUCUAAUAUUAUUGAGCGGCAUUUUACAAAAAUAUGAAAGAAAAAUAAUUGUUGUGAUUCUAUUGAUUAAAUGUUUUAAUCUGUGCAAAAAAAAAAGAAGGAAAAAACCAACAAAUACAGUGAUUAUCAAGAAUAAGAAACAGAUAGAAAUGCGUGAAACCUCAGAAUAAAAUUAGAAAAAAUAUAUUAAUCCAACUUGAUUAUCAAUUUUUAUUUUUAGCCCAGAUUAUUUGUAUGAUUCUUGAGCUUUAUCUGACUGAAUUAGAGAAAAUCUAUACAAGUUCAGAAGCUUAACUGCUGCGACCCUUUAUUGCUCUUCGUAUAGAUACAUAGAAAGUUAUGCCUUUGCCUUUCUUUUUUUUCGUUAUUAUGCUUUGGUUUUCAGCUGAGAUUUCAUCACCGUAGCAUUUGACCAGAAGGAUGACUGGAGGCUUCUCAAUGACCAAAAGACCAAAACGCCCCUCAAAGUCACAAAAAUAGCAACAUAACCGCUUGACCAAAAUUCACUAUUCAUUUGGCAACUCUCUCUUUUAUUAUAUAACUAGUUGGGAUGGCCUGCGCGUUGCGCAGGAGGGCGAAUAUUUCCCGUGUUAAGUUGCACAAUUUUUAGUUAUUGUAUAUUUGUUGUAGUGUAGAGAAUUAUAUAGGUGGUAUAAGUUUGGCUUGAAUUAGUUCAGAUAAUAUAGUGUUGAUAUUUUGUAUGAUAUGAUUAGUAUAGAUUAUGUGGUGUGGGUUAAGUAGUUGAACUCACUAAGUUCCAUAAAUAUGGGCCUAUUUCCUUUUUUUUUUGCAAAAAUUAAAACAUUUCAUUAAUAUAAUCACAAGAAUUAUUUUUCUUUCAUAUUUUUGUAUAAUGUCGCUCACUAAUAUUAGAUCAUUAAUCCACAUUAAGAGCCAUGUAUUAUACAUUGUUUUUGAAAUUUACAAACUUUAAUUUUUUUAAUGUAAGAAACAAUGUAAUUAAUGUUGCAUGUUUGACUAAAAGAAUAAUGAAAAAAUAGCAUACAACAUUGCUUUUCAAUUUAGAGUAAUUUAGAGCCAUUAGGAAAAAUGAAUAUGUACACAUUAAAUUUAGAGCCAUUAGGAAACAUUUUAUAAUAAUUAUAUAUAUACAUUAAAUAUGGAUAUUUAUCUAACAAUAUAAAAGUGAGAGUUGCCCCAUGAACAAUAUUUUUUUGUCAAGCAGUUAUCCUACAAUUGUUAUUGGAUGCCCGAGCUAUUAGUAAAUAACAUACUAAUUAUUCUUUUUUAUAGAACAAAAAAUAAGAAUAAAAACAAGGGCAUUAAAAAUUUGUAAUAAUUAUAUAGAGUAAUAUGGAUAUAUAGACUAAUACAUUUUUAUAAUUGUAUGUUUUAAAAAGUAGUAGGAUUAGAAAUCAUUUUUAGUCCAUGACACCUUAACCGAUUUUGGUUAAUUGUGAUAACAAUGUUGGACAUCUUUUCUUUUUUUUUUUUUUUUACUGCUGUUCAACUUUUGGGAAUCAUUCAGUCAAAAGCUACAACUGAACAUGCUAAACAAUUACUGCAUUCAACAAUUUUACAGAGCACUAUUUUAUUUCAUUUUUUUUUUUGCAAUAUAUGCAUUCAUUUUUUUCCAAAUAAUUUUAUUUCAUGUCGUAGUAAUAAAAUCCAUUUUUUAAAGUCACUAAAGCCAAUAAUAAUUUAUUAAUUAUUUCCUCAAUAAUUGUGUAUUUACAAAACACUCAAUAUUAUUUAGAUUGUUUCUUACAUUAAAAAAAUUAAAGUAGUGUAAAUUUCAAAAACAAUGUAAUAAUACAUGGCUCUUAAUGUAGAUUAAUGAUCUAAUAUUAGUAAGCAGCAUUUACAAAAAUAUGAAAGAAAAAUAAUUAUUGUGAUUAUAUUGAUUAAAUAUUUUAAUUUGUGCAAAAAAAAAAAGGAAAAAACCAACAAAUACAAAAGCCAACAAAUUUGCCCUCAAAGUUGCCCAAAAUUAUCUUAUAAGCGCUUGACAAAAAAUUCACUAUUCAUAAGCCAACUCCCUCCGAAAAAUAAUUGUUGUGAUUAUAUUGAUUAAAUGUUUAAAUUUGUGCAAAAAAAAAAGGGAAAAAGCCAACAAAAGCAAACAAAUACAAGAGCCAACAAAUUUGCCCUCAAAAUUGCCCAAAAUUACGCUAUAACCGCUUGACCAAAAAGCACUAUUCAUCCUCCAACUCCCGCUUUUAUUAUAUAGAUAUUGAUUAAAUGUUUAAAUUUGUGCAAAAAAAAAAAAGGAAAAAGCCAACAAAAGCAAACAAAUACAAGAGCCAACAAAUUUGCCCUCAAAGUUGCCCAAAAUUACGUUAUAACCGCUUGACCAAAAUUGCACUGUUCAUCCUCCAACUCCCGCUUUUAUUAUAUAGACUAGUGAGACGGCCUGCGCGUUGCGCAGGAGGACUAAUAUUUCCCGUGUUAAUUGUUUUUUGUUGUAUGAGUUUAUUAGUAUAUAUCUCUGUUAUUAUUUAAUUCAUGCGGAUCAUUAGGGAAUUAUAAUUUUUGUUAAAAGUUAACUAUUAUGAAAUAUAUAGAAUGCAUGAGACCAAUAAUAUAUAGAAUGCAUAAGGAUAAAUUAGAAAAUUGUAUAAGGUUAUUUUACAUUUGGAUCAGGAUAAUUAGAAAAUUGUAAAGUGAAUCAUUUCCAAAGAGUAUUAAUCAUUAUUGACACAAAAAAUAGGGGAUCUUGAAAAUCAAUUAAACACUUGAACCAUAGAACUUGACACUGCUAAAAAUUAAUCACCACAUGUCACAAUAAUAAAACCCAUUUUUUAAAGUUACUAAAGCCAACAAUAGUUUAUUAAUUGUUUCCUCAAUAAUUGUGCAUUUAUAGAACACUUAACAAAUUUAUUCUAUGUUAACCCAACAAUAAUUUAUUAAUUGUUUCCUCAAUAAUUGUGCAUUUACAGAACAUGUAUCAAUUUUAUUUCAUGUCACAGUAAUAAAAGCCAUUUUUAAAGUCACUAAAGCCAACAACAAUUUAUCAAUUAUUCCCUUGGUAAUUUUGCAUUUCCAGAACACUUCAAAAGCAAAUAAUUAACCACAAAAAAUCAACUUUCAUAGGUUUCACUUUUUAUACCACCAAUUAUGAAUUCAGUCAACAUGUCCAAUAAAUACAUCAAAACUAUAGCAGCUGUUAAAAAACAAACAAAUAAUUGAUGAAAAUAGCCCUAACAUCCAAUAACAAUUGCAGGAUAACCGCUUGACAAAAAAAACCACUGUGCAUAGGGCAACUUUUCCUUUAUAUUGUUAGAUAUGUAUAUCUCUAUUACUCACUAAUUUCAAUAAAUAUAGGCCUAUUUCUUUUUCCAUUAAUAUUAGAUCAUUAAUCCACAGUAAAAGACGUGUAUUAUUACAUUAUUUUUCAAAUUUCGAGUACUUUAAUUUUCAAAUGUAAGAAAUAGUCUAAUUAAUGUUACAUGUUUAAAUAAAUAAUAUAAAAAGAUCAGCACACAAUAUCGCUUUUCAAUUUACAGCAAUUUAGAGCCAUUAGAGAAAACAAAUAUGUUAAAAAAUUUUAUAAUAAUUAUAUAUACACUAAACAUGGAUAUAUUAGUAAAAUAACAAACUAAUUAUUCUUUUAAAAAGGAAAUAGACUCAUAAUGUAGCACACAUAGAAGACAAAAGUAAGCUCAUGUUUAUAGAAUAUAUAUAUAUAUAUAGAAUGAAAAGUAUAAUAAUAAAAAUAAGGGAAUUAAAAUUUUUCCAAUAAUUAUAUAAACUAAAUAUGUAUAUAUAGACUAAUAUAUAUCCUUCUAAUUGUAUGUUUGAAAAAGCUAUAGAAUUAGAAACCAUUUUUAGUUGAAACGUAUAUGGCAUCUUAACCAAUUUUGCUUACUUAUAUGACGAUAAUGUUGGACUUGUUUUUUUUUCCCUCUAGCUCAAGAAUUACAGCAUAAUCGCUUGACCAAAAUGGAGCUAUUCAUUAUCCAAUUCUCCCUUUUAUAUAUUUAGAUUAGAUAUAUAUAUAUUGGAGAGCCUGAUAGAGAUUUUCUUCUUUUUUUUUUCUUUUUUUUAUGGUUUUCUUGGUGAGGCGGCCCGGGGUGGGUUGUAUUGGAGAAGAUAAAAGGGCAUAUGGCAGAGCUCUAAAACAAGGCCUGCAGCAUUACUUACAAUAGAGAGCGUACAGGUACAGCUCUCUUUUGUGAGUCCUAGCCCGUGUAGCCCACAUAGCACAAUAAUACAGCUAACAAGCCUCAGUCACAGCCAGACCUUUUUAUUGCCACUGGCCAUUUGGUCUAGUGGUCAUCACCAUUAAAGGUGAUGCUGGAGGUCAGGGGUUCAAUCCCUGCCUCCCACAAAUUUGUCACAAUUUGUGGCGGUCUUAAUUGACCUUCAUCGAUGGAGUCUGUACUCACAUCGAACCCCCUCCCUUUCCCCUUAGACUAGGCUAGAUUAGGUUAUAGGACAUCUAUCGUUUCGAUAAAAAAAAAAACAGCCAGACCUUUUUAUUGAAAUAUAAUGCCAAGAGCCAUCUUAAUAAUUGUUAAUGUCUUUUUCCAGCAAAAGAGAAUCAAUGAAAUAGCCAGCUUAACCGAUUCUUCCUAAAGCCAGAGCCAGCCACAUGACAAAAGACCAAAAUGCCGCUUGACAAUUGCCCUCAAAGUUGCCCAAAAUUACGUGAUAACCGCUUGACCAAAAUUGCACUGUUCAUUAUCCAACUCCCGUUUUUAUAUAGUUAGAUAUAGAUAUAUAUUAGAUACAGAUAUUAAUAAAAGUCAAGAUAUAUUGAUGAAUCUUUGUAAUUAAUAAUGAACACGAUGUUGACAAAAAAAAGUCAAUGGCAGUAGGCAGAAAAGCAGGCAUCAAUGUGCACCAUGUUGAAGGUAACCAUGGUAUAGAUAUAGAUAUUUGUAAUUAACAAGGUAUACCGUGUUGAUCAAUAAAAGUCAACGGCGGGUAAUCACAGAGGAGCUAGAAACCAAAAUGAAAUGAAGGAGAUCAGUAAAUUAAUCACAAGAUGCCCUGAACUUAUAAGGAAGACAAUUAGUGCAAUAAUACACCAUAUUUUAUAGAUGGGAAUCUGCAAGUGGUGGAGUCGGGUAAGAAAAAUUAAGACUCUGCUGAUGCAAUUGUUGGGCUCCAAGCUUCAAAAUAAUGCACUGAUGAGAAUAAUGAGUUGGAGCCAGCAAAAUGAAUUCGAUCAUUUGCAGUAUGAUUAUUGUGGUUAUUUAUUAGUGUGAACACGCGUGAUUGGAAUGAGCAUUUGUUUAUUUAUGCAGAAAAAGUGAUAUUGUUAACGUUAUUUUUUCUAAAUAGCAGCUCGCACAACUAAUUCUAAUGCUUCGCCCAAAUUAAAAAAUAGCUUUUCACUAUUUUAGCAUAGAUAUAGAUAUAGAUACUUGCAAUGCUUUUUCGGCUAAAAUGAGGUUGUACUUUAUUACUCUUAUUAUUAUGUUUUUCUUUUGGUCAAAUGAUGUCGUACUCAAAUAGAGAGGAAUUUGCCAAGGAAUAUAAGGGUUUGAAGAAGCACGGGACUUCCCCUGACCGAGCUGACCUGGUGAGCUCGGUGUGCCGAUGGAAGAGCUGGUCCCAAUCCUGCAAAACAAACAAGGGUAAACUAGCAGUGGGGGCCCGAGGGUUGUCCCCGAGGGCGCUCCGACGGUCAAAUUAGUUCCUGGCCGGCGGACGGAGCGGUUUUUGAUAAUGUAUUGUACGAGCAAUCUGCUAAUAGCGAGCGUCCCUUGCACAGUUGGUAUGUGCUACCAUUUAUACCCGCUUAGGAGUCCGACCUCCGUACGUUUCGGGACUUGCCCUGAAUAGCUCCCAAUCCCGUUCCUGGGGGGAUCCUCCCGCCCUCUGCGGGGCAGCUCUUGGGAGCAUCCCGGAGCCCUAAUGGCCGAGCCCUCUUGGACUGGUUCCCAGUGGGCCCAAGGCGCGAGCCCAGCUCGGAUUGCCCCUGGGCUGACACGUGUACGGGCCCAGGAUGGGGCCUCUGCACUAGCCCCCUAGAUUAGGUCAGGCUCCCGGGCAGACCUGGUCUAUCCCCUAGCCACGUGGAAGCCCAUCAUUACACUGCUCUGCCGCGGUCACCUCCAGCACAGGGCUGUUAUUGGGAAGCGUCGCCCGCGUACUUUCAAUGGUCGCGUCCCUUCGGUUUCCGUACCUCCCUUAAGUGCGUUCACAUGGGGCGGUUCAAAUUCAAGCAAACCGUUUCCCCCCAUUUCGUCCCCUAUAAAUAGUGGCUGCCAAAAUCCGGUAAACUCUAUUUGCCAUUUUCUCUUUCCCCAUGCGUUUACAACUUCAGUAGUGCAUUUCCGGCCAACCAGGACCCAGAUUCCGGCGACCCUUCCCCCCCUUUUCUACUCCAGUCAUCAGUAAGUGUUUCCCCCUCCUUUCUCGCAUUUUCUUUCUUCCUCUUGCCGUCCUCUGCGUUUGUAUGUCGGGCCUCUCCGACGUGACUUCCUCCAACUCCCAGACUCCCCCCCGCCGUAAAGCCACCAGGAUCUUCAUUUCCUCCUCAUCUCCAUCUUCAUCAUCUCCCUUUCCUCCUCCUUCUUCAUCUUCUGCUUCCAACCCUAACUUUCCCCUUCCCGACUUGCUCGAGCUCAUCGACAUCAUGAGUUCCCCAUCUGCCCACUCCCCUUCUGCCCGGCUCCUGGAGGAGGUGGCCGAGCUUGACGCCCUCAUCAGGCGGCAAGCCGUCUCCACCCCUCCUCCCCAGUCCCCUAACGAUUCCCCCGGCGGAGCCCGGGGUGGAGCUGGGGAGGACCGGGGCUCCUCUGGGGGGAUCCCCGCUUCCGAGCAGGGGGAGGACCCCGAGUUCUCCUACGGGCAUCCUGACCUGCAGGAGGCCACCCUAUCGCCCCAGGCUGUGGCCGAGCUGGCCAAGUCUUAUUCCAUCCCUCCGGCCUACGAGCCGAGGGCGGCCGGGCCCGGCGAUUGGGCCUGCAGACCUCCCUCCGGCUUCGUUGCCAUCUACAGGGAGCAGCUCAUCGCAGGGUUUCGUCUCCCCAUUCCUUCAGCUCUAACCGAGAUUCUGAGCUACUGGGGGCUCAGAAUCACUCAAGUCCACCCCACCUCCAUCAGGAUCAUUACCGGAUUCCUGAUCUACUGCCUGCUCCGCGAUAUCCCCUACUCCCUUUCCCUCUUCCGGGCUGCCUUCAUACUUAAGGCCGCCCUACCCGGGUGGUACUACUUCUCCCGCCGCGGUCCCCAAACCCGGGGAGGGAAAGGCGCCCAAAAGCUAUUCCACGGGGUCCCUUCUUCCGUAAAAAGUUGGAAGGAAGACUUCUUCUUUGUUAAGUCCACCCAUUUUCCCCCCAACGUGUGGAAGGUUGGAAAAGUCCAAGCCGAUUCCUUCCCGGAGGACCUGGACUAUGAAACCCUCAGCCAGCUGUCGGAAUCCCUGGUGAAGCUUGACGCCACCAAGUUCUCUACAGCACAGAUCUCCGCGGCCGGGCUGAUGGGGACGUUGUCUGAAUCCUCCGGGGAGGUGGUGACCCCCGAGCCCAACCUCGACACCUGUAACGCCAACUUUGCCCUUUUUGCCUGUUGUAUCCACAGCAUGUCGUAAUGCUAUAGGCUGUCCGGCCUUUUACUGACUUAGCCGUGUUUUCUGCAGUGAGGAAGCUCUCCCUGCUGCUGGGCCUGCCUGCCGAGGAGGACACCCCCGCUUCCCAUCCAGACGAGGAAGCCCCCGGGGCGCCUCCGACCUCGGGGGGAGGCCAAGCCCCCCAGACACAAACGCAAGACACCUCCUCCCCCUCCAAGAAGGCCGCCAACAACAAGAAAAAGGCGACCGGGCAGAAGAGGGGUCGAGCCGACGAGCCCUCCCAGCCCGGGAAGAAGCUCGCGCUGGUUCCGGUCCAGCCUCCUCCCCUCCGGAUGUCUUCGGGGGGUCCAGUCCAUUUGGGCGUCGGCUCCGCCGAGGAGCACGCCCUGCAGGCCCCCCCGAGCUCGUGGCACUUCCGCCACGUGGCCCCCCUGAAGCCGGGCCAGGCCCCCACUAUGCACGACCCCCGCCGUUUCUGCCCGUCCUGGGAGCUCUCCAUCAACGACCGAGCCCAAUUCCCCGAGGUGGCUCGCCAGUGGGUGACGGGCUCGGUCCUCCCCCGGGACAGGAGGUGGAUGGAGCUAGCCUCCCCCUCCGAGCUCCAGGAGGUGUACUGCACCUCCCAGGCCCAAGUAAGUUUUCCGACCUCAGAGCCGUCCUUGCUUUUGACCCCUCACUCGGCCGCACCUCAGACUAACUCCUUCCUUUCUCCAGGCCCACGCUGCUGGAGCCGCCUUGCUGUCUCGCUUCUCCGAGCUAUCUCCCGAUUUGGAGAAACUGCAGAAACAGAAAAGGGAGGCGGAGCAAAGGCUCACUCAGGCCCUCAAGGAGGCGGACUCCCUUGCGGCCAAGCUGGGCAAAGCCGAGAAGGAACUGGAAACGGCCCAAGUCCAGCUCGCCUCCACAAGGUCAGAACUCGACCAGGAGAAGGCCGGCGUGGCCAAGCUGAGAGAAGACCACGCCAUCGAGCUCUCGGGCACCGUCGGCAGGGAGCGCAAGAAGGCCGUCCGGGAGUUCAUCUCCUCUGACCAGUUCAUCCAGGACGUAGCGCUCCUCAACGGGCCCAUCGCCCAAGUUGGCUUCGCGCGCGCCCUGAGCAGGGUCAAGGAGCUCGGCCUGCCUGGCUUCGACCUGGCCGCCUUCAAGGAGUACGACCCCAAGGCCGAGGAGAAGGUGGACUGGCUCUUCGACGGGUAUUGCAAGGGACACGCCCUGAAAGAGCUGGUGCGCCGGAAGGACGUUGGGGCCGACCUUGAGGAGCUGCCCCUAGAGAAGGACGGGGACCCGGGCCGAGCUCCGGGGAAGGAGCCGGUAGCCUAGGCAGCCAAGUUUCCUUUUUCUUCAGUAGGCAGUGUAAUAGAUAGGCCGAUAUCACACCUUUUGUAAUAGAUAGGCCUUAAGUAUAUAUACAAAAUUCGAAGCAAGUCUUCUUGCGACUCUUUUCGCACCUGACUUAUGACCCCACCCCUCAAGCCGAACACGUUAAAACUGUGCCGGCCUUCUGGGUCGAGCACCAUACCUUCCAAGUAUCCCCAUCGCGCCGACCUACUGGGUUGAUCACGUCUGAGAUUGUGCCGACCUCCUGGAUCGAGCAUCAAACCCUCCAAAAUCCUCAUCGCGCCGACCUCCUGGGUCGAACAUGUUUAAGACUGUGCCGACCUCCUGGGUCGAACACGUUUAAGAUUGUGCCGACCUCUUGGGUCGAGCACCAAACCUUCCAAGUAUCCCCAUCGCGCCGACCUACUGGGUCGAUCACGUCUGAGAUUGUGCCGACCUCCUGGGUCGAGCGUCAAACCUUCCAGGACACAAAACACCCACUACUAUUCCCCUAGCCCCCCACUAGGACAUUUAGAUAGGGACGCUAAGUGUUCUAGUGCGAAAUCAAAGCUCAGAAGGCAAAGAAGUACAAAUGAAACAAGAAACUUGAAAGUCGAGCCUUUAUUGAAUCACAAAACUGAAAUUCGAAUUCCGCAGAACAAACGACCGUCCACCCUGGUCUAACCUAUGCUACAAACAGUCGCAGGUUGGAAAAGUGCCAAGUGCGGGGUACCUCAGAUCCGUUCAUGUUGGCGAGUUUACAGUAACCUGCUCGGCCCACCCCAAGGACCUUGUAGGGGCCCUCCCAGUUUGGGUCGAGCUUGUUGGAGCUGUGAGCUCGGCUGACCGAAUUCUUCCUUAGGACAAGGUCCCCGGGCUGGUAUUGGGUAGCCCUUACUUUGGCAUUGUGAUAACGAGCGAGCUGGCCUUUAUACUUAGCCAUGCGAACCGCCGCUUCCUCACGCUUAACCUCGAGCAUGUCCAAGUUGUACCGGAGCUCUUCCUCAUUGGACGUCGCCACGAAGUUCUGUGUUCUGGGCGAAGGGAGACCGACCUCCGCGGGCACCACUGCCUCUACUCCGUAAGUUAAAGAAAACGGGGUCUCAUGGGUGGCCGUCCGGGGCGUAGUGCGGUAAGCCCAGAGGACACUGGGGAGCUCGUCCAGCCAGCUCGACUGGGCGGACGCCAACCUGGUCUUCAAUCCCUGCAGAACGGUUCGGUUAGCGUUCUCCACCUGACCAUUGGCCUGGGGGUGACCAACUGACGUGAAGUGUUGGUUGAUCCCGAGCUCGACGCACCAGCUCCGGAAGGGGUUCUCAGCGAACUGGCGGCCGUUGUCGGAUAUCAAGACGUGCGGGAUGCCGAAACGGCAGACAACGUUCCUCCAAAAGAAUUUCUGGAUCGCCUUUCCCGAGAUGGAGACUAGGGGCUCUGCCUCUAUCCACUUGGUGAAGUAGUCAAUAGCCACCACGAGGUGCUCGUACCUUCCUGGAGCUCGGGGGAAUGGUCCCAGGAGGUCUAUUCCCCAUUGAGCGAAAGGCCAGGGACUGUGAAUGGGGAUCAUUUCCCGAGCUGGCUGGUGACGUAAUGAAGCGUGCACCUGGCAGGCUCGGCAUCUCUGUACCAGCUCUGCGGCGUCACGGAAGACGGAGGGCCAAUAAUAGCCCAGGAGGAGGCACUUUUUGGCCAGCACCCGGGACCCCACAUGUGCCGCACAUAUACCUUCAUGGGCUUCACGCAGGACGUAGUCUCCUUCCUCGGGAGUCAAAAACUUUAGCCAGGGGGACAAGUACGACCUCCAGUAGAGGGUUCCCCCGGCGUAGGCGUAUUUGGCAGCUCGGACUUGGAUUUGUCGAGCCUCAAUUUUGUUCUCAGGGAGGGUACCCGAGCUGAGGAAGUCAACGAGGGGAGCCAUCCAGGUGGCCGAGCUAUCCACCGCCAGGACCUGGACCUGGCCGAUACUCUUCUGCUUCACCACCUCCACCAAGACCUCCUUGCUUAGGUGGGCGAACGAGGAGGACGCCAGCUUGGACAAGGCGUCCGCGCGCUUAUUUUGGGACCUUGGCACCCGCUCGAUCUCAAAAUUAUCGAACAGGGCCACCGCCUCUCGUACCUUGGCUAGGUAUUUCUUCAUUACCUCGUCCUUGGCCUCAUACUCCCCACGGAUUUGGAGGACGACGAGCUGAGAGUCGCUUCGAACCCGGAUCGCGGUAAUGCCCAUCUGGUGGGCUACCCGCAAUCCCGUCAACAGGGACUCGUACUCCGCCUCAUUGUUGGACGCGGGGAAAUCAAACCUGAGCGCAUAAGUCAGUUCUUCCCCUGUGGGCGAGGUGAGCAACAGGCCAGCCCCGCUGCCCUCCUUGCUCGAGGCGCCGUCCACGAACAACACCCACGGCUCCAUUGUCGGGGUGUCCGGGGGUGUUGGGACUAGUUCCGCCGGGGUCAGGCUAGCUCCUUCGGCCAGGAAGUCCGCCAAGGCCUGAGCCUUAAUCGCGGUACGGGGCCGAUAACUGAGGUCGUGUUCGGCCAGCUCGACGGCCCAUUUGGUCAUCCUGCCCGAGACCUCGGGCUUAGUGAGUAUCUGGCGCAAGGGCUGGUUGGUCAAGACUGCGAUGCUGUGAGCUUGGAAGUAAGGCCGGAGCUUGCGAGCAGCGUGCACUAAGGCCAGAACCAGCUUCUCGGCCGGGCUGUAUCGCGUCUCUGGCCCUUGUAAUGCUCGGCUGACGUAGUACACCGGUCUCUGAGUCCCCGCGUCCUCCCGUACCAAGACCGCACUGACGGCCUCGUUGCAAGUGGACAGGUAUAGGAAUAGUGUCUCCCCCAGCUCAGGGGCGGUCAGGGCGGACAGCUCGGCCAGAUAGGCCUUGAGGUCGGCGAAAGCUUUCUGGCACUCCUCGGUCCAGUGAAAGUCCUUUGGCCCUUUCAAGAUCCGGAAAAAGGGGAGCCCCCGAACCGCGGAGCGCGAGAGGAACCUGUUUAGGGCAGCCAUCCUCCCUGUGAGUCGUUGGACUUCCUUCACGUUCCUCGAAGGGGCCAUGUCCAUAAUGGCCUGUAGUUUGUCCGGGUUGGCCCGGAUUCCAUCUCGGGAUACCAGAAAACCGAGGAACCUCCCCGACCUGACCCCAAAGGUGCACUUCUUCGGAUUUAUGCGCAUCCGGCUCUCCAGCAGGAUUUCCAGAAUCUCCUUUAGGUCGGGUAUAAGGCGCUGAUCAACCCGGCUUUUAACUAUCAUGUCGUCCACAUAGACCUCCAUGCUUUUACCGAUCUGGCCUUGGAACAGCUUGUUGACCAGGCGCUGGUAGGUAGCCCCCGCGUUCUUCAAGCCGAAUGGCAUGGUUCGGUAACAGUAGGUCCCCUCCUCGGUGAUGAAGGAGGUCUUAUCUCGAUCUUCCUCAGCCAUUUCUAUCUGGUGAUAUCCCUUAAAGGCAUCCAGAAAGCACAAAACGUCAAAACCCACGGUAGAAUCUACUAACCUGUCGAUCCUUGGCAGGGGAAAGCAGUCCUUUGGGCAGGCAUUGUUAAGGUCCGUGAAGUCCACGCACAUCCUCCAGGUCUGAUCCUCCUUUUUGACCAGGACAGGAUUGGCCAACCAGGUCGGGUAGUGGACCUCCAUGAUGAUCCUCGACUCCAGUAACUUGCCGACCUCCGCCUUGAUCACCUCAUUUCUCUCGGUAGCGAAGCUCCUUUUCUUCUGCUUUACCGGCUUGAAGUGAGGAUCCACGCCAAGGUGGUGGACUGCCAGGUCCGUUGGAAUCCCAGGCAUGUCGUCCACUGACCAGGCGAAGACCUGGGAGUAUUCCCUCAAUAGAGCUUUCAAACCCUCCUUCUCCUUGGCGGGCAACAGGGCUCCAAUGCGGAGAACCUGAUCGGGCCGAUCCUCCCUUAAGGGGAACUCCUCCACCUCAUCUUGGGUACCCAGUUGCUGGGCCUCAUCCCCUGGGAUGUAGGGUUCCAAACAGGUUGUCUGGGCGACCACCUUCUCCUGCCCCCGAAGCGUGGCCAGGUAACAUGCCCUGGCUACCGCUGGGUCGCCCCGCACCUCGGCUAUUCCCCCAGGGGUGGGGAACUUGAUGCUGAGGUGGAAAGUAGAGGAGAUAGCCCGGAGGGCGUUCAAAGCGGGUCUCCCCAAGAACAAAUUGUACGGGGACGACUGCUUGACCACCACGAAAUCAACGAGGAUGGUCCGGCACCUGGGGGCCUGUCCUACUGUGACCAUCAGGGUGAUCAUCCCCUCCAAGCUGAUGGGUGGUCCGGUGAAGCCCACCAGAGGCGUCCGGACCGGGGUCAGCUGGUCGUCCCUUAGUCCGAGCUCCUUGAACACCCUAUAGAACAUAAUGUCAACCGCGCUACCCUGGUCGACAUACACCUUCCUCACCCGAUAGUUGUUGGUGACGAUGUCUAUCACGAUGGCUUCGUGGUUCCCUGCGGCCAGGGGGACUGCAUCCCUGGGUCCAAAGGUAAUUUCCUCGUCCAUGCGCAAGCGCUUCAAGGAGUCGUCCCCCUCGGUGGGAGGUCGCUUGUUCUUCCGAGCCGCAUGACUGUCCCCCCCCGUGGGGCCUCCGGCGAUGGUGUUUAUCACCCCCGCCAGGUUCUGGGUGUCCCGGUCGGGAGAGCAGUCCCGAGGGGCGUCACGCCGCUCCGGGCGGUCGCGCCGCCGUCCCUCGUGCCUAUCUCCGUAGUGGUUGCGUCCAAGCCCCUGACCUGGUCGGCGCACGAACCCCCCUAGAAAACCGCGCUGGAUCAGGUCCUCGAUCUCCUUGCGCAGGGCCCAGCACCCCUCCGUGUCGGGCCCGACGUCGCGGUGGAAGGCGCAGUACCGGUCCUGGUUCCUUUUGUUCCGGGGCGUCCCCAUCUUGGGCGGCCGAUCUCCCAGCCCUUCCGCCUCCAUAACGGCUAAGAUCUGGGCUCUGGGCCGUGUUAGAGGGGUGUAGGUCUUCUCUGGGAGGGGCGGCGGAGCUGGUGCCCUAUCCUUGGAGAGACGGUCGAAGACGUUCUUCCUGACUUGGCCGUCCUUAGAUUCAGGAGGGUUUGCCCGUCCUUUCCUGUCCCCGAACUCCCGAUCUGAUUCCCGUUUCAGGCGGCCGGCCUCCUCUGCAUUGGCGGCGGCGUGAGCCCGGGUCAAGAGCUCUCCCAGGUUCUUGGGAGGUUGUUCGACAAGCUUGUAGUAGAGAUCCUCUACCCUCAACCCGUUCAUGAAGGCGGCCAUGACUACCUUUUCGUCCUUAUCCCUGAUCUGCAGGCUCUCUGUGUUGAAGCGCGUCAUGAAGUUCUUCAGGGACUCAUCCGGGUUCUGCUUAACGGCCAUCAGGUGGGCCGCAUUCUUCGAGUAGGUCUUCGAGGAAACGAACUGGGCGGCGAACUGUCUGGCCAGCUCGGUGAAACUCUGAAUAGAUCCCGGUGCCAGACCCUGAAACCAGAGCCGCGCCUUACCCUUGAGAAACAUGGGGAAGGUCUUGCAGCGGAGGGCAUCCGCGGCGUUUUGCAGACGCAUGUGCGUCAGGAAGACCGAGAGGUGGUCCUCCGGGUCGGUCGAACCAUCGUACAGCUCGAUGUUCGGGAUUUUAAACCUCCGGGGUAACGGGUAGUUCUCGACCUCCCGGGUGAAGGGCGAGGCUGCGUAGUUGUCCCCGUACGGUUGUGGUCGCAGGAUCUGCUCGAGCUCAUCCCGGACGGGCUGCCACUGGGGUGGGUCGCGCGGGCGACUCCUGACAGAUCGGGCGGGGGAGCGUGCGAGCCCAUUUCGCGUAGGUUUCCGUGGGGAGGGGUCCCUUGGUCGGCUCCCCACGGACCGGUCGUGGGAGUACCUCUCGCUAUCCCCGACCACCGAAGCUCGGUGACGAGGGGGAGUCCGCGGCCGUUUCCUCCUAGGGGGCUGGUCCUGUGACCCAUCCUCCGAAGGGUCAGGGAUCGACUCCUUCUCCUUCCCCUUCCCCUGGACUUUGGAAGUUGGUGCGCCCCCCGCCUCCUUUCCUCCUUUUGCCUGCCGGAUUAUAUCCUCCAGCAUGGGGAGAUUCUCUGUCACGAACUGGAGCAUCUGCCGUCUCCGGUCCCCUGAGAGGGCCGAGCCCCCAGCGCCCCCGGCCGCUUCGUUCUCCUCUCGACGGGACCCCUCCCCGGCCCCGGCUCCGGUGCUUUCAACGGUUUGCUUGGACCGUGUCCUCGCCAUCAACACUAACAAUUACCUUUCGGUUCCCACAGACGGCGCCAACUGAAGAAGCACGGGACUUCCCCUGACCGAGCUGACCUGGUGAGCUCGGUGUGCCGAUGGAAGAGCUGGUCCCAAUCCUGCAAAACAAACAAGGGUAAACUAGCAGUGGGGGCCCGAGGGUUGUCCCCGAGGGCGCUCCGACGGUCAAAUUAGUUCCUGGCCGGCGGACGGAGCGGUUUUUGAUAAUGUAUUGUACGAGCAAUCUGCUAAUAGCGAGCGUCCCUUGCACAGUUGGUAUGUGCUACCAUUUAUACCCGCUUAGGAGUCCGACCUCCGUACGUUUCGGGACUUGCCCUGAAUAGCUCCCAAUCCCGUUCCUGGGGGGAUCCUCCCGCCCUCUGCGGGGCAGCUCUUGGGAGCAUCCCGGAGCCCUAAUGGCCGAGCCCUCUUGGACUGGUUCCCAGUGGGCCCAAGGCGCGAGCCCAGCUCGGAUUGCCCCUGGGCUGACACGUGUACGGGCCCAGGAUGGGGCCUCUGCAGGGUUCAAAUUUUAUCUAUUAGAAACCAGCUUCCUUAAUUUCAAAGACAGAAGAUGAUUAGAGAUCCCCUACAUUAAUAAAGAAAAAAAAAACGCCAACCAAUCGUUCUUGAUUGCCCACUUGUUGCUAAAUCUUAUCGUCAGCAUUGGUUCUUAGUUGCCUGCAUACUUCUCAUCUUUUAAUUUUUCAAUUAAUUAGACUGGAAAUGAAUACGAGUUCCACUUCUUUGCUAAAAAAGUUAUUAGCAGAAGUAAAAUUUAUUAGCAGAAGUUAUUUUAUAGCCCAUGAUCCCGUGUGCAAUAUUGCAAUGCAACAUGGGCAAAUAGCUAAGCGAGAAGACAAAAGAGAUAGAGAUGCCGAGCCUUAGCACCUAGAAUGAGAAAUAGAUGUUUUAGUCAUUCAGUUAUAUCAGAUUGAUUAAUUAGAGUUAUCACGGGAAAAUUUGGCAUCUAAAAUACAAGUUUUUUGAACUUAUUUCACAUAUAAGUAGUAAUAUACUAGUAAUGAAGAAUGUAAACCUGUAAAGGGUUUGUCUAGUUGGUAGUGCACCAAAUAAGAGGUGGAUCCAAAGUAAUUUUUUCCUAUCAAAGUGUUGCAACUUAAGUGGUGAAUGAUAAUUUUAAAACUUUAAUAGUUCACCUACCUUCUUGUUUUAAUUAUAUUUAAAUCAUAUAUAUCUACCUUGUAUAUAAAAAGAAAGCCAAGUUACUGUAGCUAACCAUCUUUUUGACACAUGUAUUGUAUAUAUUUUUGACAAGUGGACCUUUGAUUAUUUUACCAAAAUUUUUUCCUUCCCCUUUCUUGAUUCAAUUGGACUAAAGGAUUAAAAUAUUUUUUCUCCUUGAGAAAAUCAACUCCAUCUCUUCUUUUUCUUCUUGCAGUAACUACUGUCAUCCCUCACCUUUUUUAUUUUUUAUUUUUUAAAACUAAUCUAACUAAGAUUGUUGCCAUGUUCUUUUUUUUUUUUUUUGUCAAGAUGAUAACUACUUAGCAAAAAGAAUUCUUUAUUAUUUUUUAUCCCAUUUUACAUUUUCUUUUCUUCCUUUUUUUCUUCAUCUCUAAUCUCUCAUGUUUGCUCUAUUUUUUUUUAUCAUAAUGUUAUAGCCAACUGGCAUUUGUUUGUUAAAUUUAUAGGAUGAUGUUUUACUUGGUAGUUCUUCAUGGAUAAAAGGUGAAAUAUUAAAAUAUGUAUAAAAAAAAUUUAGAAUUCAUUUUAUACCAAUGAUCAUUUUCUAUGAAUAAUAGAACAAAAAUUCAUUCUUUUAUUUUCUUCUCCUAUGAUUUGAUUUCUUACUUCACAUUUUGUUUCCUUUUCUUUGUUUUUUGGUUACAUUUUGUAAUUAUCUACAAUUUUCUGUAUUUGUUUAGGAGAAAGAUAUAUCAUAUGAUGUUUCCACCAAGAUAAAUCUAGCUAGGCAUUUUUGUUUGUUUUUUAAUUACUCAAGUGUUGUAGUAUGAAUUGGGUUGGUAUACAAGGAUUGCAGUCGGUGGUGGAAGUCACAAUUGAGGCUUUCGGCCUAGAGUGUGACUUGACAAAAAAUUGUUAGAAAUUUCAAUUUUGAUUAGGAAGAUGUUUUUGCAAUAAAAAAAUAGUUCAAUUCUAAUUUGUAUAUGUAGACCAGGAAACAUGGCAAUUCAUAUUUUUAUCUAACCUUGCUAUUUAUAUUCAGGAGCUGCAGGAUAAUGUUAUCACCUUUAGGCAGAAUUUAAAUAGAUGAACUGGAUUCUUCUAUCAAAAGAAAGAAAAAUAUGCAAGUUUAUAGUAAGCUAUAUUGAUGUUGAAGAUUGUGCCAUGUUUUAGUAGCUUCCUAAAUUUUUUCUCAUUAUUAAAGUACUAAAAGUAUUACGACUGCUUUUGAUUUAGUUUUAACUAAAACUAUACUACUAUUAAUACACCAAUGCACUUAUAGUCUAUUAAGUUUCUCUCCUUUUUGGGUAUCAUCAUAAUAGUGGUUCAAAAAUCUUUAUUCAAAUCACAAUAAAUAGAGAGGUUGACUUCAUAGAUGGAAUUUCUCUUCACAACAAAUUUUGAGAGAAAUUUUAUUUAUACUCCAUAUUGUGUUAAUUGUGUUCCUACAAAAAACAAAAACUAUACGAUAAAAAUAAUAGCGAAAGUAUGAUUAACAAAAAUGAGAGUUCAAAUAAUAUUUGUCAAAUUUAAUUGCUUUGAUGCUCAAUUUUUCUCAUAUAUUUCUAUUCAUUCAUCAUGUGUCAAAAUAAUUUGAUGCUAUGCAUUCGACGGGCAACGGGCAUUUUGGUCAUUUUACACAGCGCGUAACUUUGAUUGCACACGACGUAACUUUGUUUGCACAACGUGUAACUUUAGUACAAAAAAUUACGGGCCCCACACACGUGAAAAUCGAUGUACAACUUGUAAUCUGGACCGCACAUUUUUUUUGACCAAAAUCUAGCCGUUGACUGUUCAGGCAUUCAGGGACGGUCCCUGCCCCUUGUCCGCAUUCGACUAAAUUUCUAGGGGGCCCAAACUGUGCUUUGCACAGUUCAAGUACCUCUAGUAUAUAUAUAUAUAUUAAAUAUCCAAUAAUUCUGGCAUGUCCACGUGGAACAAGCUAAGAAUCUUCUGUUAGAAAUAUCUUCAUUGAACCACUUUUUACUCUUUUCUUGUUAUAUUCCUACAAUCAACAUCAAUUGCCAAAUAUGAGUUUAAUCAAUCCAAUAAUGCAAUAUUUAGCCAAAAUCACAAGAAAAUAUUAACAAUUUCAAUAACCACUAUGCACCCUAUAACAGUCUAACAGUUAUGUGAUUAAUGACCGGAAGAAUGAUUGGUGUAUGUUAAUUUGUCACAAAUAUUUGUAAAAUGAGCAAAACUUAGGAUCCAAUAGCUUGUAUACUUGCAAGAAACUACUACACAAACAAACGAUAAUUCUUUUGGCCGGAUUGUGAUCAAAGCAUCUUAGUAUAAGCUAGAAUCUUGUACUAAUUGAUGACAAACAUCUAUGAAAUAGUUAGAGACUUACUCUCAUCCUAGCAAAUCAAUUUCUUAACUUGAGGUGUAUAUGAUAAAAAAUUUGAGUUUCUGUUUAAAAAGUAUAAUUUGUGAAUUGCUAGGUUUUAUUUUUUAUUGGUUAAUAACUUUCAAAUAUUAGAUUCAUGGUUUCUUUUUAGAAAUUCCUAUAUUUUAUUUGAUAUAUUUACUUUAAUUUGACUAGAGCUGGCAAUUUGUCCCAAGUCCCAAUGGGCUACCCAUGCCCAAAGGAACUUUGGGCGGGAUGGGUAUUAUAAUUUGGUAUUGGGUUUAAGUUGGGAUACAUCCCAACUAUACCCAUUAAUGAAUGGGAAAGGGUGGGAAAUACUUGGGUAUCCAUUGGGCUCAAACAGCAAGGGCUCCGUUUGGAUUAGCUGUUUUUAGGGGGUGUUUUUGAAAUAUUUUAUUGUAGUAGUGUAUAUAAAAAAAUUUUACUAUAAAAUUUUUUUGAAAUAUUUGAUAUACUAAUAUGGAUGGGAUGUUUCUUGAGUUAUUGUAUAUUACUAUUUGAAAAACUUAUUUUUUGAAAAAAUACCCAAUCCAAACGGAGUCUUAGAUUCAAAAAUUAUCUUUAACAAUUUUUAUAGUCAUACCAGCGAAUAUAAUCUAGUAGUCUUUCUAAUCAUUAUCCACAAGAAUUUCCAGCAUUUUAAUCAAUUUAGACCUGUCAUCCUUGGACAAUGAUGAGGAUAAAUAUUCAACAUCUUAAGGAAUUUGGCCAUCUUGAUAUAUGUUGGAAUAUGGCUGUAUAUCUAUCUUUUUCUUUAUUUGUUAAUCCAAUUUUUGGUGGGAAUCUUGAGUAUAAAGCAUUUGCAUGUUUAUUUAAUAAAACUAAAAGAAAUUUAAUAAAUCAAAAAUAUUAAAAUUAUAUAAAAAUAAAAAAUGAAUUAAAGGAAAAAAAAUAUGUAGAAAAUGGAUUUGGGUAUUGGGCGGGAUCAAUCUAAACCCAUCCUAAAGUGAUCCCGCCCAAAUUAGUCCCAAAACAUAUAUGGGUAAGGUUGGGUCCAAACCCAUAUGACUCGGUUUCAUCUCAAACCCAAGCAAAUCCCGCAUAUCCCGCCCAUUUUGCCACCUCUAAAUUUGACAUAUAAGCAUUAUUCAAUGUAAUAUGCAGUAAGUUUUUUCCAGCUUCCGAUAUUGUCAAAAUUUUAUUUUCUUUUGCAAGUCAAAAUCAAAUUAGGAUUUGUUAUGCCUUAUGUUAUGUCCAGAACCUAGUAGAAUUAGAUUGAGUAGCAUUACCUUAUUUGGUAGAAACUAUGUUUCAUUAAGUAAUUUCCAUUCCAAAUCUAACUAUAUUUCAUAAGAAAAAUGUAAUAUACUUCUCUUCCUAAAAUAAAUACUUAACAAUGAUAUUACACAGUUACCCUCAACAAUAUCUAUAAGUCAUUCAAAUUUAGAGCUAGCCAUAAUUUGUUAUGGGAGGGUUAAUGUUGGAAAGAAAAAACUAAUUUUUACAAUAAUUAAUAAAGUAGAAAUAGUUCUUAAAUUUCCUUUUACAAUAUGGUUCCCUUUUUUUGGGUUUAACUUUGUUUUACAAUAUGGUAUAUGGUUUCGUUUUUUUUUUUUUUUGGUUUAACUUUGUUUGGAAUUCCUUUCUUUUUAGAAUACUAAAUUUUAGAAGACAAUAAUUACAUCAACACUAAUAUCCAUAAAUAUCCCCCCCCCACCAAUUCGUAUUUGAAAUUUAAGAUGUGCUUCAUUAUUUCAUUAUACAAGGGCAUUACUAGAAAGUGAAAACUAAAUUACUAAAACACCAAAUCACUUUGGUGCUUUUAAUAUAUAUGCAUAUAUGUAUGUAUGUAAGUAUAUAUGUAUGUGAUAGACAUUUGCACAGUGAGACUUAUUUGGCAUCUAGUCCAACAAAGCUAACAAGGCAAGCACAAAAUUAAAAACAUAAAAAUAAAACGCCUUGAAAAAUAUUAGAUAGAGAUUCAAGGGAUUGUCAACCAUGGCAUUCCAAAAGAAAAGGAAAACAACAAAUUAAAGAGGAGAAUCAUCGAGGACAUUGAAAAUUAAAACCCAAUAAAUUAACUUUCUGAUUUUGAAAUAAUGAUCAAGUGAAAGGCAUGAGCUACUAAUAACUUGGCACAUGUUUCAUUCUAUAAUUAUCAUGUCUGGAGGUUCAAUUUUUUCUUCUGAGGUUUGCCCUUUUUGGCUAGAUUAUUCUCACCUUUCACCGUCAAAUUGAAUUUUCAACGUACCAAGGUUUUCUCAAAUCGCUUCAUACAAGAUGCAUGGUAUUUGUUCUGAUUUACCAUAUCAUCUCAGCAUUUGGCAUGGGAUGAUUAGAAACCAGCUUCCUUAAUUUCAAAGACAAAAGAUGAUUAGAGAUCCCCUACAUUAAUAAAGAAAAAAAAAACGCCAACCAAUCGUUCUUGAUUGCCCACACGUUGCUAAAUCUAAUCAUCAGCAUUGGUUCUUGGUUGCCUGCAUAAUUCUCAUCUUUUGAUUUUUCAAUUAAUUACACUGCAAAAGAAUGUUAACGCAAAACUAUUAGUAUAAGUUAUUUGUUUUUUUCCCACCAAAAAAAAAAAGCAGAAUUAUAUAUAGCCCACAUCUCAUAUGGAACAACACGCAAUGCUGUAACGCCGCGAAUGCUGAGCCUUAGCACUCAGCUAUCGAGGGCUGUUAUGAGGUGAGAGGACAGGGAGCAGCAGGCCUUGAAAAAAUGAGCUAAGUUGUGCAAAGAGUGGGCUGGGAACAUUAACAUUACUUUUUGUACGUUUUCUCUUUGAGGUAAUUUUUGGUAAUAACUUUGUCCAGUGCUGAGGGAAACCCCGGUCGAUUUUGCAUUUCUAGUUUGAUAUACUAGGUGGUAGCCACUGCCCAGUUAAUGUUUAGCUAGUAAUGUUGGUAAGAAUGAAAGUACAAUCAAAUGGAACUAUAAAAUGGAACUAUAUUAUACAGGCAUAUUAAUGAAAAUUAUACGAGCCUCCCAAGUAAGAUAACCAUGAUGGCUCAGGGCUCCAUGAAGCCAUUGUUCUAGUCUUUGAAAUACAAAAGUGAAAUACAGACAGAUUCAGCAACAACUCAAGGCAUCAAUCAAGCAGUGAAUCCAGUCCUGUUCAUACAGGAGAAAAUAGAGCAGAGCAAGUAAUGCCUCCAAAGCAAAGAAAAAACUGCAACAAAAGCAAAGCAAGCAAACGCAAAAAUUAUGACAAAACGAAAGCAGACAGCUGUAUUAAUGCACAUAUAGCCUCACGAAAUGUGAAGCUAGGAUUGAGGUUUACAAAAUCGCGGAAAUGUGAAGCUACUUUUUCUAGUUGGAGAACAAGAAUCAUCUACAUCCAAUCUUGAUUGAACUACUGAUGUAUAACUACUUCUUCCCUGUUUACAUAAUGACAUCACAUCACGCAGCAAGAAAAGUAAAUAUUAGAGCACCCUGUGAGACAUUUUCAAAUCUGAAUUACCUUCAAAGGGAACGUCUGUGUAUACAAGUCAACUUUCUGGUCAUCGCCAGAUACUCUAGUAAUCUGCCUCACAAACUUUGUUUCCACAUUAUAUACAAGCUGCAAUUUUGAAUCAAUAAAUGUCAUACAUCUUGACGUGAUGUAGCACAAACUCCCAAAAAAUAAAACAUAAUCAAGUUUUGCUUUAAAGCAUAAUAUGAAACAUAAAUCAAAGUACCUGAACAACAUAUUCAAAUAAAUACAGGGUACACUGGGUAAGCAUGUACCUACCUUCCUUAUAUCAGGAUCAUUCCAAGGACUCAUAUUAGAUGAGAGGCAUCCUCCUUCAACUGGAUAUAAGCAAGCUAACAAAUCAAUUUCAAAUCAAGUAUUAAAUAAUCUGCAAUAAAUGAAAAUUUUCUUACUAAAAAAUUUAGAGACUACAAAAUUACAAGGAUCUCAUGGUAAAAGAAACAUUAAGUAAACAACAGUACAUCAAAAGACUAAACAUACCUAAUUAAGGAGAAAAAGGCUAAACAUAGAACAAACUUAAGUAGCGUUAAAGCUGGUGAGAAUAAUCCAAGCAGCUUCCCUCCUAUCACUACCAGCGAUCAGCUUAACACAAAAUACCUAUUAGAAACACCAUAUCAGUUUUGGAUACUCAAAAUACCCAUAACAAAAAACAAAAAAACAUUGCAAUCAUAGGUUCUGAACCAAGUACAAUCCCUGCAUGCAUAAAAAUCUUUCCUUCUUAUACAGGAUGAUGGCACAUAAACAUUAAGAAAUAAUAUCAUUUUCCAUUGAAUGCCUUCUGCACAGAAUAUUUGAGACAAAUAAAUGGAGCAAGAAGUAAAAAUCUGGAACCCAUACAACAAAUUGAACAAAAGGUGAGAUGGCAAAAAAAAAAAUCAGAGUUAAGAGAUUGGCUAAAUAAACACAGUUUUGGCAGGAACAAAAAGUAAAAACCACAGGUAAGAAGAGGGAGCAGGGAGCGUGGAAAAUAUGGAAAUGAGGGCCACAUAACGCUAACUGUACCUCGAGGAAGUACUGGUGGGGAGCAGGCUGGUGCAGGAGAAGGGACCGAAGCAACAUAUGUGGACUGGUUGAGAACCAAAUCAUUUGUGGCAAGAUUUAACAAGGUUGAAUCCAGGAGGGAACUAUCCACAGGAUCAGCCAAGAGAACGCCAGUCUGGGUAUAACCUAAGGCAGUUCUAGAGAAAUAGUCGUGCUAUUUUGGCUAGGCCUUUGAAACCGAGUUGCCUCAGCAGAACAAGGCACAGUUGUGCCUGUUUUUUUUGAGGCAUUGCGUUCACGGCGGCGACGAAGAAGUUCAACUUUCUGCUCAUGUGGCAUUUCUGCAUACCUUUUAUGCCUUCUAGCAUUUCUAUCCAGCCUUGGAUAACGUGCAUUCAAGAAAUAUUAAAACGGACAGCACGAAGAUAUACGUUUGGUAGGGAAUGCAAAAAAACAUCGGAGGAAACGCAAGAGUUAAAAGUGCAAGCUAAGUGCAGGAAAAGAAAGGAAGCAUACCAUAUGAUCGAACGAGGCAACUGAAAGAGCAAAAGAGGGAGGGAGGGGGGAGAGGCAGGAGAAGCAAAGCUAGCAAUAGCAACAACAGCAGGGCAAAACACACCAGUAUGAUACGAAAGUAAGCAGAAGACAAAUACUUCAAUCAGGAAACGGAACAGGGGGAGAAAAGCAUCUGAGGAGUGCAGAAAAGGAAACACAGUAGUAAGAAGCGCAAGGUUAUGCAGUAAAAGAAAGCAAGCAGAGCAUGUAAUCGAGCGAGGCAACUGAAAGAGUAAAUAUGAAAGCACACCAGCAUGAUAUGAAAGCAAGCAGAAGGCAAAAUACCUUAAGCAGUAAACGGAGGCUAAGAGAGGACACGGUAGAGGAGCGAGCCGAAGUUGGCCUGCAUAAGCAAAAGCGACAUAAAGGUUAAGAAAAUAGCGGAAAGCAGGGAACAUAACAAAAGGGAAGCAAUUAUAAGAAUCACAAACAGCUGCGAAUAAACUGAAAGGAAAGUGACCAAAAAGGAACACACGAGCAGCGCACUAAACGCAGUCCAGGGGGAAAAGAGAACAAAAGCUGGGAACAACACAGUGGCGGCAACAAAAUGCUAGGCAAGAAGGGGGUUUUGUUCAGCGGCAAUCCGAGGACAACCGUAGGCCUGGGAGGGGGUAUUAACGGUAGGGGGGAAAGAUCGAGCCCAAAUAUUGGCAAGCAAAGGGGUGUAAGCAGCAGAGGCAGCCGGGAAUUAUAAUGGACAACAAGGGGAGACAGAGGAAGAGGGAGAGGGAGGGGAAGGGCAGCGGGGCGAGGGUGGGGGGGGAGUGCAAGUAGAGCAACGAAAGAGCAGCGGAGAUAACCUAGUGCAGCAAAGAGGGCAAUGGCAAGGAGCAGCAACAACACCAAAACAGGAACAAAAGGGCAAAUAGCGGUCUUCGAUGAGCAGGCAAGAGGAGAAGCACCAUGGUUCAUGAUGGCAGUCAACUAAUAGGGCAGGUUGGAAGAGGUCAGAGCAGGUGGGAGAAGGCGUGCAAGAUAGCUAAAGGAACAGUUUUGUGUGAGGGGAAAGCAGAAGUGGGUGAAGAAGUAAGUGGGGGAAGAUGGAUGCAGGAUGGAGGCAGGAUGGAGUAGAUGGAGACAGGACUGAGGAGCAGAAAAAUAGUACAAAAUGAAAGACGGGGCAGCGGAGGGGGAAGGCGUACAAGAGUAGAAGGCAAACAGCAAGUUGGUAGUGGGAGCAGCUGGAGCACGUGGCAAGCUCAAGACAGCAACUCCAGAAGGCCACAACAGAGCUAAACAGUGGCAACGAAAAAGGAAGAAGAGAGAUGCAACGACCAUACACGGAAGGAAAGCUAAAGGCCAGAAAUUCAUUCAGACCAAUGACGUCGGGCCACGCGGAGGACGACCACGUCCAACGUGGAUACCGGGCGUUCGCCCUUAGUACUAUAUGGUUAACAAGGAGAUUGAUGUGAGCAUUUGUCUAUUUGAGAUUGUUAUGUAUUAGGUCCUGAAUCUUCUAUGGUUUUGUGCUUUAUCACAUAAUCCUCCAUAGUUUAGAAACCUAUAUAGAACCUCACCAUAAUUUGGGUUAGCGUGUCACUGUUAGUUUUUCGUUAAAAUUAACGGUCAACGGUAAAAAGUUAAAAUCAAACUAAUAAAUUGAUAAAUUCAUGCUUUCACUAAUUUUUUGCUUUUUUUUUCAUUCUCUCUCUCUCUCUCUGUGAGAACCCUCAUUUUUAAAAUACAAUUUUCCCAAACUACAUGCCUUGCACCAAGAUUUAAACCAUCUCUUAUAUGCCCUAGCAUUAUAUUUCACAAUGUGUUACAACAAAUCCCUUGUAUUGACCCUCACUUUAAAACACAAUUUUCUUAUUUACAUGCCUUAUUAUAAGAUCUAGACCAUUUAAUAUAUGUCCUUACAAAUUAUUUUCUAUGUGUUAUAAUAAUUUCCAUGCAUUUCAUUUCAAUUCAUUUUACUUGAAGUAAAAUAUUUCCUUGAGCUAGGUUGUAAAUAAUUCAUCACUUGUAAUUGUCCAAGUGUUCUUUUAUUAGUGGUAGAGACUUUAUGUGAGAGAUUAGAGGUGUUGAAUAAUUAUUGGUGCAUUUGGAAAGGUAAGAAUGGCAUUAAUCAAAGAUUAAGAAAGGUUAGGACAAUAAUGGAGCCAUGUGGCAAAACCCUAGCCAUGUAUCUUGUUUGACCAAAGGAUUAGAGAAAUUUUAAACCAACUUUGCUUCAUUUUCCUCCAAAAUUUCGUCCACCUUAAGGGCUUCCAAGGGAAGGAAGAAAACUCCAUCUUCUUGCUAUGACAACCUUAGUUUGAUCUUGAACAAAAACCAAAAGAGAAAGAUCUAGAGUUUGUGAGAAAAUUUCCUUCAAUCUUUGAGGUUGUUUCAAGUCUAAAGCUUCUAUUGUGGUGGUUUGUUUGGUGACCAAAACAACUUGUAAGUAAGGUAUGUAAUCUUUAAAAUUUGGGUUUAUGAUGUUAUAUCAUCUACUUGAGGUUGAAAUGGUGAAAACAACUUGUUAUGGUUGAAUUUGGGGUUAGUUUCUUGAGUUAAUCAAGUAAUGGUUAGGUUUACUAAUAUGCAUACCAAGUGUUUGAUGAAAUGUCUAACCCUUAUUCAUAUGUGUUUAUGAAGUAUUGAUAUGUUUUAAACCCCUAUUUAGUUGGAUCUAAUACUUGUUAUGUGCAAGGAAUGAAAAUAACAAGAAGAAUAGAAGUUAGAAAUUUUUAAAGUGUGCUGACCGAAACUUUUUAAGCUUGCUGCCUGGUUUUUCCUUGAUAUUUUGAUGCACAUUUUGGCUACAAAUGUGAGUGUUAUAUGUUGGGUUAUGUGUGUGGAGGUUGUCUACAAAAAAUUAGCCAAUUUGGUUGAAUAAAUUUUGAGUUAUAAACAAAGGAGGAAAACUGGACUAGGUCCAGAAAUUUUCUGUCCAGCAAUCUUGUUAAGGUCAUAACGUGUUACUCACUGAUCGGAAUUGAGUGAUGUUUGUGGCAAUUGAAAGUAGACUCUUUGAGCUUUAAAACGGUACAAAGCUCAUUUUCUGGUUCAUCCCGAGUGAUCCGUGGCGAGUCUGGAAAGUUGGCUGUCCGGGCAGUACUGUUCAUCCGAGACAGUCCAGAAAGUUCAUUUUGGUUUCUUAAUUUUGAGCUACUUAUGUUGAGAUUUUGGAAAUGGUUUAUUCUAGACAAAUUUAGCCUUAUGAACCUAGUUUCCAAUGCAAUUGACGGAACCUAAUUCUGACUUUUCCACAAUGAGCAAUGACCGUUUUCCCGAGGCUGGCCGGGCGAGACAGUUUAACCCGUAAUGAAGCCUUUGAGUUUUAGUGAAACUUUUCUUUUGCCAAACUUUCAUGUACAUACUAGACUUUUUUUCCAUGAACUUUCACCGUGGUUUAGACCCUAUUUGCAUGCCGGAUUAAGUAGUUUAAGCUACUCACUUGGCCUCUUAAUGAACCUAUACUUUAGUAGGGAACGAAUCCAAUUAUUAAUAUUUUCACUCGUUGACCUAGGUUUGGGCAACGACGGUGAUCAUAACUGAGACAUUUGACGUCGAUUAUUACUUUUGCUUGACAGGUGAGUGUUCCACUACCUGCUACUUGUUAUGUGAAAUAUUUGUGUACUUGAAAGUAUUGAAUUGUUAUUGUUUGAGCCAAACACUGUUUUAAUUAAAAUUGAGGCGAGUGUGUACUUUAUCGCACUCGACCUUCCUUGUUUUUUUUUUCUUUUCACUGAGGCUCUACUUACUGAAUGAAUUAACAUGAAAUGAGAUAUUGUUAUACAUGACUGUGCUUAAGUUGCGUGGAUGACAUUCCACCAACUACUGUUACUGUUUGGGUACCUAACCUCAUAGGUGAGUCGGUUGUAUCGAGCCAGCAAGGGUUUGGUCGAGAAGGCCGAUAAACCUUGAGGACUGUUUACUGUUCACUGGAAAUCGAAUCUUGCUUAGAGGUCCUUGGUGAAGCAUAGCCGUUGUGCUUGCUUGUUGUGUUGUCCAGCACCACCAGUGAUAAAAUCCUCGGCUUGAUACUGUUUCAUUGCAAUCCUUGAGCAUUGGAAACUCGGAUUCCUGGUAUACUCGAGUAUUACCAAACUACUGUUUAUGGAGUGCAGGCCCGGUGGGGGGUUGUUUAGUGGACGGAGACUGGUGAAAGUGGUGUUCUACGGACCUAUAUACUGUUACAAGUGUUGACGGAGUGUCAACAGGAGGCAAUUAUGAUCAAGCUCAAGUGGACCUUUGGCUUUUGAAAGCCACCCGUAUCCUUGAAUUGAACUGUGAUUAAACUGUUAUUUUAUUGUACGGUGUUUAGUUGGCUAUUUUGUGAUUUUAUGUGGCUAUGUAUUUACUUGUUUACCUGGAAUCUCACUGGGAUUUAACUCACCCCAUUCCCUUUGUUUUCCUUAACAGAUCGGGAAAGGAUUUGAUCGAGGGCUUUCUUAGCUUUAUUUUACCGUUCUUGCGUUUUGAGGUUGUAACUUUCGUUUAAGCAGACUUGUAAGCUUAAAUUCUUAAGGGUGAUUUAUAUUAUGUAAUUUUGAGUGAAACAUGGUAAGUUGGCAUGCGAUGAUAUAUGUACUAAGUUGAAUUGUUGAAUUAGUGAUUAUGUUUGAGUUAGUGUUUCAAUCCCCUGCAUUGUCAAAUGUUACAUUCGUUUCAUUGAUGAUAUUAGUACUUUGAACGACUGAGUCCUGUCGAGAGUUGGGCAGGCAGUCCGCUGAUACCCUAGGGUUUGCCCUAGGGAAAGGUGGGGCUGUCACUCUCUCUCUCUCUCUGGGAAGAGAAGAUGUGAUUUUGAAAACCUAUGCUUUGGCGUACAAAAUCUUAAUUUUCUCCAAAUAUAAAAGAGAUGGAAGAAAAUAAAAAAUAAAUAAAUAAGAAACAAAAAGAAUGGAAGGGAAAUAUAAAAAGGGUAAAUGAGAAACAAAAAUUAUCAAAUCUUUUUUUACUACAAAUAUCAUUAUAGGUUUCUAAACCAAAUCUUUAAUGGCAUUUUCUAUUUCUUAUUUAUCUAUUUUUUUAUUUAAAUUUCUUCAAGUAAUGAAAAGAUAAAUUUGUCAAUUUAUUAGUUUGAUUUUGACCUUUUGCUAUUGAUCGUUAGUUUUAAUGAAAAAAAUUAAAGGUGACACUUUAACUCAAACCAUGAGGGGAUUAUAUAUAUGUUUUUAAACUAUAGAGAGAUUAUGUGAUAAAUUACCUAAUCAUAGGGGAUAAAAUGUAAUUUAUCAAACAUAAUAUUAGCUAGCCCUUACAUUGCUAAAGCAAAUGGGUCAAUGGUUGCUCUUGAUUGCCAACAUACAUAUGCGUAGAUCAUCUGCAGUUUGGUUCCUAAUUGCCAGCGUAAACCACAUAUUUUGAUUUUCCAAUAAAUACUGCAAAAAAAAAAAGAGUAACGAGUCCAUCUAUACUACUUGAAGAUAAUUGAUUGUUCACCCAGAUUCGUCAAGUUUUGAAAAAAAAAUCUUUAGAGUGAAUUGAAUCAAAUUCAAAUUUUGUGUUUUGUGAUAAUUCCUAAAAGAGAACGAAAUGCAGAUUUUGAGUGUAAAAAUAUUUUAAGAGGUGAUACAAUCAAGACACAAAAAGAUAAAAACAUCGAAGAUGAUGAAAAAAAUUACUAAUAAAAAAUAAAAACAAAAGAAGAGAAAGCCGUGUUGUCCACAAACUAGACAAAGGGAAGCCACAGCGGCUGCUGCUAGGAAAGAUUAUAUGUUUUCUUCUUCUCUGCCCACAGGUUGCGGUGUCUCCAUUUCCUAUCAUCUGUAUAGUAACCAAUGAGAAUUUCAGGAAUGUGUGCGAUUCUUCUGUAAUCUUCACUUUCUUCCUUCUGAUUCUCUAACAGCUUCUCUCUCAAUUGAGAACUCAUCUCAUACAGAGACAGCCGUUGAAGAUGGAUCAAGUGCUGGAUACCCAAUGGUAACUCCUCUAGUAAUGGAAGUUGCUGCAGAAAUAGUUCCCGGAGACGAGGCAAUGCACCCUCCUCCACUCUCAUCCAUCUCAACCCUUCCAUUCUUUUUAAGUACAUCCACUUCAGCUUUAGGAACCCUCCAGCCUUGAAACACAACCCUUCUCCCUGGUAAGAUCCACGGAAAUUAAUUUUACUCAAAUUGGGCAAAUGUUGGAGGGAUUCAAGCGGAUCCUCCUCUCCCCUUAACCUGCUCCAGUCCAAAUCUAUUCUUACCAAGCCGUGAAGAUGAGCUACCCAUUGUGGCAUUUUUUCUAAGCGGCCACGCAAAACCAGCAUACGAAGAAAUUGAAGAAACAAAGAAGAAGAAGAAGAAGAAGGAUGAUGAUGAUUUAAAUCGAUUAUCUCAUGAUCAUCACCUUUUCCAAUUGAUUGAACACUUAAUUCCCGAAGACUGGUGAGGUUGGCAAGGGAGGAGCAGAGCACCUUUCCAUCUUCUCUUCUUAACUUUGUAAUACGUAGUUCUCUUAAUUGGGUCAGCUUUCCUAUCUCCUUAAGUAUUGCAGAUCCGCUACUUGCAUCUAUGCAGCUUAAUUUAUGUAGGGCAAGAAGCCGUCCCAUAUUUGAUGGAGCUUUAAAUCCAUGAGCUCCAUAAUCAUCAUCUGAAGAAUCAACUAGUUGAUAUACUUCGAGAAACCGAAGUUUUUGCAAGUUUAGAAUUUCCAUGGGCAAUUCCCUAACUCCAGUGUUACCCAAAUUCAGAUACUCCAAAUGUUGAAGCUUUCCAAUGGCUUUCGGGACUAUCUCCAUUCUUGUACCCCAUAGGUCCAGAUGCUUGAGAUGAAACAAAUUGAAAAUCUCAUUUGGUAUUUCCUCCACUCUGUUUUGACCACCGAAAUCCAAAACCUUUAACAGCUUACUACUCCUUGAAAUUUCAGAUAACAACAUUUUGGAUAGUAGCGGGUUCCGGGAUCCAACUGUAACGAACGACCGAAGGUGGUCAAAGCAAUAAUUUCGUCUUUGUUGGUGGUGCUGGGUGUUGUUACUGCUACCACUAUGGACUACUAGACGGCGUACCUUAUCAGACGGCCACGUCAUCAGCUGUCCAGUAGUAACUGUCACCAUGUUUUGUUCCCUUGACUUGAGAAGAAUAACUGCUCUCAAUAGGUCAUGGAUUCGACAAUAUUGAGGUAUUCCUUCAUAAAACACACGAGUCACUUGAAUUAGGCUUCUAUUGACGAGUUCACUAAAAUAACCCCAGGCUACAUCUUCAAUACUUAUUCCUUCUCUCCAUUCUACAUACCUUUCAGCAAUCCACAAAUUAAUUAGUCUAAUGCAUGCUAUUUCAUAAUCCUCUGGGAAGAUGCUUGUGUACAACAGACAUGUCUUUAAAUGCCCAGGCAAAUCAUUAUAACUGAGAGAAAGUAUCCUUUUAACUCUGUCCAGCUUACCAGUGCCUUCUAAUUCACCCCCAAGACUGCGUCGAACCAUCUCCCAUUCCUCUGUUCUGUUUACAUCUUUCAAAGCCAAAAGCCCGCUGAUUGCAAGAAUCGCAAGGGGCAAGCCCUCACAUUUGUCCAAUAUACCUUUGGCAACAUCCAUCAAGUGGCCAGGGCAACUAUUUCCCUUGAAGAUCUUGUUACAAAACAGGAUCCACGAAUUUUCAAAGGACAGUGGCUUCAUUCUGUAGACAAGACCCCGAGAUUCAAUGCAAGAGGCAGAGGCUACAUCAACUUUUCGAGUUGUUAGCAUGACGCGGCUGCCGCGACUGCUCUCUGGCAUUACAAAUUUGAUGGUAUUCCAAAAUUCCACGUCCCAUACAUCAUCGAAAACAAUUGCAUACCUUCCAGCUUGUUGAAGAAAAUCUUUGAUAAUUUCUUUCAGCUGAGUGGUAGUCAUGGACUCGAUCCAUCGCGGAACUGGUUUCUUCCCUGCCUCGUGUAACUGCCGAAUCAAGUCUUUCAGGAGGAACUGAAAGUCACAUGUUUCAGAGACAGUUACCCAAGCCCGGACUGGGAAAUGCCUUCUGACUUCAGGAUCCUCAUGGACUUUUUUCACUAGGGUAGUUUUGCCAAGUCCUCCCAUACCAACCACUGAAACAACUUUCAGUUGGUAAUCAUCCCCUUUGAGGAGCUCAGAAAUAAGAUGUUUCUUGGGCUGGUCAAUGCCAACUAAUUUAGCUUCUUCCACAAGCAGCGCAUCAUCUCUGCUAUAGCGCCAGGUUGUGUCGUUCACAGCAGAAAGUGAGUUGGACGCUUGGGCAGAGAUACCAUAUUCGGAUUGGUAUCUUUGAUGACCUGCAGAAAUACUUUCGAUUCUGGACUUGAUGCUUUGUAUUUCGCUGGCAACUCGAUGACGAGCUCUCAAAUUCUUGAUGGAGCUGAAAAUUCUCCGAACAGAGCCGUAGAAUCCUGUUGCGUCAUGCCGAGCAAAGCGAGCUACAAAUUCAUCAAGAAUGUCCUCAGUGUCAUAAGCAGCAUCCCGCACUUGCUUGAUCCAUUGUUGGAGCGUGGGUUGAGCAUCUUCUUCUCUUGCUUCUGCCUCUCGCAAGAAAGCUCUCAUUUGCUCCAACUCAUCCAUGAUGAAUUGGACCUCUGGCCGAAGCCCUCCCAAUAGUCGUCCCUCCUCGUGCAGAAAAGUUAAGAGUUGACGCAGCACAAAAGAGAGAACAGUUUCUGCCAUUUUUAGUCUUUCUUUUUAACCUAAGAAUGUCGGGGGAGGCGGCUUCUGGUUUAUAGGACAGUCCAGUUGUAGUAUCUUGAAAGGAAGAAGGAAGAGUAGGUUAUAGAUUCAUAAGCUGAUGAACUUUGAUACCAUAUGGUGCAGUAUAUAUUAAGGUGCUCUUUUUCUCCUUUACUCUAGUAAGCAUAUUAUUUUCGUUUUCUUCUUUUUAUUUUUUUAAAAAAUCAUGCUUAAUUAAGAAAAUUAGCGUUAUCCUACUCGUAACUUCAUAAGUCAAAAGAUCAUGUAAAGUAAAUUUCUGCUAACCAAUUAGUAUUUGUAAUAUCAAAGAAACCUUAGGAACAAACCACUCAAACUAAUUUUUACAAUAAUUAAUAAAGUAGAAAUACUAAAUUCAGUGUUAUUUUUUGUUAAUAGCAGCUCAUGAGUGUGAAAAUUGUGGAAGAUCGAAGCAUGCCAAGAAUAAAGUUUAAUUUAAACUUAGGAUCCAUGAGCGACUAAUAACUUGGCCAAAGUAUUUUAUCCACCUGAUUUAAUUAACUUCAAAAGUUUUAUUGAGCUGGCUAGCCUGGACUGACACAACAAUUGGGGUUCCAAUUAACUAUAAUAGUAACGUGACUUAGUUCAAAUUACAAAACUCGAUCACAAGUAAUCGUACGGAGUUGAACAAGUUAGUGUUAGUCCCUUGUGAUCACCAAUUUAAUCUAUUAUCUCACUUCUUUCUUUCUUUUGUUUUUUCUAUCCCUCCUUUUGCAGUUGUGGAAUUACUGCAUCUAGGACUAGAUAGGACGAAAGGCCGCUCAUUUUUCCAAUUAGAAACGUGGCUAUGUUCAUAAAAAAGAAAAAAAAAAGCCUUGAACUUCAAGAAAAGUAAACAAAUCUCAGCACUUACUUGAGAGAAAAUGAAACCUCUGGCAAUAGCUGAUCUGAACCUACCCUGUCAAAUCCAAGUUUGAUGAAAAAGAGAACACGGGCGAGGAAGAUGAUAAUUUGAACCAAAAUUAAAACAAUGCGGUAUGUGCCUUUAGCUAUUGAAGAUGGAGUAUUAUAGAGGAGAAGGUAGAGGAGCAGUACCGUUAUUGAUAAGAAAGUGGAGUGAAAUUGGCCCAUGACUUUCCUGGUUGGAUAGUAGAACAAUUACUCAACGUGGUGGACCUAAGAUUAGAUUGUGUAUCUCAUCCAUUGGCUGUCAGAGUGGCACAUGGCAAUAAAAAUCGAGACUUAAAUGAUAUGGGGUCAGAGUCCAUUGUUAGGUGAUCGGAGAAUGAGUAGUUUAGUCAUUUCACGAAAUAUUAAUUGUAUUCAAGUUAAGAUGGAUAGUACUUAAUUUUCCAUUUAUGAAUUAUGUCAAAUUACACAAUUCUUUUGAAUUUCCAAAUUUCCCACUUCCACGUUGAGAGUUUUCCAAUCAUAUUUAUUUAGAAUUUUAAGUUUGCAACUUCACUGCAUAGGUCCAGGUCUACUUUGAAAAAUUUUAUGUCGGUCCCAAUCAAUUACUUAACAUGCCUAACAGUUGGUAACACAUCUAAAAUUCAUCUAAUCUAUUUGUGCUCUUAUGGUACAUAAUAGCAAAAGCCUUAAUUUUAUUUGUCUGUGAACAUUAGGCUGUUGGCCGGCUGGUAUAUCAAUUUGAUUAAUCGAAUUAUAGUCUUGUUGGCUUGUCCUUCCAACCCACGAUGUGCUCAUAAAAUGUUGGACGUGAAGAAAGAAGUGGAAUUGAAAAUAUUGGAGAUGGCUAAAAUUGAAUGUUCAGCACAAGACAAUUGAGGUAAACCCUUAACCACGUAGCCAAAUCCGAUCACCACCAUCUUAUCAUGUCUAAUUUUUCUUUUUGUUUAUUGCAAUGAGUAAAAAAAAAAAAAAGAUACACUCGAAUACGUCAAAUCAUAAUUUCGUGUUUCUAUUUUUCUUCUUUGCUUCUUUGUAAAAUGAAUGACUUUGGAUCACCAGUGUAAUCUUUCAUCUCAGUUCUUUUUCUCCAGCUGUGAAAUUAUUACAACUAAGACUAGGUUAGGAGUAAGGGACAUGAAGUAACCGGAGGAUAAGGUGCAUCAUAUGAGCCACUAGGGAUGUAAUCGAGUCAAGUCAAACUCGAAUAUUGCUAUACUCGAGCUCGACUCGACUCAUAUAUAUCUAGGCUCGAGCUCGACCGAGUACACAAAAUCGAUAUUCGAAACUUGACUCGAGGAACUCGCUUUAAACUCGAGACUCGACUCGAUAAGACUCGACCUUUAGUCAAGCCUUAUCAAGUCGAGCCUAAUCAAGUUUUUUUACUCGACUCGAACAAUUAUGUUAUUACUUUUUUGCCAUUAUGAACUUUUUUUAUAGAGAAGAGUUUAUUGUAAAUUCUGUAAAACUUAUACCCAUAAUGGUCAUUUUAUAAUUAUAAUACAUAUAUAUUAUUUAAAUUAUAAAUAUAUUAUUUAAAUACCCUCGACUCGACUAGUAGCUCGACAAGUCUCGAGUCUCAAAAUAUUGGCUCGAAACUCGACUCGAAUGACAAUCGAGUAGCUCGAUAUUCGGCUCGAACUCGGUCAACUCGAGUUCAAACCAAACCGUUAACCGAGCUACUCGCGAGCUACUCGAUUGUGACUCGACUCGCGUACAUUCCUAUGAGCCACUCGAACACUGUAUGCUGAAAAAGCAGCUUUGAAACAAAAGAAGAAGCAGAGGCACAAAAUUUUCCUAUGGUUCCUAGAAACAGUAUAAGAAAGAAGAUAGAAAGACAUUAUUGACAUUAUAAAUUCUUGUCAAUUAAUGUUCGUCAUUUUUAUAUGGUAACUUACUGCAGAAAAAUUGUCAAAACCGUGUGAGAAAGUUAAGGACGAAAUACGAAGAAAAUUCUUACUCAUCAAGAAACUGCAGCGAAAAAAAAAUUGUAGAGAUGAUGGAAAUAAGAAGAAACUAACGCAAGAGAGAUGAUGGAAAUUGAAUGGAAAGAAGAUAGUUAGCAACGUGGUUUUGAAAGGCGAAGCUACACUACAAAAUCAUGGAAAUUGUUAGGGAGACAAAUGCAGUUGGUGGGGCGUUCACUCUUCAGCACCUUUCGGCUGUGUUUCUUCGAUCAAAUAAAGGAGUGGCUACCAGUGUACCACAGCAUCGUUCAAAAGCAAUGAUGUCUUAAGCUUAAAACGUGGUGGCUUGGACAUUGAUUUCAUUGACGUAGAAAUAAAGGGAAAAUACAGAUUUAGCCUCUAAUAUUUUGCCUUUCGGCAGUUUUAGUCAUUAAAAUUUUGAAAAAUGCAAAUUUGAUUCUCAAUGUUUAGCACAUGUGCAAUUUUAUCCCUAAAAUAUUGGAAGGAACAAAUUUGGUCCCCUAUGUUAUAGUCUUGAAGCAGAUUUAGGAUGAUUGACGAAUUUUUUCAAAUAUUGGUAGAAUCUGUUACGUGUGAUUACAUGCUUGUUAAUUUAAAUAUCUUAAAAAAGAAGUAAAAUAGCGAGUACUCUUCAAUAAUAAGACCAGUUUACAUGAUGCCAUGCCAGUAACUAAUUAAUCAAGAGAAAUAAAAAGAAAUAAAAUUUGUUAAUCUAUAUGAAAAAGUAAAUGUUACGAUUUUGUGCUUGGCAUAGUCAGGAUAGAGUGUAAAAAUGAGUUCUAUAUUGAUGAAUUGGGUGCUUCAAGAAGGCCUCUUUGGAACCUGAAUUUUUUGGGAGUUUGUCUAAAACUUUACUGUAGUGCACUGUAGAAGUUUUUGAAAAAAUUUUGUAGAAGUUUUUGUAAGGUGAAAAAUUUUUUUGUAGAAGUUUUUGUAAAGUGAAAAACUUUUUUUCUUUUUCUUUUUCUUUCUUUUCUUUUUCUUUUCUUUUCCUCUCUUCUUCUUCUUCCUUCUCCCCCCCGGUGACCUCUGCCUUCCCAGUUCCCAGCAGCUAGAGGUGUCAAAUCAACCCAUUUAACUAAAUUUACCCAUACCCGCCCAUGAAUAGAUGGGUAUGGGUAUCUUAAAUUUUUGUAUAUGGAUAUAAAUGGGUUACCCAAUAAUACCCAUUUAUUAAAUGGGUAUUAUUGGCUAACCCAUGAAACCCAAUUAACCCAUUUAAAAUUCUCUUCCCCCCAAGUCUCUUCUUUUCCCCCACCUUUUUUUUUUCAAAAUUUUCAUUUUGUCAUGAUGUUAACUACUUUUGUUUCAUUAUUAUUAUUAUUAUUAUUAUUAUUUGUUGGUUUUAUCUUAUUAUUUUAUUUUCUCUUAGUUUGUUAACUUGCUCAUUUUUUAGCAUUAUCAAUUUAUGAUAAAUUUUAGCCUAUUUUCUUAUCUUUAUAAAAUGAAAUUUUAAAUUUAUAUAUGAAAAAAUGUUAGGGGUUCAAAAUUUUUGGAUUAAGUUUUUAUAUUAAUUUUUAUAGUACUUAGUUCAAAUUUUUAUAUUCUUAUUAUUCAAUUAUUAAAUAAUAGGUAAUUUUGUGACAUAGAGUAUAAAUGAAAAAAAAUUGGUAAUUAAGUUUAUUGAACAUUAUAAGUAAAUAUUUAAAACUAAUGAUGGGUACAAAGAGUGGUAUAAAUUGAUAAUUUAGUUUGCAAAAAUGAAUUUAAAUAAGUUUACAAAAAGUUAAAAUAAAUGGGUUAUAAAUGGGUAAUUGGGUUACCCAAUUCAUUUUUUGACUUACCCAUUUAUACCUAUCUAAUUAAAUGGGUAUAAAUGAGUUGACUCACUUGUACCCAUUACCCAUUUUACCCAACCCAAACCCGCCCAAGUCACCCAUUUUGACACCUCUACCAGCAGCCAUGGCCCUGCCAUUUUUUUUCUUUUCUUUCUUUUUCUUUUUCUUUCUUUCUUUCCUUUUUCUUUUCUUUCCUCUCUUCUUCUUCUUUUUCUUCAUUCCCCUCCCCCCGUCACCUCUGCAUCUGAUUGUAAAAAGACCCAGUAGAUGGUCACCUCUGCAUCGACCGCCACCCCUUUUCUCCCGCUCCCUCCACCGCCACCCCUCUCCCCAUCCCCCUUCCAUCGCCCGCCUCUGCAAAAGAAGACUGGCACCUGAGUUUUGCAGUAACAGAAACAAUUUUUUUCCAAUUUUCCCUUUCCCUCUCCAAUCCUUCUCUUGCUGGCAGAAUAAGCCGCAACAGGAAUUCUUUUUUUUUUUGGCAAUUUUCCUUUUCCCCCUCUCUCCCGAUUGCAAAAAAAAAUCGAGCAAAGGGGGAGGAUGGCAGGUUGCAAAGGAUUCCGAUCCGGGACUGUGCCAUGUUUCUUGAACUGAAGCUUUUCUUGCCGCUGCACUUGAUUGAAGAUGACACCAAUGGCUUGUGAGCAGUUGCAGCAUUUGUAGUGUCAGCGGCUCUGUGGAGACGGCACCUGAACAAGCCAGCAUGGGUCGUUGGAGCACAAAGGCAAAGCUGCUGCUUCUGCUUGUUGGAUGAUUUGCCAUGACCACUUGUUUUUUUGUCUGACCCACUACCCUUCUUAUCAGGCUCAACAUCACAGUGAUUUGACCGAGUAAUUCCUUUGCAAGGGAGGAAGAGGGGGAGAGGGAGAAAAGGAAAAAAAAAAAAAGAAGAUGGGCAUUGGAACCGGCGGCAGAGGUAGUGGCCGGCGGCGGAGGUAGUGGCCGGCGACGGAAGUGGUGAUGGGUUGGGGUGAGGGAGGAAAAAGAAGAAAAGGGGUAGGGAAUUUUUUUGUUUUUGUGUUUUUGAUAUUUUAAAGUGUGUAAGUUAAAAAUUUUGAUAAGUUUUUAAGGUUCCUGUAGCAAAAGUUGUUAAAAAACUUGUAUCAUACAAACUUGGUUAAAAACCAAGGUUCCAAACAGGCCCUUAGUUUAAAAAUUUUCAAUUUUUACUAGUUAAUUAGUUAGCAUAUGAAUUAUCAGUUCUUAAUUUUGUUGUUUAAAGUUAGCUACUAAUAACUUGGCACAUGUUUCAUUCUAUAAUUAUCAUGUCUGGAGGUUCAAUUUUUUCUUCUGAGAUUUGUCCAUUUUGGCUAGAUUAUACUCACCUUUCACGAUCAAAUUGAAUUUUCAACGCACCAAGGUUUUCUCAAAUCGCUUCAUACAAGAUGCAUGAUAUUUGUUCUGAUUUACCAUAUCAUCUCCGCAUUUGGCAUGGGAUCUUACUGUUGACCUCAUUGUAAUGAUAUAUGGUCAAAAUGGAACUAAUAAGUGGGCGUAUGGUUCGCAGGUGCCGACCGUCCAAAUGAAUCUGUCCUUUUGCAGUUUUACUUGUGCAAGAAUAAUUAAUUUGUGGGAAAAACUCGCUACUUAUCUGCAAGGACUAAAUAAAUAUUGGCUAUGGUUAGCGAGAAUGUAUCCUUGUAGAGAAGAUUUUUAUGUAGGGAUAUUGUUACGAAAAAAAGAAUUUUGAAACAUAUAGUUGGAUUGGUUUUUCCUGAUUUUAAAGAGUCAUAGGCUAAAAAAGUAGCAGUGGUUCACAAAUUUUCCUUUUUUUUUUCUUUUUCAAAUCCUAGCUUGAUGCCCCUACUUGAGUUAAUAAAUUGAAAUUCACUAGUAAAAGUAACUAUUGUAGAGUCAUAAUUUGGACUCAAAUGUGAUAAGGUGUGUGAGAACCCUGAAAAAAUAUAUAUAAAUAUUAGUGCAUAUUUCAUUUGCAUUUAUAAUUCUUUAAUAGAUUUUAGCAUUAAAUCUAAUUGUUUUUAAAUAAGUGCGUAGAAAUAAAUUUUAUGUGCAAAAUAAAAGAAUUGUGCUAAACUAUUAAAUUUCCUAGUCUAGUUACAUUAAAUUCAUAUUCCGAAGGUAAAUUAUUUCAUUGAUUUAACAAUUAAUUUCUUUGAAUUCCGAUAGCUAGUUUUAAUCGUUAAUAAUGUUCAGUGUUAAUAGGAACCUUAGCAAUAAGAUGAAUUUGGUAAAUUCUAGAUAAAAUCGAUACAAGUAUACUAGGUUCGCCUAGAACGUAAAAACCUUGAAAUUAUAAAUAUACAUAUAUGUACGUGUUGCAUGUACAUUUUAGAUCUUUAAUAAACGUUGUUAUUAUCUGGUCUUAAAUAAGUGUGCAAAAAUAAUUUGUUUUAGAUUACAAAUAAUUCAAUUGUGCAAGAUAUUAGAUUAUUUGAAUUUUUGCCAAGUAAAGGUAAUUUUUCUUGAUGUUGAGUGUGCCAUUGUUUUUAUUUUAAUUCUUUGGUUCCAAUAACUAAUUUUAAGUAUUAACGACGAUAGGUGCUAAGGAAAACUAGAAUUAAGACGAAACGUUUAGGUUAAAGCUCUUUAUAAUUAUUUUAGGGACGUUGUAUCUCGAUAAUUGAAUUUUUCAAGGUUGGUAUAUUAGUAGGCAUUUGAUUUAUAUUUAGGAAAUCUUGGAGUUAGUUUAGGAUUGAAGGGCUUAAGUGGAAAUUUGGAUGAAAUGUAAAAAGACCAAAUUAGCCUUUUCCAAGUUAAAAUCACCAAGCAGCCGUGAAGAAAAAAAAAAAUGCUAGAAGCAACUCAUUUCCAAACAAUUCCAAUUUCUGUCGGUUCAUUCCAGCAUCUUCCAUUUCUUUUGCCGACCAACCCCACUCACGAUAACCUCAAUAUAUACACCCCAUUAACCAUACACUCCACACUAUACCAUUUCCAAUCCACUAUAAUAGUACACUUCCAUUUGCUUUCUGCCGUGAGCUGUGAGGAAACAACUACCUUGGAAGUAUCGACGAGAGAGAGAGCCGUGCGAGCUUCGGUUCUUGAACUGUCCGAGAGAGGGUGAGAGCAAGAGAUAAUCGUGUGAGCUUCAUUGCUUCCUUCAUCAUCUGAGAGCUGCCAUUUCAUUCUUCACCUCAACCAGCCGUGAUCACUUCAACCUCAAUCACCACAGCUGCAAUUACUGAACUCAGACCAACCAUCCCCGAGUGCGUGAGCAAAGCCGUGAGGGAGGAAAAUAUUUCUGCUGUGGGCCGAGUGUGUUAAGCUUCAGGCUGAGGUAAUUUCUAGACUUAAAUGAGUUGUUUAUGGGUUAAUGAAGCUGGUUAUAAGCAUGCAUGUGGGGUUGUGCGGUUGGAUGACAAAAUUAAGUUACAAGAAAACUGAUUUGGAAAGAAUUGGAGCUGCCGAGAGUUAGAGCUGGAAUUGCAGCUUUAGUUUGUUAACUUGUGAUGAUCUGAGCUUAACCUUGGGCCAAUUUGAUAGAUAGCCUUUUAUUUGGUGUUGCAUGUGAACCAUAUGGCCAGGAUUUCGGUUGCAUGGCUGGAAAUUUUCACUAGAAGUUGCUGGACUGCUUAAUCAAUUUUCCAGUUUGCCGAUGGAGUUGUUUUGGGAGUUGUAUGAAUAUUUUAGUAUGAGAUUUGCUGGAAAGUGUUUGAUUCUCACUUGGUGGUGUGUUUAGCUAACUAAAUGCUGGAUGAUUAAGCCCCGCAUGAGAUUAAUUAGCUGUGUGUAAAUCAGAAAAAUAAAAUGAAACCAAAAGUCUGCUGCAGGCAUGUCAUCCGUAGUUAGUUGAGCAGAUCCUAGAAUUUUGAAUGAAUGUUGUUGGUGACCGACCCUGUUUUGGACUAGAAUUAAUAGUAACUUCAUUUAUUAGUAAUACAUGUUAGCUGUGAGUACAUAAUUCAGUGAUUUGGCCAAGGAAAAUCCGGAUUAAUGAGUGACUAAGCUGCUGGAAUUUUUCCAGUGUAGCCGAAUGAAGAAGAAAAGAAUUUUCCAGUUUUCUUUUGCGAAUUUUGGGUUUUAAAAUUAUGUUACAAGCUGUAAAUUUUGUGUCGUUGAUUAAGAGACCCCGUAAGCAUAACAAUUACCAUUUACAUGAUAAGCUGGGAGUGUAAAAGAUCGAAGUCUUGUUGCUGGAAAAUUUGGUUAAUGGCCGAAUGAGAAAGGAGCUUGAAAUUCUUAUAUUGGCUUGAUAAUUGGCUACAAUCUCAAGUAAAAUGUCUUAUAACAUCUUGUGCUAGUUUCAUGAUUAUCUUAUUGAUUGUAACACUUGAAAAACUGGUGUAUUGGAACAUGAACUAAAAGAAUUUCUGAAGGAAAAUAUUUUUCCAGCAUGGCCGAAUGGGUUGGGACUUUUGGUGGAUUUAUUUGCUGGAUUUGUGCAUUAUUUAUUUUAGCUUGGUUUGGACAGAUUAUAGGCUAUACGUUUGGUGUUUCUAGCAAGUAAAAGUUGGACAUCUUGGAUUGAAAUUUACUGGAAUUUUCUUGACUAUCGAAACAAGAAAAGAAAAUCUGAGUUCCUAAGUGUAUUUGUGAGUAAGCUAACCGUGACUUUCUUCUAUGCUUGAGUUAAACUUUUAGUUGACUUGUUGUAAGAAAUAUUUGUUUGAUGCCAAGAGCUAAUGAUUGAUGAAGCUUUUGGCCAUUUGAGUAAUUUUUGCAAGGGUUAAAUUCUUGGUGGAAUUAUUUAAGUGGUUUGGCCAAAAUGCAUUUGGAAGGUCCACGAUUUGUGAUUUGGAAUUGUUUUAAUACUUUGGACUUCCUUUGGUUGAUUUUGAUUAGAAUUGAAUCUGUUGAGACCUAGGGCUAAUGAUUGAUGAAACCCUAGUGAAAUGGAUGUUCGAAUUGUGUUUUUGCUAUAUUGGCGACUUGGAAUAUAAUGUGCAAAUGAAUUGAAAUCGUGAAGUCCGUUCUAGUCUUUUGAAUUCAAGUAUCUUUAAAUCAAAUCUUGUGGGAAUAUUUUGCCUUAAUAUCAAGUUAUAUACAUUGAGUAUAGUACGUUAAUAUUAAAAUCUAGAUAUCGGGACUUUUAAAACCUUGCCGAUUUGUUAAUUCUUUUCUUUAUUUAAACUAGUGUUUGACCUUUAAUAAAUAAUUGCAUUAACUUCCAAACUUUAAGUUUUUCACAAAAUUAUCCUUGACCAAUUGUUUUAAAGGAAAUUUGUUAAAAACAUUAGAUUUGAAUAAUUUCAAAUAAAAGACAAAGGGAACUUGUUCGACAAGAAAACUUGUUUGAAUUAAUUUGGUUCUAGUUUGCCCUCUAGUAGGGAAAUACCUUUAAAGAAACCAUACGAGAUAUUUUAUUUCUUUACUAGCCUUAAUUCCAAGGGAAUGAUUGAUUUGUUUCGAGAAAUUAAAUUAGUUUUAUAGAAGAUAACCUUUUAUAUACAAAACAAAAGUUUGUUUAGUAAAACUUAUAGUUUUAAAAAUUGGAUUUCUAGGGUGUAGCGAGGACGUGGACUUCGAUUCCCAACUUGACUUUUGAGCUUCACUUUUGGUGAGUGUCCCUGCCUGAUUUAUGGCUAUUUGGUUAAAGUGCUUUAUCGACUCGUUAUGUGAUAAUUGCCAAAAAUGGUUGUUGAUCCAUCGAAGUGAGCAGUGUGUACUUUAUCGCACUAGCCUUUCGAGUGGUGACUUGCUUGAAGUGUUUUUCGUGAAUAUCUUGCUUGUGUUUGCUAAGUGCUAAAUUACUAGGCAGGAGAAUGUACCACACCAUAAAGGUGGGAGGGCCUCUUAUCCUGUCCUGGUAAUCAAGUGUUGGACGUAAAGUCGUUGAGUGAAUCCCUCGAUCAGUCUAUAAUAAUCAAGUGUUGGACGUAAAGUUGUUGGGUGAAUCCCUCGAUCAGUCUAUAAUAAUCAAGUGUUGGACGUAAAGUCGUUGGGUGAAUCCCUCGACCAGUCUAUAACAAUCAAGUGUUGGACGUAAAGUCGUUGGGUAAAUCCCUCGACCAGUCUAUAAAUAUAAGUGUUGGACGUAAUGUCGUUGGGUGAAUCUCUCGACCAGUCUAAGGUAUACUCGAAUAUUAUCGCUUCCCUAUUUAUUUACUUCAGUCGAAUCAAUACGUGUUAAUUGUUUCAAGUGAUUGCAUGAUUUUGGGGCACCACUGAGUUUUAGCUCACCCCACGUUCAUUUGUUUUCCUUACAGGUUGUGAAGUUUGAAAGAAUUUGAGCUGCUUAUAUUUCCUAUGAAUGUAAUUGAACAACUUGAAUUUGAAUUUCGGUUUGUAAUGAAUUCCAAGUUAAGCAUUUUAUCUUUCAUUUUGGAUUGCCACUUGAAGCUGGAAAAGUGUAAACCCUAAUUCUGAUAUGUGGCUUGAAUGUAUGUAUUUGUGUGGUAUGGCUUUAACCCUUGUAAGUAACGCGUGAAGUGUUUAAGAGCCGUCGAUUGGCUAACUUCGGAUGCUGUUAUCUUUGAAGUUAAUGUGGUGUUAGAAACCGAUUUUUUUUUUGGAAGAAUCUCUAUUGUAAUAGUUUAGGUUGAUCUCCGGAAGGAUUUGGGUUAGUGUGCCUGCGUGAGUCCUGGCGAGAGUUAGGCAGACGGCCUGCCAACCCUCUGGUUCGUCUUAGGGGGAAGUGGGGUCGUCACAAUGUGCAUUAUUUGACCUACUUGAAUAUUGUAUUUUGGAAAAUUAAUUUCAAAACAAAAGAAGAAACAGAGACACUAAGUUUUUCCGAUGACCAUAUGGUUCCUAGAAACAACAUAAGAAAGGAGAUAGAUAGAAACACAUUAUCGAUAUUAUAUAGCUCUGUCAAUGUUUCCCAAUUUUAUAUUGUGACUUAAAACCGAAGAAUUUUUCAAAGCCGUAAGAAAUUUAAGAACGAAAUACGAGAAAAUUUCUUACUCACAAAAAAAGAAGCUGCAGCAAAUAAAUGGAGUGGAGCCAUUGUAGUCAGAAAGAAAAAGAGAAACUAAAGCAAGAGAUGUGAUGGAAAUUGAAUAGAAAGAAGAUAGACAGCAACGUGAUUUUGAGAGAGAGAGCGACGAAGCUACCUUACUGCUACACAACAAAAUCAUGGGAAUUAUUAAGAGGACUAUGCACUUGGUGGGGUGUGGACAAGGGGCACGGACCAUCCCCAUCGGACGGUUUUGGCCAUUUUCAACAGCUCAUAACUUUGGUUGCACACGGCGUAACUUUAUUUGUACAACGUGUAACUUUAGUACAAAAUUUUGUGGGUCCCACACACGAUGUGAAAAUCGAUGCACAAUUUGUGAUCUGGACAGCACAAUUUAUUGAGGCCAAAUCAUGGCCAUUAAUAGCUCAGGAGCGCUCCUGCCCCGUUUCCGUGGGGUGUUCACUCUGUGGAUCAUUGUUAUGAGCUAAUAAUCCAACAGGAACGGAGAGAACUGUUUGUGCGACUUUCAGUUUUGUAGAUUACUAGUUUAUUUGGGCCUCACACGUUGCGUGACGGUGCCCGGAAAGAGUAUAAUCUAUGCAAGUAUACAUGGUCAAAAACUGUAAUAAUUCUCCAGGCAUUCUCAUCAAAUUCUUUGACCAAACAGAUAUGGUAUCUUGUCUCAAGAAACUACCCAAAACUCCAGCAUUUGUUCAUGCCGUCAACAUAUAAACAUCAGAUUUCAAACUCCAGCAUUUCUUUUAGUGCAUUAAAAGCAUAAAUGCACCAUUAUCACUUCAUGUAUUGCCACACCGACUGAUCUUGAAGAUGACAUGCUAAAAACGAUUGCAGUUGGUGCACAGGUAAAAUCAGUAUUAAUAUAUGCUGGCACCUGUACGAGCUUGUAGCAUAGAUGGCAGCAAAUUGGGGUCAUAAAGGAGCAAAACACGAACUUCAACAAAUUUUAAUCACAAAAAGUCACUUCAGAGAAUUAUAAUUACAAAAUUCGAGUAAUUGAUAAAUGACAUUUUGAACAUGCUUCACAUAUUUGGAGCAAAUGUAUUUCCAGUCACUUCAUUAUCUAAUCCAUAAAUAUCAUAGUGAUCAUUAUCUUCACAUAUCGUAUUAAGCAUUCUUGAAACUACAUUCGUUUGAGCUUCAACGGUGACAAGAGACCUUGGGGUAGGGGGUGAGACCACCCAAGUAAUAGCUUUCCAAUCAAGCCUUUUAAAACAUUUAGCAUGUAGUAAGUGGAUACAAAUCAAAGAGCUCCCUCUAUAUCAUCAAACAACAGGAACAUAGAGUAUAAAGAAAAUUCGUCCUUUGACUUGAACUAAGUCAUACAAAAUGACUAUUACCUAAGAGGUUCAGUCCCUUGGAAGAUGGGGAAUGAUGCAAUCCUUUUUAAGGAAAACUGGUUAAGAAUGAUAGUAUAUACCUGCAAAUUUUCAAACUACUAUCCAGCUUCUUUUGAUGGUUUAUCCUAAAUUUCGACUAAUAAGAAAGCACUAAAUGUGGGAGAAAGAGAAACAGCAAAUAAAUUGCAGAAUGCAAAUGAAAUGAAAUGCUGAAACAGAGACAAAAUUUCAAGUUUACCAAAAUGCAAUGGAAGAACUUCUUGGACUCAUCGUCAUGUCUGAAGGCCUCAAAAGCAGAAAUUCAGCAAAAAAAUUAAAAACAUAUUUGACUCUAAGGACAAGAAAUACUUGAGCCCAACCAACCAAAUAAGGCAGGCAAAGUGAAGAAGAAAGCAGCUUCCAAGGGUGGAUAAAAAUUUGACCGAAAAUAAUUAAGAACCUGACAUAAGAAUGAUCUUCCAGGAUCAAAUUUAGAGCAUAUAAACGAUCAACAAAUUUGUAAUAAAAACUAAUCAAAAAAUCCAAAAUAAUAGGUACUUGAAAAUAGUGUGUGCUGAAAACAAUACGCAUUGGGGAAUUGCCCCCAAAAUCACCCCAAUGGCCCUAUCUUCCCUACUAUCAGUAUUAGAGCAGUAAUUGGACCCAACAAUAAAUCAAAAAUAUGCAUGCAAAGAAUGCCAGAAGAAUCCAAUGAGCAUUUAAGAGCAUAAGAACAACUGGCAAAGCCUGAAACUUGGUAUAAUUUAAAUGCCAUAACAAAAGGAUAAACAUAAACGAAUCAAUUAGAAAGAAAAAAAAAAGUUUUACUGGAGGUGAAAGAAAACAAACUUGGCCAUCUCACAUUCAAUACGAUUCUGAGCUUGAAGAACACGGAAAUUUCAUGCUUCCUUAUCCCCUGACGCUUUAUUCUUCUGUCAAAGCACUCAUGUGCACAUUUGAAAUAAGCUUGUUGCAAUAUUAGAUACCCACAAUUUGAAAAAUUUAUAAUCUCAAUUACUUUUAUUAACUGAAUUGCCUCUAAAUUUUCUGCAUAAUUCGGUCGGUUUUAGAUUUCAUAGAAGAUGGAGAAGUUCUUGGACUAAUUUACGAUGGGUUGGAACAGAAGAUGGAGAAACCAAUCGCACUGAUGGAUCUCAAUCUACCGUCCAACUGUAUCAUUAUGAAAAGACCCAAUAACCAAGCCUACAAGCUCACAUCAAUAACUAAUUAAAGGGUAAAAUUGUGAGAUAAGGGUUAGCUAGUAAAAUCACAUUGCCACAUCACGUGCCAGCCGCACAUCCCAACUCAGUCCUAACUCCAACAAAUCAAAUGUUCAUCUGAUAUUCCAUAUUUAGCCACCUAGACAAGGUGUCCAUAGGGGACCAUAACUACUGUUCAUAAGCUAACUCUCCUUUUUAUUCCUUUUAGGAUUUAGCUCUCAACAUCAAACUUAAUCAAUUCAGAUUUUAAUAUAUUCAAACCGUUUGAUAACAAAAAAUUGAACUAAAUUAUUUAAACAAAACUUGUUCCCAAGAUUAAGUGAUAAGCUAUUUAUUUAUCACUGAAUAUGAUAUGCACUCAAAUGUAUUAGAUUUAAUAUUUAAUAAUUCAAUAAAUUCAGAUUUCAGUUUUCAGACUUCAGUUUUAUCAAACGCAACCUCAAUGAUAAGUGAAUAACUUAUCACUUAAUUUUAGGACUAAGUUUUACUUAGAAAAUUUAGUGCCACUUAAUUAAUUCAGAUGUUCAAUUUUUAAUUAUCAGACAGUUUGAAUAUGUUAAGAUCUGAAUUCAUUAAAUUUACGUGUUGAAGCGGGUUACCAAAUAGGGCCUUAAUAUAGGAUUCUUUUGCGCUGUGCCAAAGAAUAAGAGAUGGACUCGCUUUAACUAUGUGGACAUUAAUCAGUCGAGUCUAAUCAAACUCAAUGAAGCAUAGGUAAUAUAAAUUAAUAUUUUAUAUAAUUUUAAAUCAGGAUACAAUUGACAUUUCACACUAAUAAAUAUUAAAAAUUUUCAAAAGGAUAUAUUACAUUUAAAUCUCGAUUGAGUUCAACUGAACUUGACGAAUUUUCAAGUUUCAUAUAGUAGACUCGAACUUGAACUCUUCAAGCAAUUUGAGAUACUCGAACUAAUUAAAUAUUGAACUUGGUUAACCUAAGUUUUGACAAAACAUGCUGGUGAGUAAUUUGAUUGGGCACGACUUGUUUUGCACCCAUACGACAAAAUACUCUCAAUUAAGGGAGUAAGUGACUGUGUUGCAAUUUUAUGGUGGGCUCAUCUCUCUUUUUGUGCUCUUAUGGUACAUAAUAGAAAAUAUCUGACCAAAUUUCGGCAUAAAUAUACAUGUGUGUUUAAGUAGAAAUGAGGAAAGAUCACAAGAGAACGAGAAUCUACUGCCAUAGAUAAAGAAAAACCCAACUCAAAAUGAAUAUUCUAUCAAAGUUACAGGAGAGUAGGGUUGCAGCUGAGUUUUGAGCAUGUUGUGGGUUAAAGUUGGUUUUAGAUUUUUUUUUUCUCCUUUCUCGUCAAUUGAAGAAUGGACUGGGGAAAGUGAGAUUUCAAUUUCUGUAACUCGGCAGUCGGGGAUUGAUUUAAGAAGACAUUAGACAUUAAUGUUGGUAGUGCUACUAUGGUUGGACUAAGUCAUGGACGAAGUUAAGAAUAGAAAAUUAUGAAUGAAACUUUUAGGAAGCUACCGAGAAAUCUGUAAGCACAGUUUGUUUUCACCUACCAACGCCAAGAAGCCAUUUUUACACUAUUUGUAAACCUUGAAUUCCAUGAUAAUGUAGUUACUUUAGCCUAAGCUUUAAGUACCCCUACCCUUAAUUUAGGGUAAAUUAAACAUAACUUCCUAUGGUUUCACUCAUUGUCGUAUAACCCUAUAACAUAGUAAAAUAUAUAUUUCACUCGCUUAGGUUCAAUAUAACUUUACGAAAAAUAAUCUCUGCAACGUCGUUAGUUCAAAUAUUAAUAAUUUCCUUACUCUAAUACUAAAGCGAAUAAAUGCCUAACCAUCUUGGAUAAAACCGUAGGGGAAUUGUGUGGAUAAAUGCAUAAGGUAAGGUGGGUAUUUAUAUAAAGGGUUAAAAAUAAAAAAGCCCCCUGUGGUAAGCCUAAUACACAGAAAACCCCCCCAAUGGUUUCAAAAUAUACAAUACGGCCCCUCAUGCUUUGAACUAAAUUGUAAAUGUGACGGAAUCCGUUAAACUUAACGGAAAUGACUUAUUGGAACCUAAAAAAAAAAUUUUAUACCUAAUUUUUAUCAAAUAUACCUAUUCUACCCCUUAACCCUCAAUUUCUCUAUUUAGAAAAUAAAAUAAAUAAUUUUUUUGAGCUGUCUUUUGCUUAAUUAUAUGAGAAUAUUUUGGUCAUUUUGACCAUUUCCGUUAAGUUUAACAGAUUCCGUCACCUUUACAAUUUAGUUUAAAGCAUGAAGGGGCGUGUUGUAUAUUUUGAAACCAUGGGGGACUUUUCUGUGUAUUAGACUUACCGCAGAAGGCUUUUUUGUUUUUAACCCUUAUAUAAAUCAUAGAGGAUUAAGUGGAUUUUAUGAUUCCAUCACAUACGUCAUCUAGAAUGUGUUUGGUUCAAUCAUCUAAUUGAUGAUGCAUUCUUUCAUUUUCUAUUUUGCAUAAAACCACAUAAAGGUUAUAUUACUAUUGUGAAACUUUAGACGUGUUACGUGGCAUUGAAGAAAAUUAUAGGGGGAUUAUAUGUAAUUUAUCCUUUUUUUUACAUGAAUUGUAGUUAUAUAUAUUAUUUUAAUGCUUUUUGGGACUACAUGAUAUUGAACCCUUUUUUGGGGGUCAAAUGAUGUUGUAAUCAAUAGAGAGAAAUUUGAGAAGGAAUAUGAGGGUUCAAAUCUGAUCUAUCUAUUAGAAACUAGCCUCCUAAAUUUCAAAAAAGAAAGUUAAUUAGAGAUCCUCUCUUCAUAUUAUUAUUAUUUUUUUUGGCUAGCGAUAUACGUUAAUCAAACCAAUUGCAAAGCCAAUCGUUCAUGAUUGCCCACAUGUUGCUAAAUCUAAUCAUCAGCAUUGGUUCUUGGUUGCCUGCAUAAUUCUCAUCGUUUGAUUUUUCAAUUAAUUACACUGCAAAAGAAUACGAGUUCAACUUUACUACUAGCAGAAGUUAUUUGUCUUUUUCCCACACAAAAAAAAAAGUAAAGCAGAAGUUAUUUAUAGCCCAUCAUCUCAUAUGGAACAACAUGCAAUGCUGUAAUGCCGCGAAUGCUGAGCCUUCUUACUCAGCUGUCGCGGGCUGUUAUGAGCUGUGGGAAUAGUGAGAGGACAAGGAGAAGCACGCCUUGGAAAAAUGAGCUAAGUUGUGCAAGGAGUGGGCUGGGGACAGUAACAUUACUUAUUGUAUGUUUUCUCUUUGAGGUAAUUUUUGGUAAUAACUCUGUCCAGUGCUGAGGCAAACCCCGGUCGAUUUUGCAUUUCUAGUUUGAUAUACGAGGGCCUUUCCAUGUCUGAAGAUCAAAUAGUACAGUUUGGAAUUGCUGAUGGUUCUACGGCAAGCUCAAUAUCAAAGAACAAGGAGAUUGAUGUGAGCAUCUAUCUAGCUGAGAUUGUUAUGUAUUAGGUCUUGAAUUCUCUAUAGUUCCGUGCUUUUGUGAUUUUGUGCUUUACCACAUAACUCUCUCCAUAGUUUAAAAACAUAUAUGAAACCCGAUCAUAAUUUGGGUUAACGUGUCACUGUUAGUUUUUCCGUUAAAACUAACGGUUAAUAGUAAAAAGUCAAAAUCAAACUAAUAAUUUGAUAAAUUUACGCUUUCACUAUUCUCUCUCUCUUUCUCUCUCCCUGGGAAGAGAAGAGGUGAUUUUGAAAACCUAUGCUUUGGAUAGCAAAAUUUUUCAAAAAAAAUAUUUCGUUUACAUCAUAAACACAUUUUUCAAUCCACUUUUUUAUCUCACAUACAUUACAUCACAAAAAGCACUACAGUAAUCAUUUCAAGUAACUAUUUGGCAUAAUACUCUAUCCAAACAAAGCCUUAAUUUUCUCCAAAUAAAAAAAAUAUGGAAGGAAAAUAAAAAAUAAAAAUAAAUAAAUAAGAAACAAAAAGGAUGGAAGGGAAAUAUAAAAAAAGUAAAUGAGAAACAAAAAAUACCAAAUCUUUUUUGACUACAAAUAUCAUUAUAGGUUUUUAAACCAAAAUUUUAAUGGCAUUUUCUAUUUCUUAUUUAUCUAUUUUUUAUUUAAAUUUCUUCAAGUAAUGAAAAGAUAAAUUUGUCAAUUUAUUAGUUUGAUUUGACCUUUUACUAUUGAUCGUUAGUUUUAAUGAAAAAAAUUAAAGAUGGCACUUUAAUUCAAACUAUGAGCAAAUUAUAUAUAUUUUUUAAACUAUAGAGAGAUUAUGUGGUAAAGUACCUAAUCAUAGGGGAUAACAUGCAAUUUACCCAACUUAAUAUUAACUAGCCCUUACAUUGCUAGAGCAAAUGGGUCCGUUGUUGCUCUUGAUUGCCAACAUACACAUACGUAGAUCAUCUACACUUUUGUUCCUAAUUGACAACAUAAACCAUAUCUUUUGAUUUUCUAAUAAUACUUGCAAAAAAAAAGAAUGAAAAAGUGACGUGUCCUUCUAUACGACUAGAAGAUUAUUGAUUGUGCACCCCGAUUUGUCUAGUUUAGGGAAAAAAAAUUUUAGAGUGAAUUGAAUCGAAUUCAAAUUUUGUGUUUUGUGAUAAUUCCUAAUAGAGAACGAAAUGUAGAUUUUGAGUGUAAAAAUAUUUUAAGAAAUAGUAGUGAUAAACAUUGUAAGUUUAUUAGCACAAAGUAAUUAUAAUAGUCAAUGAUGAAUGAUCACAUAUGCAAUGCUAAUUGAAACACUGGCAAAUUUGGGAAGGAAAGAGCAGACUUGGAAAUGAUCAACAUAUGCUACAUUUACCAGACAAACCAUAUUAAUAUAGGUUUACAUAUUAUCUCUGACCAAAAUUUAAAUAAAGAUUAAGACACAAAAAGAUAAAGAGUAAUACUAUACAGUACAUUAACAACAUCAAGCAUUAUACACAAUACAUACAAUAAAUAAGGAGGUAAGACACAGAAGAUGUCGAAGGGGAAAAAAUUUACUAAUAAAAAAUAAAAAACAAGAGCAGUGUUGUCCACAGCAGAGAGGGUGCAAACCAGAGAAAGGGGAAUGAUUUAUGUUUUCUUCUUCUUCUUCCCCCAUAGCUGGCGCUGUCUCCAUUCCCCAUCUUCUGUAUAGCAACCAAUGACAAUUUCAGGAAUGUGUGCGAUUCUUGUGUAAUCUUCACUUUCUUCCUUCUGAUUCUCUACCUUUUCUAUCAUUUCAGAACUCAUCUCAUACAAAUACAGCCCUUGAAGAUGGCUCAAGUGCUGAAUACCCAAAGGUAGCUCCUCUAGUAAUGGAAGUUGAUCCAAAAUGAGUUGAUGGAGACGAGGCAAUGCACCCUCCUCCACUCUCAUCCAUCUCAACCCUUCCAUUCUCUUUAGGUGCAACUUCUUCAGAUUGAGGAACCCUCCAGCCUGGAAACACAACCCUUCUCCCUGGUAAGAUCCACAGAAAUUAAUUUUACCCAAAUUGGGCAAAUGUCGGAGGGAUUCAAGCGGAUCCUCAUCACCCCUUAACCUGCUCCAAUUCAAAUCUAUUCUUACCAAGCCGUGAAGAUGAGCUACCCAUUGUGGCAUCUUUUCUAAGCGGCCACACAAAAUCAGCAGAUGAAGAGAUUGAAGAAAAGAAGAAGAAGAAGAAGAAGAAGGAUGGUGAUUUAGAUCGAUUAUCUCAUGAUCAUCGUUACCUUCUCCAAUUGAUUCAAUGCUUAAUCUAUGAAGACUGGUGAGCUUGGCAAGGGAGGAGCAGAGCUCCUUUCCAUCUUCUCUUCUUAACUUUGUAAUACCUAAUUCUCUUAAUUGGGUCAGCUUUCCUAUCUCCUUGACUACUGUAGAUCCACUACUAGCAUCUAUGCAGUCUAAUACUUCUAGGGCAAGAAGCCCUCCCAUAUUCGAGGGAGCUUUAAAUCCAUGAAAUCCAUAAUCAUCAUCGAAAGAAUCAACUCGUUGAUAUACUUUGAGAACCCGAAGUUUUUGCAACUUUAGGAUUUCCAUGGGUAAUUCCCUAACUCUGGUGUUACUCAAAUCCAGAAAUUCCAAAUGUUGAAGCUUUCCAAUGGCUUUUGGAACUCUCUCCACUCUCGUACCCCCUAGGUACAGAUACUUGAGAUGAAACAUCUUGAAAACCUCAUUUGGUAUAUCCUCUUGGGUCUCUUGACCACCCAAAUGCAAAACCUUUAACAGCUUACUACUCCUUAAAACAUCAGAUAACAACAGUUUGAAUAGUAGUGGGCUCAUGGAUCCAAAUGUAACGAACGACUGAAGGUGGUCAAAGCAAUAACUUCUUCUUUGUUGGUGGUCCUGGGUGUUGUUACUACUACUAGUAUGGACUACCAGACGGCGUACCUUCUCGGACGGCCGCAUCAUUGGUUGUCCAGUAGUAAUUGU
rnacentral:lncRNA from 1 species